rnacentral:lncRNA from 1 species
UCAGAAUUCCAUCCAAGUCCCAGCCCAUCCUGACUACCAAACAAACGCAUGAUAUACACCACAAUCCCCACCGAUUUCCACCUCUCAAAAACCCUAACAACGACCAAUAGUUUACCUCUCACACACACUCCCAUAGUAGGGUUCUGCUAAACCAACCGGCGGCACCGCCACCAGCAUUCCCACGUCGGGGAACACUAGCAAUGGACUUCGACGAGUACGAUUAUUUGGAGAAAACCGUGGAAGAAACCAACGGUCCUCCGUCCAAAACGAAGGAGACUAAGGACUCCGCCGAGAAAGAGAGAGACAAGGAGAAAGGAUAUCGGAGAAAAGAGCGUGGCGACGAGGACGAAGGUGAUAUUGACGAGGACGAAAGAGAUCGGAAAAAUUCCUCCAGCAAAAGGUCCCGGGGAGAUGACGAAAACGGCCGAGAUAGAGACCGCGAGAGGGAACGAGAUAGGGAUAGGGAGAAGGAGAGGAGCUCGCUGCACCGGAGUCGAGAUAGGGAGAGUGAGAGGAGUUCGAGGGACAGGGAUAGAGACAAGGAGAAGAGGGAGAAAGAGAGAGAUAGGGAUAGGGAAAGAGAUAGGGAGAGGAGAGACAGAGACAAGGAGAAGGAGAGGGAGAGGGAUAGGGACAGGGACAAGGAGAAGGAGAAGGACAGGGAGAGGAGGGAUAGGGAAAAGGAGAAGGAAAGAGAUAGGGAAAUGGAGAGGUCGAAGGAAAUGGAGAGGUCAAGGAGGAGCCGAAGCAGGUCCAGGCUCGAUCGUGAAAGGGAGAGAGAGUUGAUCAGGGAACGAGAGCGCGAGCUCGAGAUGAGGGAAAGCAGGUGAUGCUCAGUUUUAACUUGUUUCUGCCGUUGCAUUUUAUAGAUUUCUCUACACAGUUAUGCUUACAUACAUUGAUGGUGCUUUACUUGGCAAAUAAUUCUUGGUUAAUUACGUUUAGAGUGCUUUCAGAUGAGGCAUUGCUUGCUAAUGAUUUGAGAAUUUUUUUCCUCGUUGAUGGUUAAGAUUCUUUGCACUUGCACGGGGACUUUGAUAUCAUUAGAAUCACAUGAUGGGUAAGUGAAUUUGUUUGCUUGGAGUGGUUUUUCGUGAACUGAUAUGGAAAAUUGGAACAUAUGAUUUAUGAAGUUCGGUUUUUGAUGGUUUAACUUCACUGACUUAUGAAGGGCCUUUUCGAUUAAAGGUUAUUUGCCCUACCUAUACUUAUGGAGGUGGCUUAUUUUAAUUAUGUGUGUUUUUGCUUAUUGUUUUUGCAUCACCAAUCUUGGAGUUUCUCAAUCAAAUGGACUCCGAGUAAUUGCAGCAAAAAAAAUGUUAAGAGUUCAUAUGUAGACAUACAUAUAUAGCACACGUGUGUGUACACAAUUGUUUCCAGUGUGGCUUGUUCUGUUAUAUGCAUGUGUAUCCAAAUCUCUGCCAACAGAUGAAAUCACAGAAAGAAUAUGUAGAAUGGCUAAGUGCAGAAAAAAGUCUGAGUUUAUGCAUGAAGAAUAUAACUUUCUAACUUGGGUUGAAAUCGUAGAUGCAUCUUAAUGGGCUAACAUGCGGAAACUUCUUCACGGCUUGUCUGAAGAAAGUGGCUUUUCCACAUAUUGGUUUUGAUAAGGUCUGUUGUGUUUCUCUUUUCCGGCCUUAAGAUUUGGCUCACUCUUCAAUCCUUCUAAUGUUUUUUGCAUACCUGGAUUAAGCUUGAUUUCUUACAUCUAAGCUGAGAUGUUGAUCAAUGAUGUAUUCAAUUUUUAGGUUGGCAACGCAUGUGGUGAGGCUGUAUCAGUUUUCCAGCCUUUUGUUCACUGUGAAGACGAAAAUGCCUUAUCCCCAUAAUUCUUGUUCCCUCUUUGCAGUGAAACAGGGACCAGAAUAGCAAAUCCUCUGUUUGAAUGACUUUUUUGAUUCAAAAUAUCAGUGAACUCGAGUGUCCUAAUGAACACAAUCUUAAUUGAAGUAUAAAUAAUCAAUGGUCUUAAAUCAUCCAGAAUAGUGAUUGGAGUGAACUUAUGAAGGUUAUUCCAGUCAUUUUCCUUGCUGAAAUCAUAAGCCAGAUUUUAGGUUUCUGGUUUACUUCUUGUUAUCCCCCCUGUUUUUCUUUGAUAUUCCUUCUAAUCUUAAUUGUACUUAAGCUUAAAACUGUUUUUUAAUUUGAGUCAUCCAUUGCUGUUGGGUAGAAGUGACUUGGUCUACAUGAAUAAGGGGGCUUUAGUUGACAAUUAGCGAAAACAUUUAGUUUCUAAUCUGCUUGUUAUUGAAGGUGGAUUGCUAAUGAAGUAUAAAAAUUUGCUAAGCAUUGAAAAAUGAUGUGCUUGUUCUCACUCUCUUGCUGACCACUGGCUGAGGAACUUUAUACAAUCAUAGUCUAGAAUGUUUUAUGUUUAUACUUGUUAAAUUUGAAGUUGGUAUUCGUUUUUGGUAUUUCUGUUAUCAAAAAGUUUGAUUUAUGGAAAAGUAGGGUGCUGGCUUGGAAUUUAAGGAGGUUGAUUAUCUCUGUGGUAGGGAGGAGAACAUGAUGUUGAGGUUGAGAUAAGUUUUUCUACAAGAAAAUACACCUAUAAGGCUUUAUAUGUUAAUAUGUUCCUCUCAUUGUAGGGUUUAUACUUACUAUUUUCUGAGUCAUUUAUGCAGGAGAUUUAAAGAAAAGAAAGAAGCGGUGGAACCUGAGGCUGACCCAGAAAGGGAUCAGAGAACAGUAUUUGCUUACCAGGUGGAUGGCUUAACUUCCCAGAUUUUUAUAGAUCAAGUGUUACAGGAAUUACUUGCCUGUUCGAAGUUGCUUCUUUUUUGUAGAGGAGAGGCUUAGGAUUAGACAAUAUUGUUUGCUGAUGUAUACAUAUUUUGAUUGCAGAUGCCCUUGAAGGCAACUGAGAGGGAUGUUUACGAGUUUUUCUCAAAAGCAGGAAAGGUUGGUGUUCUUCUGUCUAUUGUUUGGAUGGAUAUCAUCAUUUUAUGUAUUUAUGUGGUGUAUUAUAACUCCAACCUUUGCUGUAUUUCUUUAAGAAUAAAUGAUUCUCAAUUUCUGUUUAUGCUAAUAUUCGUACACUGUUAUGCAUAUACAUAAGGGAAAAAUCUCACGGUCUGAGUGCGCUGAAUUGCAAAAGAUUCAUGGUCUCAUUGCAUGGAAUACAUGGUAUUAGUUGCACGUUUUGCUUGUUGCUACUGAUUACUAACUGAUUUUUGAUUAUAACAUAAUAAUUCUUGUGCUUGUUUGAGUAGAUAUGUUUUGUAUGCAUAUGAAUUCAAUUUGUGAAGAAUGACAAGUUAUAAGAUCCAUUUCUUUGCUCUUUAACUUUUAUUUUUCUUUUGUGGAUCAAAUUAUUUGGCAUUUCUUCUCAGUUUUGCUAUUUUUAAUUUCCAGGUGAGGGAUGUACGUCUUAUCAUGGAUCGAAAUUCGAGGAGAUCAAAAGGAGUUGGGUAUGUGCUCCUUAUGUAUCUUUCUCCUUUUCUGGUUGCUCUCUAUUUCUACCUUUUUUUAAUAUUAUAAAAUUGUAGUGCUGUCAAGUCUUACUUUUGGAUAAUGUUCCAAAAGGAGUUCAAGCUAAAUUCAUGGAUUUGUUAGAAGGCCUUCAAAUGUAGUUAGCUGGUCUCUUUUGACGCAUCUUUGAGAUACGUUGGUAUUCCCAUGAUUUUGAGCUUGAUUCACUUUGGGGCUUUUUUUUUUUUGAUAUUCUUGGUUAGUUAUUACUUAAUACUAUUAAUCUCUUAGUUCUGAGCCUUUUAAGUUGGGAUUCAUCUUCCACAGCGAUUUCUUUUACAACCAUUGGUUUUCCAACUUUUUUCUUGACUUCUGUGUCUUGCAGUCUUGAUAUUGAUUCCCUUGAUACUGCAGGUACAUUGAGUUCUUUGAUUCCAUGUCUGUGCCGAUGGCAAUUGCUCUAUCUGGGCAUCUACUUCAUGGACAGCCUGUUAUGGUUAAACCAUCAGAGGCAGAAAAGAACCUUGUUCCAUCAAAUGCUUCCAGUAAUUCAAGCGUUGUGGGCCCGUAUGGUGCAACAGAUAGGAAACUCUAUGUUGGAAAUUUACAUUUCAACAUGACUGAAUUUCAGCUUAAACAGGUAAGCUUUGCAAAUUAUGUUUUACCAUAGUAAGCAGUUGGAUGAAAGCAAACUUCAUACCAUUGUUCAAUUAGUGUAGGAGAUGAAAGUUGUAGGAGUUGGGGAAAUUGCUCCUUUUAGAAGUUAUCAGUCUACAAGGCACUUUUUCCCCUCCAUAAUCAUCGAUCACCUCUGGUCUUUGGAGGUAGAUGGGUUUUUAACUCUUGCAUCUUUUUUUAAGUUGAACGUGUUGGCAUAUCAACAGAUUCACUAAUUCUUUGAGGUCUGCGAGUUUAGGUGAAGCAAAAUAAAUUUUAGCUUUAGGUAAUUCAAAGGUAAAUAUCCUUGCCACUUCCUUUAUGUAUCAGAAAUUGGCCAUGGGAUGAUCUCUCCUUUUAUCUGACUUGGUCUUUUUAAAGCUUUUUGUCACUGGCCUAUUGGACUUUAAUCUUUUACGCAAUGGUCAUUAGCUUGUAGUCCAGCUUUUAUUGCACCUCCUGUUUAGCAGUGUUUUGUGGUAUCUGGCUUCAUUUGCUAAAUCUGGUAACUAUUUAUUUGCAGAUUUUUGAAGCAUUUGGGCCCGUUGAACUUGUACAGCUGCCUACUGAUCCUGAGACUGGACACUGCAAAGGUUUUGGCUUUGUUCAAGUCGGUAUUGGUUAAGAUUUUGAUGUCUUGAUUCUCUAGCUAAUUAUACCAGUUCAAUGAAUCCUUAAUUCUGACGAUGUUGAUGACAUGAUUAUUAUUUUUAGUUUGCUCAACUAGAACAUGCAAAGGCUGCGCAAGUUCUAAAUGGGAAAUUGGAGAUUGCUGGUCGAACUAUUAAGGUGCGCUUAUGAAAUUCAAGCUUCAUUAGAUGGUUAAUAUAUUGUACUUCAUUUUUUAUAAUUUUUAUUGAUGCAGUGUCUAAUUCUAAUGUUUUUGAGUGCAGGUUUCAUCUGUUACGGAUCAUGUUGGAGUGCAAGAUUCAGGGCAGAAAACUGCCGAUUUUGAUGAUGAUGAUGGGGGUGGAUUGGUUAGUUGAUUUUGUGAAACUGCAGUUUUUUAAAUGCCCUAAUUUUGGAUAUAGUUAAUUGAUAAUAUAUCUGUUUUUAAAUUUUUUGCCAACCUAGUAUUCCCGUAAUAAAUCAACAUUUAUUUGAAUGUAUGUUUUUGGAGAGACAGGACUGAGGGUACUUUAUGUUAUAAUACAGUGGCUGAUAGGUGGCAAUAGCAGCAUAUCCUGGGAUUAUAGAAUAUUACUGUGGUGUUGAUUAUAGAAUAUUACUUUUAUCUUAUUGGGAUUCUGGAACUUGUUUUCUUAAUUAGUAUUAUCUUUUCAUCACGUCUCUAGUAGGAUGGACUACUUAGCAAAUGCAUUUGAGACAUUGCUUGAUGGAAUUGAUAAUUAACGAAUGUGUCGUUUGGUGCAUUAACAGUGUAAAUCACUAAAUUGUUCAAAUUCAACAGCAAUAUGAUGCAUGAAUGUUGUCUAAGUGGGUUUUAGGUUUCAACUUGUGAAGUAUGAUCAAUUUUCUUUUGGAUUUUCAACGAUUUCUAUUCAAGAUGUUAAAUUAUAAUUUAAAAUAGUCCUUGAAGGCAAUUAUUCUGAAAGCAUCACUGUUCUGUUAAAAAACAGUUUAGCUUUAAGUUGAGAGAUAUUGCUUGUUGCAUCACACACAUUGAGCAAAUUCUGAAGUAACAAAUCAAAUUGAGAAUUUGACUGCUCUGAAAUUUGUUGAAUCUAGUAUAUUGAUUCCUUUUAAUUGCUAAUAUUAAACACUUAUUUAUGGGUUUAAACUUAUUCAGGCUUUGAAUGCUCAAUCAAGAGCAAUGCUAAUGGCAAAACUGGAUCGCAGUGGGAUUGCGUCAAGGUUUGUCUGUAGUAUUAUGUCCUUUUUCUCUGGAAAUUCACUUUUUUGCUGCGGAAGUUUGAUAUCUUUUGCCUAUUCAGUGUUGCUGGUUCCCUUGGAGUACCUGCGCUUAAUGGCGCAACUCCUGCACAACAAUCCAUAACCAUGCCCAUGGUUGCACCUACAGCAAUGUCUGCUCCGGUACUUCCAGCACAAGUUUUAAUGCCCCCAGAGCCCAUUGGCAACCCAAGCGAGUGUUUACUUUUGAAGAAUAUGUUUGAUCCUGCAACUGAGGUUUGUUAAUUGUUUGAUGAUCUAUGUACAAGUACACAUACUUGCCAUACGUGCAUGGAAUUCCUAAUCAAAGAUUUAUGUGUUUGUCAUUGCCUUUCCUUUUGCUUAUUCUUGGAAUUUUGUUUGCAGACGGAUCCAGAAUUUGAUUUGGACAUCAGGGAUGAUGUGCGUGAAGAAUGUUCAAAGUAUGGCCCGGUGAAGCAUAUCCUUGUGGACAAGUAAGAAUCUUGACUCGAGUGUAUGCUUGGUAUUUGACUUCUGAUGUAUCCGCAACCAGAAAUCAUUUACUUGCUGAGAUGAAUACUAGUUGAAGAUGGUUGGCAUUUCAAAAGGAGGAGGCUCUCAGAAAGAUUGUUUAAACUUGAAACAGGAUUUUUAGCAGAGUCCUAUUAUUAAUUUUAGCUUUAUAGACUAAAGAUUUUCAUUUAUCAGCAAAGCUCUAAAAUUAACUGCCAAAGCAACAUUUUCUAUGAUAGUAGCCAAUUGUCAGGUGACAAUUAUCCUUGGUGCAAUAUGUCAAAUAUAUGGAAAGAGAAUAAAAAAUGUGUUGGGUGUGAUCUUGUCUUUUACUGUUAAGGUGGAAAGAAAUUCAAGUAGGUAGGAGUGCAGCUAUAAGGGGCAUGGAAAAGGCAAAAAGAAUUGAGGAUACCUACCUUUUCCUGGCACAAGGGAGGUCAGCGAAGAAAAACAAUUAAAAUUUGAGAGUAUAAACUUUUGAGCGACAGACAUCCUAUUGCAUUGUAUGUCUACUUGUUAUGUUCCCGUGCUUUUACCAUUCAGUCUAUAAAUCAUAAUAAUGGUCCACUUCUCAAGAAAUUAUGAAGCUUAGCUGAAGAUAAUUAACAGAUAUUUAACUCCUGUCAGUUGAGAACCGGCCCCAUGUACUCUCUUUUCCUUGGUAUUUCCUAUUUUUAGCAGCAAAUUUGAGCUUUGUCAGUUGUUGCAUUGUAUUAUUUAUGCUUGAUUUUGUCUUCCAUUUUAUGUCAUUUACAGGAAUAGUUCUGGUUAUGUUUAUUUGCGCUUUGAGAAUGUGGAGGCUGCAGCACGUGCUCAACAAGCCAUGCACAAGCGAUGGUUUGCUCGCCGAUUGAUUUCAGCAAUCUUCUUGGUAAUAUAUUGGACCAUAGUUUUUGCAAAAUGGGAGGAGCACAUUCACUAUUUUUUUUCCUUAAUAUUUAUUCAUGUGCUCUCUCUCUCUCUCUCUCUCACUUUCACACACACACACACAGACAUUCACAUUAUAUGUAUAUGUGUAUAUGCAUGCAUGCAUAUUUGUGUGUGUGUGUGUAUGUACAUACAUGUGUGUGCAUGUAUGUGCAUAUGUAUAUAUAGACACACAAACACACAGGCAAACAGAGAGAUAUAGACGUAUGUGUGUGCGCGCGUGCGUGUACAUUUGUUUGGUUCUGAUACUACAAUCAGUAAUGCAAUCGCAAAAUGGCUCUUUUCUUUAGUUUGACCGACAUGUUGUAGACAGAGGCCACCUGGGCCUGUCCCAACUGGUAGCUUAACUGAUGAAUUUAAAGCACUAGUUUCCUUCCACAGUUGAAAUAUGUGUGGAAGCAUUCUUCAAUUGAAUAAUAAACUAAUUAUGGUGAUGUUGAACUCAACUGUCAAUGUCAAUGCUAAGUUACAACAUUAGCUAUGUUUGUGGAGAAUAAAACCAUAUAUGUGUAGCGAAGGUGCGCUUACAAGCACAUGCAGACUAGUGUUCUUGCAUUGCAUUUCUCGUGCAAAAAGUAGAGCAUUUGAACUUAAAAAACAUGAAGCAACUUAAGUAGUUCAUAUUGGUCAAGUUUUUAUCUAACAGAAUGUGUCUGUGAACUUGGGGCACUUGUAUAGAUGGCCUCAAAUUGUAUGUUAGUGUGUAUGGAUCUUUAAUUUCUUUGAUUAUUUUUACUGCAAUUUUUUGUAUCUCCAGUCUAUGAUGCUCCUUUGAGGUUUAGAAAUUGUAAUUCUUGUCUGAUUAUGAUGUGAAAAUAUUGGGGGCAAUGCAAGCUAGUCUGGAGGCAAAUGCUUCAUUUGAAUGUGAUUGAAGGUUGAGAAUUUGGAGCAUUAUGACUACUGGUGAUAUAUUUGUGUGUACAUUGAUCAAUGCAUAUGUUUGGGUUGCUUAAUUUUGACGAAUAUUUUAUUUGUUUGCAGCAACCAUAUGAAUAUGAUGCAAAAUUUAAAGGGGCUGCUUGAUACUGUUCCGCAUGCUGGAAUCAAUGUGGAUGGAGUACAACCUUAAAGUGGAGUUGCUGAGCGUGUUUGCUUAUGGUUUCAUUACGAUGUGGAUUACAAUAACUCUACUUGCUUCACAUGUAUAAUUUGGUUUUAGAUUUGGUUAUUGUUAUGUGGUGGAUGUGUAUACAAUUUGAUCGAUUAUUUUCCCUUUGAAAUGUAGUACCGAAUAUUUUUAUUAGCAUGAUAGCAAAUGUUGUUGGGAUGGUUCGAAAUUUUCUACAUAUUUAACUCUAUACUCCUUCCCUUUCACCUUCCCCUUUCCGCCUUGCAAUUUGGGUUGCAAAUAAACCAAGUCAAGUCAAAGUUUUGGUCUAAUUGAAUCAAGUCUAAUAUCGAGCUCAAGUUUUGCACUGAAAGUUCCAUCACAAAUUCGAGCAUAGUCAAGCUCGAACAAGCCUAUUUGAGUUUAAAAAAUUAAAAAUAAUUAUUUUAUCUUUUAAAAAUGAAUAAAAUAUUUAUUUUUUUAAUAAAUAAAAAUAUUAGAUAUAUAUGUAUAAAAUUGGAUGAGCUAUUGAGUUUGAGUAUCUUUAUGCUCGCUCGAGUUCGAUAGUUUGACUUGGUUGACUCGAUUUUAGUAUUAAUUGAGUUUGAGUUGAAUUUUAAUCGAAUUGUUCGAGUUUGGUAGUUUGACUUGGUCGACUCGAAUUCAGUAUUAAUUGAGUUUGAGUUGAAUUUUGAUCGAACUGGCUUGGGAGCACUUGCGAAUGAAUUGAUUCAUUUGCAAUCUUAUUUGUUAUGGAUGGAAUAUAAUUUGACCAUUUAAAGAAUCUUUUUCAUUUUAGAUCUAAAUUAUGUCCCUUUUUGAUAGAGGUGGCAAUUUGUUCCAUGUUUCAAUGGGCUAUCCAUGCUUAAAGGGAUUUUAGGCGGGAUGGAUAUUUUAAUUUUGAUGUUGGGUUUGAAAUGGUACUAAUCUCAUUUAUAUCCAUUAAUUGGUGGGAAUUUUUGGAAAAUACUUGGGUAGCCAUUGGGGCCCAAAUAUCUUACCAAAUAUUUAUUCUAUCAAUUGUUGUAUAGCUUUUAAUGACUCAAGUGUACCAUUUUUAUUCUUCCACCUAGGUCCUUCAGUUUUUUCCUUGUAAUUAUGUUUAAAAUCUCCAUCUAGUUUCAUGAACUCUUUUGUCCCUUGGAAAUCAGUUUUUUUUUUUUUUUAAUUCUUCCCCCUUUUUUCGUAAAAAUUCUGUUGCCAGUCUUAAUUUAGAGUGUAUUUGAAAAUUAUCGAAAGAAAUAUCUUUGUUUUCAGAUGGGGACUUAAUGGUUGCUCAAUCAGGUUGAAGAGGGCCUGAAGGAGGCUAGUGGGUGCUCUUUGAGACUUGUAAAUGGUUUUGAACUCCUUUUUUAGUUGAAUGCUGGUCAAAAUAAAUAUUGGAAGUUAUAUGAAAGUCAUCAAUUUGUAAUCUUAUUAGAAAAUAUUUUGUUCAAUUUUAAUGAUUUUACGAUGGCUUAUAGUUCCAAACACCAUCUUCGUCCAGAAAGAAGAAGAAGGUGACAGGCAGGCUGGCCACUUCAAAAGCUACAUCCAUGAUCAAAGCCCCCAAAAGGCCUCUAUUGCAAAAACAUGAUGGUUUCACAACCACUCAGUGCCUCAAAACCAAAUUUCUGAAAACCAAAUUCCAGCUGUGUUGAUUUUCUUGUUUUUUUUUUUUCCCUUUCCAAAUUCUAGCCCAAGAUGCAUUUCACGACGUGUCAGUUAAACACACAAAUGCAUCUAGUGUUGGCUAGACACAUUUUAAAAAUUCAUGGACUUAUAUUCAGAAAGACCCCCAAAUUUAAUCUAUUUGGACCAUUAUUUCAAGAGAUAAAAUCAUGUCUAACCCUUUUUUUUAUUAUUGUUUUUUAUUGUAAAACCAAGCAACUUGAAAGAACAAUUCUAAUCUUUUUUCUUCCCUCCUCCCUCUCCCCCCAAAAACCCCUUUUUUUCCUAAAUUAAACUUUUUUUCUUUUUUCUUUUUUUCUAACUUUCAAACUAAACUUCAUAAUUUGUAAGACAGGUGUUUGUGGGGUUAAAAAGUAUAAUAUGAUGAUAAAAUACUGUCCAAAUUAACGCUAUUUGAGCGAUUUUUUUUAAAAGACCAUUAUUUCAAGAGACAAAACCAUGCCUAACCCUUUUUUUUCUAUUUUUUUUAUUGUUAAAACUGAGCAACCCCAAAAAACAAUUCUAAUAUUUUCUCUUCCUUUUUUUUUUUUUUCUUAACUUAAACCUUGUUUUUUCUAACUUCCAAACUAGGCAUUAACGCAGCACAAUUUGUAAGACAAGUGUUUGUAGGGUUAAAAAAUACGAGACGAUGAUAAACUACUGUCCAAAUUAACUCUAUUUGGGUGAUUUUUUUAAAAAGACCAUUAUUUUGAGCGAUAAAACCAUGCCUAACAUUUUCUUUAUUAUUUUUUUUAUUGUUAAAACUGAGCAAUCCAAAAAUAAAAUAACAAUUCUAAUCUUUUCUCUUCCCUUUUUUUCCCCUAACUUGAACUUUUUUCUUCUAACUUAUAAACUACACAUUAACGCGGUACAAUUUGUAAUACAAGUGUUCGUAGAGUUAUAAAGUACAAGAUAAUGAACUAAACUACUGUCCAAUAAGGAAAAUUUUUUAUAUUAAAAGAGAACUUUGAGCAAAGCCUUGAAAAUUUCCCCAAAUGAAAAUGACACAUGAGGAAGUCGAAAUCGACCGUUACUCCAAUCCUCAACCGAUUUUCAAAGUUCUCCAGGGUCACUUCAAUGAACUCUGGUGUAAGAGAUGCAGUUAGCCAAGGCUACCCAGACAAAGCGCUUAUUCUCUUCCGCCAAAUGAAGCAAAACGGCUUAGAACCCAGCAAAUUGACCUUCCCUUUCAUAGCCAAAGCCUGUGCAAAACUCUCUAGCCUCAAGUGCUCCCAAAUGGUGCACACCCAUAUGUUAAAAUCUCCUUAUUAUUCAGAUAAAUAUGUACAGUCGGGCUUGGUUAAUAUGUAUGUAAAAUGUGAUCAGGUAGAAAAUUUUGCUUACGCAGUGUUUGAUAGAAUGCAUGCAAGGGAGAUUGCUGCUUGGAAUGCGAUGCUCAUGGGUUUCGUGCAAGCGUCGUGUUUUGAUAGAGCUUUGUGUUUAUUUAAUGAGAUGAUGCUUGAUGGGGUUAGACCGGAUUCAGUUACGGCUAUGGGGUUAGCACAGUUGGCUUCUGGUCUGAAGGAUGUUAAAUUAUUGACUUCAGUUCACUGUCUGGGGAUUAGAAUUGGGGUAGAAGCUGAUGUUUCAGUUGCUAACACUUGGAUUGCUGCAUAUUCUAGAUGCGGUGAUUUAUCCUUGUCUGAGAUGGUUUUUAAUGAAAUUGAUUUGGAUGUUCUGACUGUUGUUUCUUGGAAUUCAAUGAUUACUGGGUGUGGUAAUGCAGGAGAAGGAUUUAUGGCUAUGGGGUUGUACCAUAAUAUGUUAUAUGAUGGAUUUAGGCCUGACUUGAGUACCAUUCUUAACUUGCUUGGAUCAUUUGCCAAACCUAAUGCUUUGUUCCUUGGGAAGUUGAUCCACUGUCAUGGAGUUCGAUUAGGUUGUUGCUCAGAUGUUUCUGUUCUUAAUACCCUUGUUUGUAUGUACUCCAGAUGUGCAGACAUAGAUUCGGCAAGAAGUUUGUUUGACUCCAUAGUGGACAGAACUCGUGUUUCUUGGACUGUCAUGAUCGGUAGUUAUGCUGAGAAAGGGGAUUUGGAGGACGCAAUGGCCUUGUUCCAUGACAUGGAAGCAGCUGGCGAGCAACCUGACUUAGUUACGGUGAUAUAUUUAAUUUCAGCCUGUGGCCAAGUUGGAGUCCUCGAUUAUGGGAGAUGGAUAGACAGUUAUGCCAUCUCAAGAGGAUUGAAGAGCGAUAUAAGGGUCUCGAAUGCACUAUUAUACAUGUACUCUAAGUGCGGAAGCGUAAGAGAUGCUGAGGAACUCUUUUCUUCCAUGAAUGAGAGGACUAUUGUUUCUUGGACUGCCAUGAUAUCGGGUUAUGCACUGAAUGGACAAUCUGGAAAAGCAUUGGAUUAUUUUAAUGUGAUGUUGAAGUCAGGUUUAGAACCAAACCAUAUUACAUUUCUUGCUGUUCUUCAGGCCUGUGUUCAUGCAGGUCUGAUGGAGAAAGGAUGGGAAUUAUUUCAUAUGAUGACUGAGCUAUACAAGUUAAGUCCUGGUCUGGACCACCAUGCUUGCAUGGCUGAUCUCCUUGGACGUCAGGGAAAACUGAAAGAAGCAUUGGAGUAUAUUCAACGUAUGCCUAUUAAACCAGAUGCCGGCAUUUGGGCUGCUUUGCUUAGUGCUUGCAAGAUUCACCGAAAUGCAGAUAUUGGAGAGUAUGCAGCUCAUCAUCUUUUUGAACUGGAACCCCAGGCUGCUGCUCCAUAUGUUGAAAUGGCCAACAUAUAUGCAUCAACAGGAAGGUGGGAUGGUGUUGCUUCCAUUAGAACAAAAAUGAAAUGCAAUCAAGUCAGGAAAUAUCCCGGGGAAAGCACUAUUCAAGUGGAUGGCAAGAGCUAUACUUUCAGAGUGAAUGACAAAUUUCAUCCCAAAGGCUGCCUAAUAUAUGAAGUACUAAGUAGUUUGGGAUUGUAUUCCAAGAAACAGAUAGAUACGUUUAGGUCUGAGGAAUUCUUUUGACAGUAGAAUUGUUUUCUUUAGAUUAGUGAUUUAAGGUAGAGCUAAGAAGUUGAAGCUUCCCAGAACAGGGUGUCAAGGAAGUGAUACAGUCUCUUUAAGCAAUUACCUGAUCAAUUUCCAGCGGACCUGAAGAAGUACUCUUCGACCAUGUCCUUAACUAAGUCCUAAAGACAAGCGACUACUACCCAUCUGAGGGUCAAAGAUCUUCUUGAUUCUUUUCCAAUAGGUCCCCUCCUCAAGUCAAUAGCAGUUUCACUACGGAGCACAAACAUCUUAACUCUGGAGAUAAUAUCAGCUUUCAGGAUCCCUUGUAUAAUCCCUCAUUGGGGCAGAAACAAUUCUGGGUACUCAUUUCAUGUAUACAUACGUCUUCUUCAACUGAUGCAGAUAAAUGCAACAAAGUUGUGUACAUUCAUUGGUUUGGAUCGUACACAAUUUAGACCAUAAGUUUGUUUUCAAAAUCAAUGUAUCAAUUAAAUUUCAUGACAUACAGAAAUUUUCUAUGAAUUCAGAAAUAUUCUUACUCAUAUUACCAAGUUACUAUCAAUAUAUAUUUAAAUUAAAUGUCAUCCGAAUAGUUGGAAACAAAAAAUGAAAAAAAAAAGUCCACAAAGUUUUGAGAACAAACUAAAUCCUCACCCUUUUGUUUGAAUUAUCAAGGGCAAUUUGAUGAUUAUUUCAACGAGUUACUAGCCCCAACAAGUAGCAUGAACUUCACAUGAACGUUAAUUCAAAUUGGAAUUAAAUGACAUGCAUCCUACGAUAUCAAUGUAUAUAUUCUCAGUGUAUUAAGAUUAAUCCAAAUAAAUAUUAAUGAUCAUAAAAUUUUCUAAGUAAUAUAAUUAUCCCAUUUUCUUUCCUUUCUCUUUCUCUUUUUUGCUCUUUCUGUCACAUAAUUGGAACAAUCAAACGGUUUGCAACUCAACGUUGUUACCAUGCUUAUUACUUUGUUGUACGCUAUCAAAAGUUAUUGUUUUCAAUCUUAAGUAAAGCAUAAUUAGAUAAGAUUGUUGCUAGCAAACAAGGCCACAUCUAAACUUGAGUGUUGACAUUUACACAUGGUUGGCCUGUUUCUACCAUAUACUUUAACUAAUUUUCGUCAAUCAAUCCUUGAUUGAAUGAAAUUGCCUGGUUCUUUUCUCUUAUAUAUCAAUGCUGGUGAAGAAAAUGAGACUUGUGUAAACUUUCCUUAAAUUUGCAGACAUUUGAACGUGUGUGAGAACAUUUCUAUUAGGGUAAAUUACUUCACACCACCCUGUGGUUUUAUUUAUUCUUAUAUGAUCCUCCUAACAAUUCAAAACAUUCAUAUAACUCUAUAUGAUUUCAUGUAAAGCAUAAAUUUAACAAAAGUAACCCCAUAACGUCAUUAAUUGAAAAGCCAAUAUUAUCCUUACUUAAACAUUAAACAUAACGAGAGGCUAACCACUUUGUAUAAAAUCAUAGGAAGAUUACUGUGAGAUCUCUAGUUUGACUCUCAUGCCUUUUCCUUCCCCGUAAGGCUUGGAGUCUCUCAUUUUGAAAAAGAAAGGAAGAAAGAAAAUUGUGUGGAUAUAUGUAAAAUAAUAUAGGGAUUUACCGGAUACUAUGAUUUCAACCUACACGUUUCUGCUAAGGUUGUCCGUUAAUUAAAGUAACCAAAGUUCGUGUCCAUCCAUUUUCAACUUCACAUAAAAUAAUAGGGUAAUAAUAUAAUUAUCUCGAAAAAAUUGAGUUAUAUGGUAAUAAGCGAAAUCACAUAUGAUGUAUAGUAAUUUAGCCUUUCUAUUACUUGUGAGCAUAUGCUUACAAACAUGUGUAUACACGUAUCAGUUUGACAAAUUACCUCGAAGAAUUGAGAAAUACACACCUGAUUGAAGAUCUCAGCAUCACCAGAGUUUCUUUCUAAGUUCUAACACAACUUUGUUGAUCCCAGAUGUUAAACGUCAUAAUGUAACAUGUCACGAUCCAAAAUUUGGCAUUUUCUUACCAUAGUCGUGCAAUCCUGGCCCUCCAGCAGAGGAUAGUAUUUUGUGGAACACAAGAAGUCAAAAGAAAAUGCACUCUAGCCGUUAGAUUGAAGACUGAUGAGGCAUUCUAAAGUCAGUGAAGCAAUAGUUAAUAUGAAAUGGACAGCACUAAUUAAGGGUCUUAAUAUUUUCUCAAUUUGAUUGCAGGCAAUUCACUUUUGACAUGAAAACUACCAUCAGUCAAAACAAAUUAACCAUCCACUUGAGACCAAUUGGAAUGUGGAUGGUAGAAAAAUUCAUCCCAAUUUUAUCUUUUAUUUUUUUGUGUGUUUCUUUUGGUCAAACUUCUACAAUAGUCCAUAGUGUAUGGUAAAAUACUAGCCUUAAUGCCUCUUUUUUGGGGUGGAAAAACGCAAAAGAAAAGGAGAAAAAUUCAAGCAAGGAUAAACAUUGUUAUACUAAAUGCUAAUGUAAUGAUAAAGCGACCUUAUUCUUGAAAUUAUGUUCAAAGAUGAAGACCGCCAAAUUCAUGUCUUAGGGUUAAAAGGGCUUUUAGAUCCACAUUUAUCAAUUUAAUUUCUAUAAAAAUGUCGUUAAAAAGUCACAUAGUAAACCAGCAGAUAUACUGGUGUACUGGUAUAGAUUGGUUAAAUUAACUUGCAUAAUCUUUAAUACAUUCUUCGACCAUCUAUUUAUCUCACAUACAUUCUUUUAACAAAAUUGCUAUAAUAAAACAUUUUUCAAAAAAAAAAAAACUCCAAAAACACCCAUUCAAAAACUUGAUUCCAUACGAAUGUUGAAUCUAGGUCUAGCUUUGAAUGAAAUCGACUUGAAUGGCAAAAUACUGGGUCUACAAUUAAUGGAAUUAAUCCCUCCGUACCCUAGAAGAUGCAUGUCACUAUUUUUCUUAAUCAAAUAUUCAGGCUCCUAUAGACUAGAUGAAUCUUGGAUGGUUUGAAACGGUCAUCCUUUUACUUUUUGCUUACUCAUUGAAACUUGUCAAGUAAAAAUGCAAGAGCAAUCGUGCAAUUGUUAGUUUUGUAAUAGCAAUUUCUUGGCAAAUUCACGCAAUAAAUAUCCGAGUGUGAAAGAUUAAAGUGCCAAAAAUGAAGACCUUAGGUAAAUUUUUAAAAGGUUGAAUUUCAAAAGGAAAUACACAUGUUAAAGGAACUAGGGGUGUUUAUACCUGAUUGGUCAUUGGCGGUUGUUCUGUUAUUAAAUUUUGGUCAAUUUUUUGUUUUAUCUGAAGAAGCUACAGUCGGUUCCAAACCAUCUUCACUUCUAUCGCUAGAUAAAGCACUAAAAGUAACAUUUGAUUAUUAAUCAACCGUUGACUCACUGAUCAACUUAAUAGUAGUAGUAGUAGUACCGCUACCAUCAGGGGUGGAUGGUGGACAAAAAUACUCGUUUAUUCGAAAAUCCAACGUCUUCGAUUCGAUUCAAUUCGAUUUGAAAAUUAUGAUAUUCAAUUCGUAUUAUUUGAUCGAAUCAAAAAGGGUCAGAUAUCCAUUUAGAUGUGGAGCAGGUUAGGAUUACAUAAUUAAAAGUCUGUGGGUACCUGACUCGUACCACAUAUACAUUUUUUUUAAUACACAUAAUUAAAAAUCCGUGAAUAAGGAUUAGAAAAUGAUUGUUUCGCAAGAUACGGAUCGAGUCAGCCAAAUGGUGCAUGAGAUGGAUACCGGACUCGUUCCCACUCCUAAUUACCAUUAAAGUUUAAUUCUUUUUGUCAAGGAAGACUUUAAAUCUGACAGGAGAAAUGGGACAAUUUCAGAGUCGAAUGAAGAACUCAACAGUCACCUAACCAAAUGAUCCCACCAAGUAAACUGUGUUUAGGAAAUCUCCAAUCUGUUGUUACUAAAUAAUCUUGAACUUUCAAAAAUCCAGCCCGUUAUUGGUUACCAAAUAUUAGAUACCAAUUAAAAAGUAUUUUACCAAUAUUUUUUGAAUAGUUUAAUGGUUAAUUAUUCAACAAAAAACUGAGUAACCAAAUAAUAAUGGCACGGUCUGCUUUUUUUUUUUUUUUUUUUAAACCAAUCCAUGAAAUUAAAAAAAAAAAAAGAAUUUCUCUAACGGGAGUCUAAUGGAUGUUUGUUAACAUAUGUAAAUUCUAUCUAACUUACCAUAUAUUUAUACGCACUAACAAUUAUUAGCAUUCCUUCUAUUUAUAUAUUUUUCCUAAUUAGUCCUAUCUUUCCAAAAGUAUAACAUUUAAACAAGUGGCUAAUAGACUCCCGUUAGACAAACCUGAAAAAAAAUUUGCAAAAUAAGAACAAAUGAUGGAAGCUAGUAUGGUAAUUUCCUAUUCCCGUACUAAAAAAUCCACAUAUCUUCCAUCCAUCUUCCAUGCAAGCACACAGCUGUUUCUCUCUUAUAUCAACUAAUACUACACGUAUCCUUUAAACGCGCUUUAUGGAGGACCAAAACAAAUAAAGAAAAAAACACACCAAUCCAAAACCAUCCAACACGUACUGAUCUAGUGAUCUUCGUAUCAUCAUAUAUAUAUAUAUAUAUAUAUACAGCUACAGAUAUCAACAUUUACAAAUUUAUUCACCUACACCAGCAAAUAUGCGUGAUUCUGCAGGAGAAAUAUUCCUUUUUGGCAUUCCAAUUCUGCUGAAAUCCGUACCAAUGGCAUGCAAAGAUGAUGAAGAAGCCCAAGAGGGAUUCAAGAAAGACUCAGACAUGGCUGCAGCAGAAGCAGAAGUAGCAGAACAACUCAUGCAGUUAAGUGGAGAUGAAGAAGAUAGACAGAGUAUAGCGACCACCUUUGAGAAGAAGAAAAGAAAGGACAAGGAUCAAGAUGAUGAUCAAGGCAUUAGUGGUGCUGAGAGCAACUGUCGAUUAAUCGAAUCUAAGAAGAUUAGAAAAGAUGAUCCUCAUAACAAGGGCUCUAACGCAAAGAAGAGGAAAUCCAAGUAUCGGUCGAUCGAUGAUAUUUAUAUGGUGACGAAGCCAAUGAAUGAUUCUGUGCAAAGAAGUUGAAACCUUGAAGAAGCUCUAAAAACUUUUGGUCAGGAAUGUAGAGUAGUUUUCUUUUCUUUUUUCUUCCUUUAUUUAUUUUUGUGGGAGAGUUUUUAGAAGGAAUUAACCCUUUUGCCUGAAUAUUAACUUCUCAUUUUCUGAUCAGAUUAAUACUUUGCUUUUUAAUCUACUGAUGCAUGAUUGAAAAAUUCCAUAUUUCUGUCAGUGGUUUUUUUGUGUACGGUUUUUCCUUUUUCAUCUUUUUGUUCCUUUAAUCAGUAGAUGAUAUCCUGAUUAAACUAGCCUGUGAGACUUAACUGGUCUUUAUGACCCCAUGGGAGGAAUGUUGAGGUUCAAAAGAUAAAUGCUUGUUUUGUGGUUGCUUCCACUCAGAAGCAAUGAAAAUUAAAAAGUAUCUGCAUGACUGCAGGGUCAUCAGCAAGAAAAUGGGGAAAAAGCCCUUCAAAAGCUUGUCCAACCAAACAUUGUAUUAGUAAAUUGUGAUUUCAGGAAAGCAUAAAGACAAAUUAGAUCCUGGCUAGUGAAGGGUGGAACUGUAAGUAAAAAAUUCCACCCAAAGCCCAUUCAAUUCAGAAGCACUAGCAUUAGAACAAAAAAUUAUCCUUUUAAUAUGGCCAGAAAAAAGAAAUAGGGAAAGACUAACAACCUACAAACUUGCAUCGUUAAUCAAGAAGACAGGAGUUUUUGACUUCAGUUUGUAUUGAAAUUUUUUCCGCUUCUUUCAUGUUAUUUUUGUAGCUUGCGUGACCGAAUUAUAUGCUCUUGAAUGCAAUAAGAAGCAAAUCUGUUCCGCUAUUACUUUUAAUGGUGUCCUUAAGAUCUUUGCUUAGGUGUUAAGGCAGAAUGAUUGAUACUAUAACUCACCAAAACCAUUCCAUGGUGUGAAUUCAAUGAACUUGACUGUCAAAUUUGUCAUCCCAGACUAUUUCUUGAUUCAAAAGCAAGUAGGCCUCAUGAGGUGCAAAUAUGGUGUGUUUACAGUUUUCAUGGAUGAAGUCUUGAACUAGUGGCCAAAAAACCAAAAUUAACAUUUCGAUAGUACAAGGGUUUUCAAUUCAAAGUCUUACUGGUACUUGACUUGUAAUUGUAGUUCACACUACUAUCUGAGGUGGUUGUCUAACAAUUCUUUUAGUAUUUGUUCAAUUAUUUUUGACCUUUUCGUUCAUUCAUCUGAUUUUGUAGCCAAAUAAAAAAGUUUCUGUAUUGUGCUUAUGUUCUUAAUUUCACCCAUUAGAAUUUGCUAGGACUCGGGUUGGAGUGUUGGAUACUAUUGCCUUCUUUGCUUGGCUAUUAUACUUCUGUUAUGUGGUGUUGUCUUGUUUGCCAGACUAUUGUACUUUUGUUAUGUAUUUGUUAGACUAGCCUUUCGUGAAUGUACAAAAUUAGAAUCAAGUUUGUGAUAUAUAUAUAUAUUUAUAUAUAUAUAUACAUAUAUAUAUAUAAGAAAGGUUUGAAAGUUGAAUCAGGAACAUCAAGUCACUAACCUUACAUCCCUACCAGUUAAGUUGGGUCUUGAAAUUGAUAUAUUGAUAUUUAAAAAGCCCAAAAACACACACACACACACACUCUUUAGAUUGAAUCUGUGAUUGAUUACUGUUCAUAUACGUGUAGGUAGUUAUUCUAAAAAUUUAGGCUAUACAACUAGUUGUGUAUUCUAAGACUCCCAAGUAGCUAAUCAUUUUGUAUAAAUACGGAAAAUAUAUUUGUCUCUUGUACAAUUAUUCUGAAGAUAGCAUACACACCACCUUAGUUUUCUUCUAGUAACGGGAACAUUAUUUUUAGGAGUCCAUCUACAAAAAAAAAAAAAAAAACCACUAGUGAAAAUCACGAUAUUUUUAAGUGAUAGAAACAAACAUAAGAAUCCUUAAAAUCAAUAUCUUUUUCAUGAAUUUUCCUUUUGCCAGAAGGGGAUCUGAAAUUUAUUGGCUUAUGCAAGCAAUCUAAUCUACCUUUGUCUCUUUUCCAGGAAGCUAAUAAUUGCAUGAUUAUGUACGAAAAACUUUCCUAAUUAAGUAUGUAAAAUCUGAAGGAGAAAUAUUGUUCCCUUGAGAAAAAAAGCAUUUAGGUGCAUUCUACUUACAAAACUAGUGAGGUGGAUAUUUAGUCACAUCUCCUAAAUCCUAACACCAUAUAUUACUUAUCAAUUUCAGACAUAUCCAAUUGUUGUGAUUCAAUUUUAACAUCUUGAUUUAUGGACAGCUAGGAUAACACAAGCCAAAAAUCAAUAAAUGUGUGUGCAAGAAAUGCAUCAUGUAUUAGUGUCUCUCUCUUUUAAAACAUCCAAUUUUUCAAUGCGACCUUUUUUGUUUCUUUUUUUAACCUUCUUGAUUCUACCAGAUUGAAUUUAUCAAAAGAAAAAGUUAUCCUGCAGCCUGAUCUGGAGCAGCUGCCUCUCCUCAUAGGCCUCAAAUCUUUAUUUAUGCUGCAUUUUUGUGUUGAAAGCUUUAAUGUGAUAUCUGAUGCUCAAAUUUUAGCUCUGCUUAUGCAGGAGGCAUUCUAUCUAAGCAACGCAGACUUCAGCUAGGGAAUCAUGACAAAAUUCUCCUGUUAAGCAAGACAUCUGCAGCUAAGGAAUCAUGCAAAAAUAACCUCAAAGUGACAUCUUUCCAUUGUAAUCUAGCCUGGGAUUACUCCUUACCACAAGUUUACUGGAGUACUGGAGAAUGAUUCAUUUGUCAAAUUGAGAACACAAAUUAGGAGGAUCGUAGAGACAACAACAAAUGCCUGUGCUUUUCCACCAGAAGUGUUGUAACAAAGUCCAUUAACAGAAAGCACUUUUGCAGAGUAUAACAUUUCAGACACUGAUAUAAGGACCCCUUCAAUAUGGGGUAACUUUGUGACACUAUAUGCACUGACAAACCUUACACAAGGACACCGAAAAACCUCGUACAGGUAUUCAACAAAAGAAUGAAUGGAACCAUUCUAGAACAAAUAAUUGGUCAGCUGACAAUGCUUCGUAUCUACACCUCCGAACUAUACUCGAAUCUUAUUCCGUCUACCCGUGCUAUAUCUCAUCAUGCAAAACCAUUCCAGCAUUACCUGUGUGCCUGGCUGCACAAGCAAAUUCCCAACAGCAUUCUUGUUUCAUGCACGUUAGGCAAAGCUGUGUCUCGAGAUGUCUCAAUCGUCACAGUUCAAUCCACAGAUCUCUAGUACAGGGCCAUCCCUUGAAACAAAUGGGUUAACUCGAACCCACAAAAGGGUUAUUAUUGAAGCCAGAAGAAUAGACCAGACGAUGAUAAUUGUUGGAGUGCGUUCUUGCUUCCCGAUCAAUCCUUUGAGGAAUGGAUAAAGGUGAAGGAUGACCCAGAAGGCAAAAAAUAGCCGACCAAAUAAUGGACCCCAAGAAUCAUAACCGUUGUUGAUGGCAUCCGCUAUCCCAACUAUAACUCCAACAAUGUUUACAAUCAACAAAGUUGUUGGAGGAAUUAGCAGUGACGUCCACUUGAAGAUGUAAAGCUCCGAGAAUUCUCCAUCAUCUCCUCCCUUGGAGGUGACGGUGAAAUUUGUAUCAAUACCACCCAGGACCUUGAGUAAUCCUUGGAAGAGAGCAAAAAGGUGAGAGGAAACACCUCCAAUAACCCAGAAUUGUUCAUUUCUCCACCAAUCAUCUAUUCCUACACCACCCCAUUGCAUUUCAAGGAUACCAGUGACAGCGAUGGUGAUGAAGAGGGCCAUGAAUACAACACUUGCAUAGUUGCUAAUCUGUGUACAGAAGACAGGUUAUAGCCAAAAGUCACACACAUAUCAAAUUAGCAGUUGAAAUUCUCAAGGCACCAGGAAAUUUCACAUGAAAACAUACCUCAGGGACAAUAAAUUUUCCAGUGAGAAGGCAGAUGGCAGGCAGCAUACAAUACACAAGCAAAGGAAUGGAAGUCCAAGGAUAUACAACAGAGUUUAUGUAUGAAAGUCGUUGAAGCCACUUCAGUCCACCUCCAUAGCCAUACCAAAUUGGACAGUGUCUGCUCAUGAAAAUCUCAACAGAUCCGAGGGCCCACCUAAGAACUUGGUGAAGACGAUCUGAGAGAUUAAUUGGAGCAGACCCCUUAAAUGCAGGCCGCUUGGGUAUACAAUACACAGACCGCCAACCAUGACAGUGCAUCUUGAAUCCUGUCAAGAUAUCUUCUGUGACCGAACCAUAUAUCCAGCCAACCUGAAUCAGCAAAUGCAAAUUGUUUCAUCAAUUAAGAGAACAACAGGAACAAAAGAGAAUACUUAGUAAUUCUAGGCAUUCUCCGCGAAUAUUUCAAUUAUCAGAAUUAUAGGAUGUUUGUAGGGUAGUUUACCUCCUUUCCCCAUUCUGUCUUAUCUUCAUAACCACAGCUGAUAACAUGAAUAGCUUCGUUCAAUAAGGAUGCAGAACUAGCGUCCUUAGGAAUUCCACCAUUCUCCAACAGUGUUGAGGCUACAAAAACCGGAGAUUGACCAAACUUCUUUUCAAGUUUCACUUGGGAAAGCUGAGAUGCAUUUUCAGGGUUUAUUUCUGCAUUGGAAAAUGAAUUUACUGUCAGUGGGGGGUACAUACAUGCUUAGAUUUCUUUUCAGGACAAUAAAAUCCCAACAUCCAUCAGAACUUGUAGUUAAUUUAGACAAGUUUGCAAAAAAUGAAGAGAAUUUUGAAAGUGGUUUUUCUUACAAAUUUCAUAAAGAUUUGAAGAAAGCUCAUUGACAUGUCAGUCAUAAAGUCAGAAAAUACAGGACUCAAUUUUAUAUGUUUCAAGAAAACUUUUUGCAAAAUUAUGAAUUCCUGUUUAUUGAUUUUCAUGAAAAACUGGAAAGCAUCAAUCUUCUUGUUUCCAUAACAAGGACGCAAUGUCAGCACAGCAGACAAACAAGGUCAUACUUUUCUUCAAAAGAAGACUUACUUUUAAUUCCUUCUUCAAUUGUUUCAAGAGCAUGUAUUUGCUUAGAGGCUUCCUUUUGCUUCAGUUUCUUCUUAUUUUCUUUCUUUCCUUUUCCUUUCUUGUUCUUGCUUGAACAGCAACAUGAACAGCACCACUUGGGCAAACAAUUGCAGGUUUUGCUGGGAGGCUUCUUACUGACAGGAGCAUCAAAACCAUAAAGUGCUUGCCUUCUGAAAACACAACCAGUUCCUACAUAUAUUGGUCCCUGCAAUCCAUCUAAUCCCUUCAUGUUGAUCUGUAAGAAACAGAAAAGUCAGACUCGCCAAGGAGCAAAUGAUGUAAUACAAUAGCCUCAAAUAGGAAAGGGCACAUACAUCAAAGAAAACGACGUUCCGAUUUGAGUAUCUGUCAUGACGGUCAAUCCCAUCAAAUCUUUGUGGAAACUGCACAUAGCAAACUUUCUUCCCUGAAGUGGGGUCCAUCAUGAAACACAUGGCUUCCCUGAGAGCCUUGCUAUUAUUGAUGUAGUGAUCACAGUCAACAUUGAGAAGAUAAGGAGCAUUCGAGAUGACUGCUGAAACCCGCACCUGAAGGUAUUAUAUUUACAGAAUGCUUAAUACUCUGAAUGGAGUGUAAAAAUUCCUUUCCUUGCUUCACAAUAACUAUUAAGUUGGACACUACGUCUUACCAAAGCAUUCAUUGCUCCUGCUUUUUUGUGGUGAUCAAACCCAGGCCUUUUUUCACGAGAAACAUAGACCAGGCGCGGUAACUGAUUUCCUUCAAUAUCACGAACACCAUCAUUCCCAAGGAAUACCUACAUAAAGCAAACGAGAAAACCAUAAAUGCCAAAGAACUGAUCUUGAUUAGAAUUUUUUUUUGGGGUAAAACUGAUUUUAAUUAGAUGCAUCAUGCAAAUCUAAAAGCUAGAUUGACAUGCAAUAAUCUAAUCUUUAACACUAGAAAAUGCCCUUGCUUCCUCAAAAUAGAACAAAAGGUGGAUUUGCCAGAUAGAAGAUGGAAAUGACGCAUGAUAUGGAUGACAAAAUAGUCUGUUUAACCAACCUACACUCUUAUUAUAUUGUAAUCAAUGCAAGCAUCAGUCUCCAAGAGAUGAAUGUUCUCUCUUGAUGUAUUCUCCAAGCAUUGGAAGCAUUAAAAGUUACACUUACGGAUUUCUUCUUUUUUUUCCCCUUGGCAGUAAACCAAAUCCUCAAGAUUCGUACUUAUAAAAAGUCCAACCCAAAUUCUCAAAUUCCACAUUUUGCUUGAACCCUAAUCUUACGUCUCAGUUUUACAACCCCAAGCAACAAACCCCAAGCUUUCUUGAUGGGGGCUAUUUACUAAAGGCUUUGAAUGAAACAAUAGUGACUUUGAUUCCUAAAGUAGAAGCCCCCAUAAAUCUGUCUCAGUAUAGGCCUAUAUCUUUAUGUAAUGUCAUUUAUAGAAUCAUCGCAAAGGUGUUGGCAAACAGGCUAAAAAGAGUCAUCCCAAAGUGUAUUAGCUCUGCUCAAUCUGCUUUUGUUCCUGGUAGACACAUUCUUGAUAAUGUUAUUUUAGCACAGGAGCUACUGCAUUUUAUGAAAAAUAAGAGAACAGGCAGAAAUGGUUUUAUGACCCUAAAACUGGAUUUAUCAAAGGCCUAUGAUCGAGUAGAGUGGCAGUUUUUGGGUAGGAUGAUGAUGAAGAUGGGGUUCUGUCCCACAUGGAUAAAAUGGAUCCUUAACUGUGUCACCACAGCAGCUUACUCUUUUAAUGUCAAUGGCCAGAAGGUGGGAUAUGUUAAACCAUCCAGGGGCAUUAGACAAGGGGAUCCCCUUUCACCAUACUUGUUCCUUAUCUGUGCCGAGGGCCUGUCAAACUUGAUGAAGCAAAAAAUCCAAAGCAAAAAUCUAACAGGAGUCAAAGUGGGGAGAAAUUGUCCUCAACUGUCUCAUUUAUUGUUUGCUGAUGACUCACUCUUCUGUUGUAAAGCUAGCAUACAGGAAGCUCAACACAUGAAAGAGAUGUUUGCUGCGUACGAAAGAGCUUCAGGCCAAGCCAUCAACUAUGAGAAGUCUGCAAUCUUCUUUAGUGCUAACACAAACAAAGAUCUGAGGAAGGAUAUAUGUGCUGAGAUGGGAUAUAUGAAGGAGGCUACAAGUGGUAAAUACUUGGGAUUACCUAUGCUGAUAGGUAGAUCAAAGCAACAAGUUUUUGGAUAUAUCAAGCAGAAGGUGCAAGAAAAGUUACAAGGAUGGAAAAGAAAUCUGUUAAGUCAUGCAGGGAAGGAGGUUCUGAUCAAGUCGGUGGCCAUGGCACUUCCCACCUAUACCAUGUCAUGUUUCAAGCUUCCAAAAAUGCUGUGUAAGGAUAUAAGCAAGAUGAUAGCUACGUUCUGGUGGGGAGGUGGAGAGCAUAACAGGAAAAUGCAUUGGAUUAGCUGGAACAAGAUGUCGCAGGUAAAGGGUAGGGGAGGACUGGGUUUUAGAGAUCUGGAAAGGUUCAAUGAAGCUCUCCUAGCCAAGCAACUGUGGAGAAUGCUAAAUAACCCAGAAUUGCUUGUGAGCAAGGUCAUGAAGGCAAAGUAUCUAGCACAACCACAGGAUUGGGAUAGAGAAACUCCUAAAGCAGCUUCUUGGAUAUGGAAAAGCAUCUUUGGAACAAGGUUCUUGGUAACAAGAGGGACAGGGAAGAGGGUGGGAAAUGGGCAAACAGUGGACAUUUGGAAGGAUAAUUGGAUACACGGGACUGAGGAAGGAAGGAUUAAAACGCAAAGAGAUCCAAAAUGCACAUUAGAGAAAGUAGAGGAACUGAUAGCAGAUGGGGAGUGGAAUCAGGAGGUGCUGAAUCGUUGGUUUAUAGCAGAGGAUGUCCAAAGGAUAAAGGCUAUUCCAAUCAGUAUAACAGGCUGCCAGGAUAGAUUGUAUUGGCGAUACACUAAAUCAGGUGUAUUUACAGUAAAAUCUGCCUAUGAUGCGACAAUGGAAACAAGACAGUACCAACAAAUGGAAAGGCUGAGGAGGGAUAGUGGAAGCACGAGCUAUGAUCAACAAAACUCAAGAAUCUGGAAAAGUGUGUGGACACUAAAUCUGAAACACAAACUGAAGCACUUUAUAUGGAGGUGCCUACACCACAGUCUGCCAGUGAAUGAACAAAUACAGAAGAGAACUGGUAAAGGAAGUCCAAUGUGUUGCAGCUGUGGGGAAGGGGUGGAAACACUAGAACAUAUGUUGUUCUUCUGUGACAUUGCGGAAACCACAUGGAAACUAGCACCUCUGCAGUGGGAUGGAUUGAGGGAGAUGCGAGGAAAUUUUGUCAAAUGGUGGGAAGGAAUGUUAGGAGCAAGAAAAAGAGAACAAGGACAAGAACACAUAGCAUUAACUGUAAAUAUUCUUUGGCAAAUAUGGAAGGCAAGAAAUAGGAAAGCCUUUGAGGAACAAGAAGCAGACCCAAGGAAGGCAGUGCAGAAAGCUAUAGUAGAAUGGGAUGAAUAUAUAGAGGCCCAAAAAGAUAUAGCGGGAGAGUUCAUUCAACAAACAACAAACUCUUGCAAAGGAGAAAAAUGGAGACCACCACCACAUAACUCCAUAAGGAUAAAUUCUGAUGCUGCAUUCUCACAGAACUUGGAAAGAACAGGAAUAGGAGUUGUGGCAAGAAACGCGAGAGGAGAGCUACUGAAGGCAUGGGCAAGAUCGGAACUCAAAAAUAGCGAGCCACAAGUGGAGGAAGCUACAGCAAUCAGGAUGGGAAUGCAAAUGGCCUGGGAGGCAAACUGGAGGACAGUGGAAUUCCAAUCGGACUGCAAAGAAGUGGUGGACAUGAUCAACAAGGAAGAAAAGCAGCAGUCCAGAGCAGCUAUCAUCCUUGAGGACAUUGCAAAUAUGAGGUGUUUGUUUGAACAAUGUACUUUCUCCUUUGUGCAUAGAACGGGGAACGUUUGUGCACAUAGCUUAGCGAAGUAUGCAAUUAAGCUUACAAAACCUGUUAAAUGGGAAGUGUAUUUUCCCAUGUGGCUCUAUGAAAGAGCACAAAAUGAAUACCAAGGAAGUAAGUCUGAUGUAUCAAACUCUUGUAGUAUCAAGUUAUGAAAUGAAAUGCAAUUAUGCUGUUUGACAAAAAAAAAAAAAAAAGAGCAAGUCUGAACCAGCUUUUGUUGAUAAUAGAAGUGUGGACAAAAAUUUAACGAAAAACCCACCUGGAUCAUACCAGGAUGGUCUCGAACAUUGUUACCAGGCCAGGGGGUACCAUCCUGCAUUGUCCACCCUUCCUCUGGAACCUUUUGGGCUGUAGCAACCAAACCAUUUAUUCGAACUUUAAAUUCUUCGUAUUCUCUCUGUACCCAGGAAAAUGAAAGAGUUACUAUGGUCAAAAAAAGAACCACUUUUCCCAUGUUUAUCAGAAAAUUUUGAACAAAACUACCCGCACAGCUGAUUCUCUACAGAGAAUACAUGGGUCAUCAAUGAAUACAAAUAUUUAAGUCAUGAUAGUAAUCAUAUAUAGUAUAAAUUGCAAACCUUCAUUUCUCGCCUCUCCCUCACAAAUGCUGGAUGAACUUUGUUUUUCAGAUAGUCAAUCUUCUGAGAAAAAUACCAUUCUGGAGCCCGUGGCUCAAUAUUAAACUUCUUGCAGAAGGGAACCCAUUUUCUGGCAAAUUCAGAGGUUUCAGAAAGUGCUUCAAAAGUAAGCAUCGCAGCACCAUCGUCUGAGACAUAACAUGCAACUUUUUCAAUUGGAUAAUCCACUGCCAGUAUAGAUAGAACAGUGUUUGCAGUGAUCAGUGGAGGUUCUUUCAUGGGAUCCACAGUACUGACAAAGAUGUCAAGAUCUGCUAGCUCAGAUGGCUUUCCCUCUUUCUCAUACCUGCACAGUUACAAUUAGAGAUUCAAAAAGCAGAAUACUUCAAAAGAGAUUACCAAAAACGAACAAGAGUGUCCAAGAGCACAUUGUAAAAGAAUUUGUGGCACAAAAGCAGUUUAAAUUCAGCAGCUAUCAAGGUUGUUUUGCAGGACAAGAUCCAAAUGUCACCACUACGGAGAAGUAAAAAAAUCACAAAAUUUUGGUCCAUGUACCUGAGAGAUAACCGAUCAAGGUAUGUUUCUCGCUCUAUGGGGUACCAUUUCGGAAACUGAUCAAGAAUCCAUGAUAAAGCAAACCAUAUUUCACAGAUAACUGAUGUCAUCCACAAGCCAUAUGCAUCAUGAACUGGAUGGAGGAUUCUGUAAUGGAAAAAUAAGCCCAGAACAGUAAGGCGGAGUAUAAUUAUUAAUCUAUACGGACUUAUUUUGCUUGAAGCCACCGAUAAUUUCCUUGACAGUGGUUGCCUCCCUUCAUCCAUCCUGAUUGAAUGCAUAAAAGAGAAAUUGGCAAUUAAUAUGAGAAUCAUGGGCAGCAUUACAGGAAACAUCUUUCCAUCAGAAAGCAAUAAACUAGAGUUUAAUAGCAGAGUAAUUUACCAAAGCAGCAGACAUUCUAAGCAAGAGACUAUGGCCAUGGAAUGCAAAUUUAGAGAAAAACAUAAAAAAUUAUGCUAUUUCACCCACAUAAUGCAGCAAACAAGAAAGCUUUCCCUAUUUUCAGAGAAGAUAAAGUCAACAACAAAGGGAUAUUCCAUAAAUUAACUGUGUCAUAACUUCAUUUUGUAUGCUCUAAGUCACAGCAACUGAACAAGGACUUCAGGGACUAUGCACCCCAGUUUUUGUAACUACUUGGCUUGCCUGGUAAGGGAUAAACGAUAGACUACCUUGGAAAAUUGUUACCAUUCAACUUGGCACUCGGAACUCACAGUUUUCCAAAAAUGGUUAGGAACAUUUACGGAAACAUAAAUGCCUAAUUUGGGUUAUGCCAAAAAUCAACAACAGACAUGGAAACAUAUUUCUAACAUUUAACCGCAAUCUGUACGUGCAUAUCUUCUAGUGCAUGCCAACAUAAAUAGCAACUUUCAAUUUUGGCAAUUGACAUGUUUGAGAGUGCUCUCUGUACAAUAUUAUCAGAGCUCUAUCUACAGAAUACAGGCUAGUUUCAUGUCCUACAGAAAGCUAUUUUGCCACCACAUUUUGUUACAAGAGCAAAAGUGCCUAAUCAUGCUGUCUAAUGUUUUCCAGGACAGUUUGCAAGUCUACAAUCUCAUGUAAGUAAAGUAACUUUUUACCACAAAAGUAUGCUUUAUAUGUAUUUCUAUAUUCUUGUUCAGUGGUAUUCAAAGCUUUAGAUAAAGAAGACAAGGUGCAAAUGAUGCAUGACACAUGUUUAAAGCAUGAGGGCUCCUGUGCAUCAUUAGUCAAAAUUGGGAUAACCAAUAACUUAUGGUAGAUAGCUUAAGGGACUUGGCAGAUUGUGCAAUCUAGCAAGUCAAGCCAGACCUUUUUCUUGCUUACAAGAAUAAAAUUGCCUUGAGGAAAAAAUUAAUCCCAGAAGGACAACUAGCCUCUGUUACUUAAAUGAUUAGUUUCUUUACAGAAUGUCAAACAUCUUGAAUCAUGUGAUAGUCCAUCCUCCUUGAAGACAUCAUCUAGCUAGAAAAGAUUAUGUUUCCUACAGGUAGUCUUUUGAUGAUGAAAUCUUGCAAAUUGAACGCGUUCUGAUGAUGUGAUCUUGCAAAUUGAACAUGUUGUCAAAACAGUGAAUUUCGGAAUGUGUUUUCCUCAGAGAAAGACCACAAAGAGAAAGAACUAAGUUUAGACAUUUUACUUCAGUAACUUACAUUGGCAAAUCAGGAUCAUCAAAUUCACCACCAUCAAAAUUGCGAGAGUUAUUUUCUCCUUCAUGCUUGACCAUUUGGAGUUUAUCAUUUUGCCUUUUCUUCCAAUCCUCCAUCCGAUCCUUCCAUGCAACACUUCCAUAUCCAUAUAGUGCAAUGUCUUUCUCGGGAACCAUUGGCCUUCGUUGCACUGUGACAUAAAGAACACAUCUUCUUCAGCCUUGGAUACAGAAUUUUGGGCAUGCUAGGUUAACUUAGAUGCUGAGCAAAACAACUUACAAGAUGCUGAUGGAUCAGGAAAAGCGGGUGAAUGUGAACCAGCUGCAUGGCCAGCAAAUGGGGGUACAACAAGGGCAUGAUGAUCUGAAGAAAUUUCAGCAUCCUAAAACAAGAAAGAAUAAUUAAAAUAUAAUCUUACGCUUUGCUAGGUCAAAUCUAGAAUCCAAGCACUUACAUACUCUAACAAUACAAGGCCAAUAUAAAUUAGGUUCACUAACAGCUUACCUCUUCGCCAUAGGUCAAUAGAGGAAUAUCAAGACCAUGGGAUGAAUUGUGUCCUGCGAUGCCACCUCCAGAUGAACUUGCCUCAACACCACGGGCAUGCCGUCCAGCUGCCCCCACAGCAUGUGGCGGACUUAGAGAAUCAAUAUAGUUGUAAUCAAACUCAUGUUCGAGAUCAUCAAUAUUAUCCUCUUCCUCAUCCCCCUCAACCCUUGGACUACCUACCAAAUACAAAACUACCAAACCAUGAGUUCACUUGCUUAAGAAAGACCACAACAAGUAUUCUUAUGAAGCAUCAUGGGACAAACAAACUCGCCUUUGAUACGCUUAUAUCUGGUUUUGCACUGAGGGCAAGCUUGAUUCCCCUCUCUUCUCUCAUAUUCAUAGCACGGCCUACAAACGGGGAAAGCACAUUCAUUGCAGGCCACAAAGAGUUCUCCAUCAACAGUAAUCUCCACUUCAUCCCCACAAAUCUGGCAUAUCUGUCCACUUAAUUCUUGCACAGAUUUAAUCUGGACAACAAGACCAGGAAAGCGAGUUACUUGCUAUCAAAACCACUUGAGAAUGCCUAAUCAUGUUUCCCCAAAAACAACAUCAAACUGUAAAAGAUACUAAGAACACAAUUUAUUGUCUAUAUUCCACCAAAUUAAAAACAAAAAGUCACCUAAUUUGGAGAAACUGACAUUGGACAUUUUCUUUAGACACCCCCCUAAAUCAACUCAAGUGUUUCCAAUUCUCAAAAUCUAAUCAGCUCUGCAGGACUUAACUUCUUUGUUCCAGGACAUGGCUAGUCCAAUGUUCUCUAGAACAACACGCAUUGUCUCUUUUCUAUUUCAUGUUUAUACAAGUUAUAGCGACCCCAUUAUCUCCUCACAUAACAGAGGCCAAACACAGUCUUUUGUCUCGCAGCUCCAAAAUAAAAUACAAAUUCAAAAGAAGUUUCCAAUGCUAAUGUGGCGAAAUCACCCCCUUCAGUCAACCAAAGCCCCACCCUCCUACAACCUCCCCAAAAAUAAUUUUAAAAAAAAAAGAUCAAAAUCAAAAACAGCAAAUAAAAGUAACCUCAAAAGGAUAGGGAAAAUUCUAAGAUGAAAAAACAGGAAAAUAAAAUAUAACAUCCUCAAAAUCAUUUAUAACUGACACAGUUCGAUUUUAAAAAAAAAUUGAACACUUAAACAGGGGGAAAGAGAAAAAAAUACCUCUAUUGUGAAGGCCAAAUGCUUAGAAAAUACUAGUAAAAACCAAAUGCUAAGAAAAUAAGCAUCCAACUACACUGAAGAAAAAGCCCUAAUAAAAUGCAUUACUGAUUGACGCAAGACAGAACAUCCACCAAAAUGGCCAAAAGGGUAUCUGCAAAACGAAGAUUAGAAGAAAAAUGAAGGGGUUUUAGAUAGCCUUACCUUUCCAAUAUCGUCAGCAUUGAUGAGUACAAACUCAUUCCUGUUAUGAGAACCAGCAAUAAGCCUCCCACCUGUAUCCAUCACCAUUUUGCACCUUACAAAAACUCUUCAGAAUCCCACAAUAACCCACUUCAACAAUCAAUUUUUCAGUGCCAAAAGCCCCCCUUUUCCAGCCAAAAACUCAAUCUUGGAAAUCUCACAACCCCCAAAGCCUAAUGAGAAAAUGUUCGAAUGUAACCACCAUCAGAAGAUACCCAAAAGCAAAGGUUAAACAACCCUCCACAUUGAGAAAAGCACUAUUUAAAAACACCCCAAAAAACCCAAUUGGGCAAUGGAAAGAAAAAUGAAUAAUAUAACAAUAAUGAUUACAAUAAACAAUACUAUCCCACAAUAAAGUAAAGGGAACUAAAAAGGUUGAUGGGUUCUUGACAAAAAAAUUUUUAAAAAAAGAAAAGAAUAAUAUAAAAAAGUAGCAAAGUAGUAGUUGAUUUCUUUACAAGCUAAGACCCUCUGCACUACUGUAAUCUGGCUGGAGUGGACUUUAGACUUAAAAAGGGAUCAAAAUUGACACGAUUUUAGAGAGGUGUAGCGAAAUGUGGACGCGUAAGAAAGAAGGGUGAGCAAGGGAGAUUGGAUUGAAUCAUGAAGAAGUAGAGGUGGUUCGGUGGACUUUCAUCUCAUCUCUUUCUUGAAAAGAAGAAAACAAAAUAAAUAAAGGAGAGGUUUGUUAUGGGAGAUAAAUACUACUACUACUUCUACUAACUAGAAGAAAACAAUUAUGCAUUUAAUUAAUAACAAGGGUAAUUUAUUCACUGUUCACUCAUGUGUGUGGAAAUGUGUGAAAAGUAGGACCAUCCAUCCAUGGUGGUGAUGGAAAUGGUGAUGGUGGAGCAGGAGCUUUCUCUUUUCUUUUCUUUUUUCUCUUUAUUUUUUUUUGGUGUCUUCUAUUUGUGGGAUUUUUGCCCCCACAAAUCUAGUAGUACAUGUACCGCAGUUGUGUAAGCAGGUAACUACAGUGCGUGUAGUGUGUGUUGUGUGUGUCUUGUUUUUGCUGCACUUUGGGAGUGAGCUGUAAAUGUCUUUUUGGCUGUCUAUUUCCUGUAUACAAUUCAAGAUCCAGUUGUUUUCUUUCUUCAAUACAAAAACAAAAUUGUGGGCUGUUUUUCUUUUCUCCAAUAACUUCUAUAAUUGUAAUUUUUUUUAUGCGUUUCACAACUUUUAUAAUUCACUGAAAAGAGUCCACCUACAAAAAAAAAAAAAAAAAAAUCGUAACUCCUAGCAUGUAAAGCAUUUUUUAACAUUUCGAAAAUAUUGAGCUCGCAUCAUUCUCCCAUAAAAAAUAUUUUUAAAAUAUUAAAUUCUUAAGAUAACAUUAAUUUAAUAAUGGUUUUUCUAACGGAUAGAGCACCUAUUAGCAUACAUACGUUCCACCCAACUUAUCAUGUAUAUAUACACACUAAACAAUUACUAUUUUCUCUUAUAUUUAUACACUUUUUCUAAUUAAUCCCUUUGUAUUUAUACAUUUUUUCAAAUUAAUCUUAUAUUUUUAAAAUUUUAACAUCUGAAAUACAUUUUAACGAAGAAUCCGUUAGACAAAUCUUUUAAUAAAAAAUUAAAUUGGUGUUAUUUGAACGCAGGAUAACAAAUAAGUUCAGUAGUAUCACUUUCUAAGUGGUGGAUUAUAAAUUUAAAUUUCACCAUCCUCUGAGUGUGUUGACUGUAUACUCCUAUGGCACCAAAUAUUAAAAAAAAUCUUUAAACAAAAACAUAAGAAUUAUUUUAUUUUCAAAAUUAAAAGCUUGUGGGGGAAAACAUCCCAAUUGAUAGAAGCUAUUUUGCCCAAAUUGAAAAAUUUGUCAUUUUAUUUAAGUACUAGUAUAUAAAAAGUUUUUGGUGGGGUAAGAGAAAAGGACAAACGCAAAGGGAAGAGAAAAGGAAAGACGCGUAAAAGAAAGAAGCGGCCAGCUGGGAUGUGUGGGAGAACGGAACUGAACUGAAUCCUCCAGAGUUAGUACUACUACUAAAUUCAACAAAAAGAAAAAAAAAACACAAAAACAGAAAAAAAAACAAAACCGCGUGAGCAAACAGAUCCGGAUCCUAUUUUUACUAGGUUUUGAGUGUGUUAAGGACUCUGAAUUAUUCGCAAGUUUGAUUCGCUGUUUUUUUUUAAAAAAAAUUAAUACGAAACGUUUGUGUAUGUACGGUUUUAGGUUUAGGACUUGAAUAUUUUGACUAUUGACUCGAAACGUAAAACGUGGGAAGGAGGAUUGUGUUUAUUGCUGUUUUAUAGUACUAUUUUUUGGGUUAUCUUUCUAUCUAAUUAAUUUGAGUGUAAAUGUACUUAUGUGCGAUUCUCUCUCUCUCUCUCUCUCUUAGUAGUAGUAGUUGUAGUAAAAAUAUUCUAUAAUUCUAGGGUUUUUUUAGUUCUAUUAUUUCAAUUAUCGAAUGUUUCAUGUCGAUUUGUAAUUUUGUACGAUAGUUCAAACUGAUUUACUUUUCAACUCACUUCUCGUCUAGAUUUAGAAAUUUUUUUCGAUACUUCUAAAGGUUGUUGUUUUUUGAUAGGAAGUUAUUUUGUUAUUAAGUGGUGUGUGUUACGUAAUGUUUCAAACUAAUUUACCUUUUUAACUCGCAUUUUUUUUUCUCGAUUCGAGAAUAUAAACGACACUAGUGAUGCUUCAGAUUAAUUUCACUUUCUCAACGCGUAUAUUUUCUCUCAACCCAAGAAGAUAAAUGAAUUUGGUGUUGAGCAUGAAGGCUUUCAAAAUGCUUAUUGUUAACCUCAUUUAAAUGUGUGCGUUUUGUAAUUCUCUCUUGACUACAUGAAAUCCCAUUUAGAUUUGGCAACUUAAAUUAUGGGAUGAUUUAACUAUACAGGGUUUUAGCCUUUAAUGUGGUUAAAGACUUAAAGUACUACUGUUAAAAAAAGAUUAACUAUUGUUAAGACGUACCAAAUGCUAGAUAAAAAAAAUGCCACAGAUUUUCUAGUUAAACUGAGCACCAAAAACAUUAUACUGUUCUUAUCAUAAUUUUCUUUUAUCUCAUUCUUCCUCAAUAAUUGAUGGCUUAGAUUUAUCUUUGUUUUCCAUUACAUGUGAUAUCCAACUCAGGCCAAGUUAUCCACUACCAAAACAAAUACACUGUAUCAUGAUUAAUUGACUUCUUUAAUUCCUGCUAUAAUUAUGGUGUCACCACUUAAAAAAAUGAUACAGAAGCACAAGGGUUAAUCUAGACAUCUUAAUUUUAUUAUGAAAAAAAACUAGCAUUAAUGAGGCAAAGUUGUCAGUUGUCACUAGAUUAUCCCUUGCCUGAUUACAAACUAGUAGGAUAAACAUACUACAGACAACUCAAGAAAAAAGUUCAGAGACCAAUGAUUAGUUGAUUGACCUUUCUGACAUGAAAAACCUAUUAAUUACACAUCAUUAGGGAAGAAUAAUCAAAAGAAAGUUGAUGACCAAUCUACCUGCAGCUGCAUGUUGUUUUCAUAUUCUGUUAUGAUGUGGGAAGGUUUUGAUUGUAGAAAUUGGUCAAAUUUCUUGGUGAUUAUUUGGAGAAAAUUAAACUUAGGUAAGGAUCUCCAGCUGGCUGUUGUAAUGCUGGCUGCUAUGAUUUGUUGAAUUGCAAUAUUUGUCGGCUUCAUAAGCGUCACCUGCACAGCAUGUGUUCCAAGAAAGACUAAGCAGGAAUGUCCACACCUAACUAUGAUUUUAUUGAGAGGGGAGAAAGGAUUAAUGAACCCUGGAAUUGUCUAUUUCUAUGAGUUGGCAGCUGGUUGGUUUGUGUCAGGUCUUCUUCUUCUUUGAUGAGAAAAUUAGAAACUUUUGUAUUUCCUAAUAGCCAGUAAAUAAGCCAUAGCACAAGCUGGAGAAAGUUUGGAGAAUCAUUCUCCCAUGCAAUUUGAUUGUUGGCAAUUUUUGGAAGUUUGGAUUGCAAUUUUCCACCCCCAAAUUUUUUUAGGUUUUCUGCAAAUAUACUUCCCAAUUAUUUUUUACCUCACUUACAUCACAUCGCUACAGUACUUUUUUUUUUUUUACAAAAACUCUAAAAGAAAUAGCAAUCCAAAGGGAUUCUAAAACUUCUAUUUUUACUUUUUGAAGCGAUAAAAAUCUCAUACAUGAAAAAUUAUGCAUCUAAGAUUGCCCUCUGAAAGAACCAAUGUAUAUAGCUAAUAAAGAUCUUUUAAUUAUCAUCUACACAUGCAGUUAAACUAUAUGCAAUUAAUAGUUCAACGCAAACCCUAAAUGGAAAUUGAUUUGCAACAAGCAUAUUAGCUCUGCUGCUGAUGCCUUAAUAAUUAAUAAGUUAUUGUACUGAUCUCACAAUUGUGGGCUAUACUUAGUUUUAUGAGAAGAAAUAACAUUAUGGAGAUGGUUGUUCGUAUUUUGAUCAACCUCCUAGUCAUAUUCCAUAUUUGCUUUUUAAUGAUAUUUGUAAUUAAAAGCACCUCGAACAAAUGCCUUGUAAGUAGGGCUGGAGUUGAACCAAGUAACUCGGCUCGAGCUCGCGAACUACUUGGUCAGUAGCUCGAGCUCGAGCUCGGUUGACCAAGCUCGAUCUCAAGCUCGAGCUCGGUUGACUAAGCUCGAUCUCGAGCUCGAGCUGCUCGUUAGAAUUAUUGAAUCGAGCUCGAUCUUGAAAAUAUGAUACUCGAGAGCUCGACGAGCUCUAUCGAGCUUUUUAUAAUAUAUAUUUUAAUUUUUAUUAUUGUAAAAUAUCAAUAAUAUCCUUUAUUUAAAAUUAUAUAUAAAAUAUUAAUUUUUAUUACUUGAGCUUGAUUAGGCUUGAUUGAGCUCGAAUAAGCUCGAUUGAACUUGAUUUGAAUUAAUUACAUUUAAUUAAACUCGAACUCGAGUUCCAUAAAUUGAUAUCGAGCUCGAGUUCGAGCUCGAAUUUUAAAAACUUAACGAGCUCGAGCUCGAGCUUAGUUAUUUUGCCUCAUGCAUUACUCGAGCUCGACUCGAGUUCGACAGCACCCUACUUGUAAGUAUACCAUUCAAGUAAUGGGAGUUGUAUGUUUCUUUAAUAUAUACAUAGAUAUAAACACACACACACACACAUACAUACAUACACACACACACAAAUACAUACAUUUGGGGAACAAUUUUAGUUUUGUAGCAUUUUUGGGAGAUAAAAUUGAUUGUUUUUUAAUAAGGGUCUGAUUGAAAUUUAACAUUUCUAAACUCUUGAGGGGGCAGCCCCACAAAUACAUAAUCUUUACCCUAUGCGUCCUAGAAAUUUGGACUAAUUAGUUUAAAUUUCCUAACCUUCAUUUGACUCUUCUUUACCAUUAGUCGAGGCGUCCUAGUAGUUCUACUAUGGUUAAUUCUAUUUUGCCUUUUUACAACUCGCACAAAUACUUGCCUUUUGUAAUUGUUCUUGUUCUUUAUUACCUACAGGCCUACUAUCCCAUAGCCAAUGAUUUUUGCCAAUUUAUAUACUUACUUUGGAAUAAAAAGACUUUUUUAGUACAAGUACCUAAAAAAAAGACUUUAGUACCUCUAGAUUAAAUUUGAUAUGCGAAAUGCCCUUAUUUCUUUGGGAGUACUAAAGUCUUUCUCAUUAAAAGAAAGGGCAAAAAACCUCAGUGGCCAUUAAACUAUUGGCGGGAUCAUGUUUUGGCCAUCGAACUAUUUUUUGUCAAUAAUUGGCCACUAAACAAUUUAAUCCGUAAAUCCGUGACCAUUUCGUCAUUAAUUGCUCUUAAGUUCUGAAAUUAGUGGCAAUGUUCGGGGGCAAUUUUGUCCAGCAAUUUACUGAUCCUAAAAGUCCAGCAAUUUUGUCCAGCAAUUUACUGCAAUUUUGUCCAUACUUACAAUCAAAACAAAAUGAUUGGUCCCUGCUACUAGUUUGGAGCCUAUAUUGUUUGUCCUAAAUCCACAUUUAAAAUUGUACUCCAGUACCAAUUAGUAGUAGUACUUGAUUAAUUAGGAGGCCUAGCCCGGGUGGAUACGCGAUCUCAAUUCCCACGGUGUCUAGGAUCCAUGGCGCCCAUCGGAAGUGGGGUUGCGGUUGCACCGGCUUCCUGCUUUUGGCCUUAUACAGAUAUCUACGGUCACCAGAAAAUGUCCUCUAAUUACCUGAGGAGAAGAAUAUGUAGCAGAAGAAAAAGCACAGCGAGAUCAUUACCGCGAUACUCCAACGGGUCUAAAGCGGGUGCUUCAUCGCUGAGCUGCAGGCCACCGGCUGUCUCAGCUGAACCACCACCACCACCACCACCAGGACAAAGUUCGGUACUCCUCCCUCACAUCAGCAACGGCAACAGGCGGCAGCCCCAUCUCUCUACUACUACGAAACAAGAAGCAGUAGCGGCAGCAGGAGGGGUUGUGACGAGUCCUGGUUUAAUAGACUACUUUCUGAGUAUCGGAGGAGGACCAAAUCCUCCGAUCCGAGGCUGACGGUGGGGCUCCGCGCUGGUUUUGUCUUUUGGACUGCACCUCCUGCUCUUCCUCUUCUUCAAAAAACCACAAUCCUCUCUUGCUUUACUUACCAGGCCAGCAGCCACUACCUAAUAGGAUUAGUAAAUUACUGGACAAAAUUGCCCCCGAACAUUGCCACGCGUAAUACUAAUUUCAGAACUUAAGAGCAAUUAACGAUAAAAUGGUCACGGAUUCACGGAUUAAAUUGUUUAGUGGCCAAUUAUUGACAAAAAAUAGUUCGAUGGCCAAAACAUGAUCUCGCCAAUAGUUUAAUGGCCGCUGAGGUUUUUUGCCCUAAAAGAAAUGAUAGCACAAGUUUAGAUGGGAUAAAAGGUUGAUAGUAUAAAGAAUUAACUGCAACAAUUAAUCGUCUUGGAGCAAAUGGCAAUUAAUGAUAGUUUAUGGGGUAUAUUUACAGAUAACACUACAAUUAUUGCCAUCUUCGAAAUUACAUAUAUGUGCUCAUCUAAAUAACCCCCUCUUUUUAAUUUCUUUUUUUGCCAACAAGAGAGCAAUGAGAUUUAAGAAACAAGAAGGAAACAGGAAAUUAAACUUAAAAUCUCUAAUUUUUAGAAUUUCAACUUUAGCAACUAAAGCAAGACCUCCUCGACUAUUCUCUCAUUAAAAUAACUUCAGCAAUGUGGUUAAAGAAAAAUCAAAGACUAAUGAGCACGAUGAAAGAUAAAGAAGGAGAAGACUAAAAAGAAUUGGUGAUGAGCUGAAAUGUGUGAGCUGGAGAAAUUAUACAUGAUGGACCUUAGUUCUUAGUCUCAUCAUGGAAGCAUUUUAUUAUUUAGCAGACCAGAAAAUACAGCUAUUUCUUUCAUGAUGUCAUUAGGUUUCCAUCUGCCUUUCUAAUUUGUGGCUUUCGUCUAUUAUGUCAGCUACGACAACUUUCAUUGCCAGCUAGCUGUGUCUUAUUCGCCACAAUUAGGGCAAAUUGGACCAGUGAGCUGCCAAAUUAACACUUUGAUCUCAAAUUAAAAUUUUAUUCUAGAGCAGCCUUCUUUUUCACUAGGUCGAUUUAUGUGAAAUAACCACAUCAAAUUUUAGUUAGACAAUAUAAAAGGAAGAUAGUUAAUUAAUUAUAGUACUUAAUUUUGUUGUUGGUUAAUUAAUUCUAUGAACAUUUGUAUUUAUGGACUAUUUCUGAAAAAUAUAUUAGCAAUCUUUACUAAAAAAAAACUUUAAAUAAGUUAGUUGCCAAUGAAAAUCAAACUAAAGUCAUCGAUAUUCAGCUUAACUAGUAGAGACGUCAACAACUCUGAAAAUGAGAUUAACUUUAGAAUAGCGAAAUAUGGAUUACAUAUAGUUUUCACGAAAAAGAAUGGAGGGAUUUUAUCUGACUAUGAUAUCUAACAGAUUGUAUAAUCUGUCUGGGAAGUUGCUCAGCAUUAGGCUUUAAUGUGUAUUCAUUCUACGUAAUACAAGUUGAUGUUUUUGACCAAAAAAGAAAAAUAAAAACAUGAGUAAAAACAUGAUUAUUUUUCCUAUAUACACUGUCAGCGUUGGAUGAAUGACGACUAUGCAAAAUUUAAAUUUUGCACAUACGUCAUGGAUCCAACAAUGAUAGUGUAUAUAAGAUUUACUUUUCAAAAAAUAAAAAAAAAAUAAACGUGUGAUUUCUGGUUCGACUCUUAAGCCUCCUAUUAUCCUUUUCUUAGCAAGUCAUGUUUCAUAAUCCAAUUCAGUACUUAAAAUUAAUGGAUUCAGAUGUUCAAUUUUUUAUUAUCAAACAUCUAAAUUCAUUAAGUUUAAAUACUGAAUUGAGUUAUCAAACAAGCUCGUAGUGCUCCCCGCGGAAGAAAGGAAACUUGAACAAUUUCGCCAACUUGGCUAAUCCAUCAUAUCUUUUCACCCAUAUUUCAUAUAGAUUGAUCAACAUUUUCCCUCUUCUUUCUUACUAAUUCUUGGUACCUUUAAGGACCAGGUGUCGCUAAGCCUUCAAAACUUUGAAAUCAAACCAUACAUGCUUGUGCUUUUGUCAAUAUUAUCACUAGGAAACCUAACCUGUCCAUGGCAUAAUUGUCCAAUCACACGUGCUAAAUGCUGCUGGUUUCUGAAGAAUCAAUCAGUUUUUCUGAGUGCUUUUCCAAAACUUGUGACCUAAGUUUGAACCAUAUCCAUCUUCACAUGCUCUAACAAACAAUAAUCAAACAAUUGAUAUUCAUAUUCUAGAGCAAGUUAGCCACCAUAAUUAAUUUCUUAGUCACAAAGGACAAGUUAGGUUUAUCUAAACGAGGGCUAUAAUUACCAAUCAUAAUUGUAGCUCCACUCAAAUGCCACGCAGACAAAAAGCAGCACAAAAAUAACUUUAUAUAUGAUUUCUUUUUUUUUUUUUCCAUUGAAAAGAAGCUUUGAGAAAGAGAUCAAGUGGGACCAAGAAGUUCUAAUGCGUUUGCCAACUCCAUGGAUCCUUUAGGAAAUUUGCAUUCCACCAAUACAACACUUGCCAGUCAUGGAAACGGGAUUUAGGCCAUUGGUCCUAGGCUAGUUGGCUUUUAUUAGUGUUGAAGAAAGGUUUCAAUUUGACUUAAAGAACAAGAAAGUUCUCUUUUUUUUUUUUCCAAAUUUUUUUUGUACCUUUUCCAUCUUUCUUUCGUUUUCUCCUAAUUGACUAUUUGGCAUUCAAAAAAUUGGUAUUGGUGCUCCUUGCCAUAUCAUUUUUAAAAAAAAAUAAAUAAAUUAAAGUGGAAUACUAGUCUUAAUAUAUAGAGUGCCAAUAAGAAUUCCAGAGAAGUUAAUCUAGAUUAAUGGGCUGUCAUGCUAUUUGUUCUUGAUGACAUUCUUGCCUCCAAAGCAAUGGGAUCAUACUUGGACCAUUUUGAUUUUUUGAUGCACUGCAUCGCAAGACGAUUGAUACCAUCAUUAGUUUUUGAGUUCAAUUGAUACCAUCAAUGCUCACAUAUCCAUAGUAGACAAGUUUUUAAAAUGUCAUUUGUUCACAACAACAAAAAAAUUAAUAUAUAUAUAUAUAUAUGUAUAUAUAUAAUAUAGGUGUGUGACAAGUUAUCAACUUUGUAUUGUUCAAAUAAUAAAUUAAAACAUCUCAAAUAUGGAAGUUUUGAUGAAAGAUGGUUAGAUCCUCCUCUAGUAAUUUUGAUUUUAAUGAAUAAGUUAUUCGAAUCAAGUCCCCAAGAUUCCUAAAAUAUGUCAAUUGCAACCUGUCUCGCUGCUCUCGCACCCAUGUCAACCCAACCUGCUACCCAAACCACAUGCUAAAAUCGGUUCGGAUACCGUAUUUUUGGAGUUCGAGUAGAGUCGUUUAUUGGGGUUUUUGGAUUAUACUGAAUAGCCCUACUCCCUUGUGAUAGUUUCUUCUUUUUUAAGAAUUUCUAAUGAGGGUCUUUUUGUUCUUUCAUUGCUUUUGUUAGAUCUAUUUUUUUUUUGUAAGAUUUGGUUGUUAGAUUUGGGAUUACCUAAAUCCAUCUCAUCAAAUCUCACCAUUAUAUCGGAGACUUCCAGUACUUAAUUAGUAGAUCUGAUGUUGGCGAUUGAAACAUACACAUAUGCAUUGUCUUAUCUUUGAGUAUUUUCAGAGCUUCACAAUAAUUUUUAGAUUUGUAAUUUCAUUCUUUCAAAUCCGUUAUGUUUGUGUAUGCUAGAUGUAACCUCUGUUACUAAGGCAAUUUCACUAAAAUGACGAUGUUUUAUAUAUAAAAGAAAAAUACUUCAGCCUGAAUCUAUGAUGGAGAUGUUAAGAUACACAACAAAAAAUUAGCCAUGAUAAUUUUCACUUUCCUUUCUUUCUUUUCAGGUGCACCUCUCAAAUGUGCCUUAAUUACUAGUAAUUAUAAAGCAUGGCACUUAUUUUCUAGGCCAUGAGAAACCUUGGCUAUGGUUUGUUGGUCCUAAGGGCAAAUUGCUACUAAAAUAAUCAGGGGGAAAUUGCAACUGACCCUUUUGUGAUGGUAUAAUCAGGGGCAUCUAGUAUAAUUAAGCCUAAUUAUUGGUGACAUAUAUUUAAUUUUCCAAAAUAUGUCACCAGUUUUCUAAUAUUUCAUUUCGCCCAUGCCAUCCUUGCAAGUUCCCACGCAUAAAAGUUGGUUCCCACCAAACUUGUCAUCUCAGAUGAGACAGCUUGAAAUCACUUACUUCUAUACUUUAUACUAAACCGAGUAUUAAGACCUAAACCAUGAAACAUCAACUGUAUACGCACAAGUGUAAACUUUCAAUUUGUCCCCAUAAAAAAAAAAAUCUGCCUCCAGCCAGUUAGCCCUAAUGCAAUCCCAGCUCCAAUGACAAAGAGACAAGAGCAAAAAUUCCACCCAAAGAAAAAAAAAAAAUCAAAAUCAAGUCAACACCAUCCAUUGAUCUAUCCGUUUCUCAAACGGUCAAUUUUGCAACCAAUUUUCCUAACAGUCGUUUGUGUGACAGAUUGACCAAGAAGGCGCAUGGGUUAUCUCAUACAGUGCCACAUUAAUGCAGUUUGCUGCUCUUCCAUGCGUAUAUCAAUUAUCUAUUGCAGAAAUGCACUUUUGAAAAUACAAAGAUGUCCCACUUUGACAAAUAUUUUUAUUCUGUGGCUGGCUCUUGGGACGGGUUGAAGAAUAGUGUGAUUAGACAAUUGAACUCACUUUUUAGACAGAAAAACAAAAGUCGUUUUAUUUUGAAGAUGUUGGGGAGUUGGUGAGUGUGACCAUGGUGAUAAAUGCCAAUUUGAACUCUUUCAAGAAGAGCAAUUGUGGUGACCAAGGAGAUGAACAGAUGUGCAUUGUUUGUUCGAACCAAGCAAUGUAGGCUCGGUUGAUAAGGUUAUGUAACGUUUUCUUUCGUCCACAUAAAGUUAAGGUUACCGUUGAACUAGGGGAAAGGAAAAAAUCACCAUGCGGCAAUCUUUAUAGGUGUGUUUUCUCAUUUUGGCGGCUCAAAUAAUGUGUAUAUGCUUGAGUGAAUAUGCAAUCAGAAAAGAACUUGAAUGUUCUUGUAAGUUUCAAAAUAGCAUACUUUUUUCAAAAUUGCCACAAUAUGUGGUUUCUUCAAAAAAUUCAUACCGAUACAUGAUGCAUCCGACCGAUCUGAUAGUGGUUUAGUUCCCAUCAAUUCUCCGUAGGUCCAAUUGGGUCUCCCCUAAAAUUAGGUUAGAGUAGGAUAAUAUAAAUAAAGUGACAAUGACAAAAAAAAAAAGGUGGUUGGGGAGAAAUUUCAGUACUCUAAUCUAAGCAAUUGUAGCAAAGUUAUAUGUUGAACCGUGUAUAGAAUGUGUUUUAUCAAAUCGAGUGAAGAGGACAACUCUUUCUUUCUCCUAUUGACAAUUCCUUCAAUUUAUGAGAAAAUAAGAUUGAUUUAUACGUUGACUUUUUUUAUUUUACAUCUACAGACGAGACUUUUUCGAAUCUCUAACUCUAUUUGUUUCAACAAAAAAAAAAAAAUUAGUUAAAACUUGACUCGAUUUUUGAAUGUUGAAGCCAUGUUAAGAUAACACCAUUAGUUAUAAAAAUCAAAUAAUGCUAAUUCGUGAUAGUUUUUGGGCAGAACUAAUAUGAUUAUACACGUGCUACAUUAGAUGGAUACUAGCAAAAAUUAGAGAAGACAAGGGACUAAACUCGUAUUAGUAAUUAUUAAGUCUAGUUAUAAACAAAAAAUUGUAAAUGCAUAAAGCUAAGCAGGAGCGGACUUGUGCAACUUUUAAGGGUACAAAUUUGUCCACUUGAGCUCAGUUGAUAAUUCAAUCAAUUUAUAUAGUUCAUAAAUAUUUAGAAUAUCAAAAUAGAGAUUCUAAACUUUGCAAAGGGAAGAAAAGAAAGGGAAUGGUUAAAUGUCAAACCAUUUGUUACUUGGUCAUUGUCCUUUUCAAUUCAAUUGAACCGACCAUUAUAUUAUAAAAAAUAAUAUACCUCUUGUCUACAAGUAAUUGUUGGCAGGUCUGGUCCAAGAACACUCAGGUCUGGGCAGCGACAAAAGAGCUAAGUAGACCCCAAUUAGUCCAUCGGCAUGAGCCCAAGCAUGGCAUCAAAUGAUGGUGUCAUUGAAAUUUUUUUUUUCCAAGUAUGAGCGGAAGAUCUCGGAUUCAGAACUUAUCAUUUAUAUUCUCUUCCCGUACUAUUCAAUCUCUCCCUCCCUGGUGUUAUUGACUUGAUUGUUCAUUUGUCACAACAUCGAAAACAAUUGAUUGUAGGAGAGCAGAAAGUUUAGGCCUUGUUUGGAUUGCCGGUUUUCAUCGAAAAAUUACGUCGUUUUCCGUGAUCACAUUUCCCUAUUACCUUUUUCCCUCACAUACAUCAAAUCGCUACAGUAAUUUUUCCAUGAAAAAUCACGAAAAAUGCAACCAAACACACCCUUAAAUUUCAUCAUUAGUUCACAAAUAAAAGACUCAUCAAUUUUUUUUCUAGAAGGAGAGGAUAAAAAUUUAUAUAGAAAAUAUCUUGAGAUAGUAUUAUUAAAUUAGUAAUUAACAAUAUAAGUGGAGAAAAAAAAAUCAGUUUCACAUAUACUAGUAUUUCUAGAAAACUCAUGUUUAAAAAAAUUUCUUGACGCGUUCCCUAACUACAUUUUUAAUUCACAUAUGAUCUUCACGAUAAAAUGAGUAUAGUAAUAAUUUAAAAAUAAAAAACACUUUUUGUUUGGAUUGCUUGUUUCCGUCGGAAAAUAUUAUCGUUUUCCGUGAUCACAUUUCCCUAUCACCUUUUUCCCACACAUAUAUCAAAUCGCUACAGUAAUUUUUCCAUGAAAAAUGACGGAAAAUGCAAUCCAAACACAAGAUUUGCAGAUAUAUGGUGUUACUGAUAUAAUGACAUAUUUUAUUAUCUUUCUUUCUUUCUUGUAUUUUUAAGUAAAUCAAGAAAUUUGCACUUCAUUUUCAGAAACAAAAUCCCCAUGUGUUAUCAAUUAUUAAGAUGAUUUCCAUAAGAAGAAAGCAAUUAGGUCAUUCAAAAAUCAAAGAAGGGAAAGGUCAAAAUCCGGAAAGGGACAAAGGGAUGUGAGAAGACAGGAGCUACAACUUGGAUAUACAGUUGGCAAUCGGGAACAGGAGCACCAGCAGUUGCUGCUAAAAAUCACGGGUUUCCUUUGUGUUUCAGUGCGUGAAUGUGUGCUGCUGGGGAGGGUCACUCAUUGUUCAGCCAAACAUUUCUACGACCUUCCAUGUGACAAAUUGACCAACAACACACGUUCGGAUGCUUCGCUGAUCGAGGGGAAUGGACUGCACCACCCCUUGUGUACUUGAGCUGUCGCCUGUCUUGUACGCGCAACCAUUUCCAGCCAUUUCUUAAUGUGAGUGGUCAUCAUUAUUAUAAGGGAAGAGAAAAAAAGAAAAGAAAAGGGUUAACUUUUGUGAGAAAAUGUUAACAUUCUUCUAAUAUUAUAUUAAUUUUGAAGGUUUUUUUUUUUUUUUAGUAUUUUAGUGGUGGUUUAAUGUUGUUUAAGUACUUUCACUAUUGGUGGUUUGAGUUGCUAAAAUGUUGAAUUGUAAUCUAUUGGUAUUAAUUUUGUCAUUGUGGCUUAAUUGUAAUUUCAUCGAUAGAAGCGUUUUUUAUUUGGUGCAAAUAUGAGAAUUGCUUCUUAAAUUCUACUCCUUGCUGUCAUCAUGACUAAAUCGUAAUUUCAACAACAGAAAUGUUUUCAAUUUAGGGUCAUUAUGGGAAUCAUUAGUGGGCAAUCUAGACUUAAUAGGGAAAAAUAAAAUUUAACUUUUUGGGGCAAGAAAAAUUAUGCCAUAUCUUAGACCAUAGUUAACAAAGAUGUUUGGACUUCAAAUCCCUAAAAACAUAACUAAUUGGAAAUUUGAACUCUCACACGAUUAUUAGUGUGUUUCUUUCUUUCCCUUCCUAGCUAUUCUCAAAGACAACACACAUUAUUAUGUUUAGUAAUAGUUGACCAAAUUAUAUGCUCUCUUUUCCUAAGAAAUUUUUCUUUCUGUUUUUGCCAAUCAAUGGCCAUGCUGCAGAUGAAGGAAGGACAAUCAGACGCUCUCUGAGUUCAAACAUGAGCUUUAGAAUCUACUUUCAACUUACGUUUUAACUUUUGAGAACUAUCCUUACCAACCAAAAGAGUUGAUGGAUUUUGCUUGCCUGAGUGAGUUUUUCGAUCCAGGCAACUUAAUUAACAACCGCACUUUUAGUUCAACUUCCCACGGGGGCCGGUUUUGCCUUUUCCCAAUCCUUACCUGCUUCAAGAAAGUUUUAACUAAAAAUGAAGGGAGAUAUCAGUUCUGGUUGAGUUGCUUUAGAGAGAGAUCUGUGAGGAGGAUGAGCAAGGAGGGGAGCAAUUGCUUCCCCAUCAGCAAGGGAAAACAGUAGUGUCACCCCAAAAAAGGAAAAAUAAAGAAAUGGAGACCAAAAACCAUUCAUUACAAGCUUAUCAGUUGCCAAACUUCCAAGUGAAACCCUCAUAACUUUUUACACUUUCGGCCUGGGGACCGGCUCAAACAUAUCAAUCAACACCCUUUUGGUUGCUUUGACAUUCCUGGCUUCCAACUGGGAUGAUUAGGAGGGCUGCACUUGGCCAGCUCCUCCUCAUGUUUAGAUGCCUCUUAGAAAGGGGAAACCUGAGAACCACUGCUACAAAGCCAUCAAAUAUGGUCACCUCCCCAAGAAUAUUAGCCACAAAGUCAUGAAUUGGUAGCCUUUGGACCCAAAAGAUUUGCAAACAGCCCAGUUGACAUGUGUCUGAAUAUUCAGAAUAAGUUAAUCACAGUUGACGUGUAUUCUCUGGGCUAUACUUAACUAACUUUACAACCAUUUAUUUGUCCCCAUCCAAUUCGAAUUAAGACUGGUCUUGUAAUAUUUUUGGGGUAAGGAACCCCAUUAUAUUGGUGCCACAAGAAACUAAAAUGUAAGACGAAUAGCACAUUUUGGUCUAUGUAUCACCAAUCAAAAUGUACUUUGAUUGAGAGAGGAAUAUGUUCCACGUGUAAAGUGGCCUAAUACUAAAUUAGUAUAUCAAAGUAGAGUACCUUCUUCAUAUAGGCCAAAUAAAUCACGGAACUUCACAACAAAUUCAUAGGAUUACGCAGAUACAAAUUUGCAGUUUAUAUCAUUCAAGCACAAAUUUUGUUUAUUAUAUAUACUCCAAUUAUUUGUAUUCAGAGUCACAUAAGUGGCCUCGUGGCUCUGAAUCAUUCUUGUAGUAUUUGGGCUAAACAACACACGUUAAUAACAAUAAUAUAUAAAGGCUCUAAAGUCCGAUAAUGAAUCCAUAAAUUUUAAGCUAUCAUGCAUAUUUUUCUUUUUUUGGUUUUAGUUUCAGGCUAUAAGCCCCUAAUUGGAUUUUAGGUUCUAGGCCCAUAAAUUUGAUUUGGGUUGCAAGGCCCAGAAUUUGAUUUUGCUGAGUUCAACUUGCAAAUGGUCUACAUUUCUGUGGCCCCCUCGCAGUUGAUCAUCUCCAGUCUCCUCCUUUUGCGGCGAGCGUUCUGUGUCCUUCCUCUCUCGGGCUUCUCUGCUUCUUCUCCCCCUUUCACUUCCUUUUUUUAUGCCUGACAAUCACCGCAAUUUCUUUCUUAUUUUCACUGUAAGUUUCUUCCUUUUAUCAGGUAUUUGUACUUGCAGACAUGAAACCCACAAAUUUUUCCACAGAUUACGCGUACACUUUUACCCUAAAAUUCAGGGAUUUUUUUUGGUAUUUCUUGCCAUUCUUUUUUUCUUUAUUUUUUUUUGCACCACGAACAUAUUUACUGAUCCGUAUUUUUUUUCUUGUAAUUUUCAGCUUUGGUCCGAAAAUAGAAAAGGUUUUGCAGUAAAAAUUCUGUUCAUUCCAGGUUAGUUUACCUUUGAUUCGUAUCAUUAAUCUGCUGAAAUUUUUGUUAAUAUUAUAUGGGCUGAUAUUUUUAAAUAUUUUAAUAUUAGUGUUAUAUGUUUGGCUAUUUACUCUUAUGAUAAGCUUUUGCUUAUGCUUCUUAAGAAGAUAUAGCUGCGUUUUACUGGUUUUAUGUGGUAUUUUAAGGCAUCGAAAUAUUAAUAAGUAUAUUUAAAAAAACAUUCUUAUUGGCCAAAAAAAUUAGUGAUUUUCCCCCCAAUUUAUGCUUGCCCUUCCGAUUUACCUUCUAUGUACACUAUCUCAUCUUCCGAUUUACCCUAGGAUUUGUUCGUCUCCUCUCAUUUAAUUAAAGUGUUUUGAGUUAAUUUAUAAAUCAUUUACACAUUUUUGAAUUUUUUUUCCCAAAUCGAUGGAUUGAUAACUAAAAAGAUACAGCAUGCUAAUAUAUAUAAUUGUAUUAUUUUUAAGUUAGUUCAAAACGGUAUUCUCAUGGUUAUGAAUUAUUGCAAGUUGUUUUUAAGCGUACUAUAAAUUAUUCAUAAUUUUUAAGUAAUUUAACCUAUUUUGUCCGAACCAAUGACACAAAAUUUGUUAAAGAGACAUUGAUCAAUUUGCAAAGAUUAAGUUAUAAAUUCGGCGUAUUAUGAUAAUUAAGAAAUCACAAGAAAAGGGCAAACUUGGAAUAAAAUUGUAUUCGCUCUCCCAAAAUGAAUUUUUUAAUAUUAUAUUUUGAAAUGAGUUUCAAAUGGUACAAAAACAUGACAAUCUUGAAAUUCCUGAACCCUCUUGCUGGCUUUAAAUUUCGCUGGUUGCUGAACUUUUUGUAUGAUUUGCACUUGAGCAGUUCUUUAAUUGUUCUAGUACUAUAUGAACCUCAGUGGCAGUUUUGUUUGUUGUUUUUUUCUCUUUUUACGAAUAAUACCUUUUGGAAUCUGGAAGAUGCUUGUUUAUCAGCCUAUGAAGAGAAAAAUUCCUCCAACACCCUCCUUGUACCUGUAAGUGGAGCUCUUCAUUAGUAAUCUAGGCUCUGAAUUUGACGUAUAAAGAUUGUGAUUUUGACAUCCUAAAUUUGUUUUCUGUUCCCAAAUUUCACACAACGAUGUGUGCUUUUUUGUACGUAACUAUAUUGCUUUGCAGUUGUAAAACAAAUUUUAAUUGUUGCUGUUCCAAUUUGGAGUCUCUUAUUAUUGCAGAUCUCAUUGACCUAGUUCGCCGCAUUUUGCUCGGAGUGUGGUUGGUUUGGAUUUCUUGCUUUGACCAAAAUAGUCCACGCAAAAGGAGCUUAGGCAGAAGAAAUGCUGUCUGCUAAAUCCCUCCCUCUCUCUUCCCCUUUGAUAAAAGCAUCCAAAUCUCCUGAUGCUAAUCUCACCUCAAAAUACUACAUAGGCAUCAACAAAUGGAGUAGGAAUAAGUAUACCAAUCCUUCUCUUAGUUUUCAGAGCUCCUGCCGCGAGACAUCAUCAGAACCAGUAGUUGUACCUGAAGCACGUUCCAUGUCAGCACAAAACAGAGGCGAUUUCCUUUCGGAGGCGCUGCCUUAUAUACAAAAGUUCCAUGGCAAGACAAUUGUGGUCAAAUAUGGAGGUGCAGCCAUGGCGUCUGAGGCCCUUCAAGCAUCUGUAAUAUCUGACUUGGUUCUUCUCCAAUUUGUUGGUAUUCGCAUUGUCAUGGUCCAUGGUGAGGGUCCUGAAAUCAACCAGUGGCUUGGUAGGAUGGGCAUGGAGCCCAAGUUUGUGAAUGGACGUCGUGUCACUGAUGGAACAACCAUGGAAAUUGUUUCGAUGGUAUUGGCGGGUAAAGUUAACAAACAUCUUGUUACCUUAAUCAACAAGGCAGGGGCUUUUGCUGUUGGCUUAUCUGGUAUGGAUGGCCGUCUUUUGACUGCCAGGCCUUCCCGAAAUUCUGCUCAGCUUGGCUUCGUUGGUGAUAUAGCCACUGUGAACCCCACAGGGCUUCGAGCACUCAUUGCCAAUGGUGAUAUCCCAGUCAUUGCCUCUAUAGCUGCUGACAAGACAGGCCAGUCAUACAACAUCAAUGCAGACAUAGUUGCGGGUGAGGUUGCUGCUGCCUUGGCAGCUGAUAAGUUAAUUCUUUUGACUGAUGUGCCUGGAAUUCUAGAGGAGCGAGAUGAUCCAGGAAGUUUGGUGAAGGAAGUAGAUAUCAAAGGGGCGAGGAGGAUGAUGCAUGAUGGGAAGAUUGCAGGUGGGAUGUUUCAAAAGGUGGAUUGCUGCGUGAGGUCCGUAGCUCAAGGUGUCAGGGCUGCAAGUAUAAUUGAUGGACGAGUACGGCACUCAUUACUCCUCGAGAUUUUCACUGAUGAUGGAGUAGGAACAAUGAUCACUGGAUAAAUUGGGUAGCUUGCACACUGUUUAAAGCUACGUGCCGUUUGGAUUAGCUGUUUUUAGAGUAUUUUUAAAAAAUUUUGCUAUAAAAGAUUUUUUAAAUUAUAUUUUAGGAUAUUUUUAAAAAAUAUUUUAAAAUAUUUAAGAGUAGAAGAGUUUUUAGAAUAUAUUUUGAGAUAUUUUUUAAAAUUUUAAAAAAAUUUAAAUUAAUUUUUAAAUUAUUUUUAAAGCAUUUUUUAAAAAUUUUUAUUAUAUUUAAAAAAUUAAUUUUUGAAAAACAAUUCCAUCCAAACAAUUAGCCACUUUAGAAUAUAGUCAAUCUAAAAUGGCAAUCAGGAAAGAAGAAAAAAAAAAGCCAAGAAAAGAGAAUCUCUUAUGAACUGUGACGUUUGUAUUUCCAUCAAACAUUGAGAAAAGGCUGAAGAAUUUAAUAUUCAAUUUGGAGGUUUUCAAGUUUCAACAAAUCAGUUUUGGACAAUUUGCUAGCGUAUAGACAUUUAUAAAUCCAAACUCAAAAGCGAUAUAAAAUAAUAGUGAGAUUUAAUCAUUGUUCAAUUCUGCCUAUCUCAUUAACUUUUUCUAGGGGAAUUAAAUAUAAAACUCAGCAAAAGAACUCCUUAGUGCACCAUUAGCAAAAGAAUGACAAAGGAAAAUUGAAAAGUAUUAUAUUUGUUACCGCAUAUUCAUGUUCUAAGCCCAAGACUAAGACACAUAUAUUUGUUACCCACAUUAUCAAACUAUCAUAAUAAAAAAAUUAUAUACCAUAAGCACAAUACAUUAAGACGCUAUAUAUUGCAUCUGUUUAAAGAUUGGAUGGCUGAUUUUCUUAGAUGCAUCUUCCCCAAAACCUCUUAAAACACGUACUCCAAUCAUCUUCAUAUCAAUGAACACAGAGCAGCCUGAGCAGGGUACAUUAAGCUGUCACUUUAGCUACACAUGCAUACACGACAUGUUAUAAGCUCUAUAUUACUUGUAGACUACAAUUGUAUUUACUUUCAUCAUCUUGUACUAUAUUCCUUUAUUUUUAGGUAAUUUCUCUCGAACUUUUUGAAUAAAUAGUAGAAAGGAUAGGUCAAUAUUCGAUGUUACGAAGUAGUGACUGAGGGAUAGAGUUUUUUUUUUUUCAAUGAAGCUCACAGGCGUAGACAUCUCAAACUAUGCCAAAUAUUUGGCAAGCCACUCCAAGAAUUUUUGUGCCAGAGGCAGCAAAAGUACUGAGUGUGUUUGGAUUGCAUAGUUGUGAAAUAAAAUAAUUUACUUCACAAAUUCCAAUUGUUUUUUUAUCUACCCAAUCACCUUUUUAUUUCAUGUAUAUCACAUCACAAAAGUGCUACAGUAACUAUUUCAAAUAAAUCAUCCAAAUAAACUCCUAUCCAAACAAAUUCGUAUCAAUCAUAUUAUAAAAUGUGACAAUAAAAUGUACAAACUUUACUAUCUGACAAUGUUUUGCCACAAUUUAAAUGUUAUCUAAGGGUAACAUGGGUGACAACUGACAAUUAAUCCAUAUGUGUAUGUGGGAUAUGACGCUUCCACCUCCCCCUAGCGCGAACUCAAGAGUUUGGCUGACCGUCUACUCAGUUCUCGUCAGGAUUCACUCAUUAACAUUUCUAAAAUAGUCUUUCACGUCUCUAGCUUGUCAUAAAAGUUCUAUUAAACCAAUAAUUCACACUUAAUUCACAUCAAUAAUUCAAAACUUCACCAAACCACCAUUUAUAUCUUAGCAAAGACACCAACAAUCCUCCAAGCUUUGAAUAUCAAACAAGUGAAAUUUUCCCACAAAACUCUCGGCAUGACGCUCCGCUUUUCAUCCCCUUUUUAAUUCAAACUUGUUGCUCCUUUUAAAAGCACAUUCGAGGGUAAUUGCUUAGCAAGUUAUGUUGAGCAAAAUUUCACUUUAAAGCUAGAGGAAACGAGACAAAUUCCAAUCCAAGAUUUGGCCAAAACCUUUCAAAAUUUCCAAACAAGGUUCAAGAAAAACUCCUCAUUCUAAUUUUUAUAACGCUCUUUGAAAAGUCAUAACUUGAGUUUCAUAAGUCCAAAAUUCAUAAAUCUUAUACCGUGAGAAAAUAGAUUCAAAAGUCUACAACUCUCUAGAAGGCACUUCCAUAAAAUUCAGUCCAUAAAUUAGUCAAAUUUCAGCCUCAAUUCACUGCUCAACUAAGUGCAAAAAUAGGACAGUCUUGAAUUUUCAGCCCAAUUUGAAAUUUUGCUGGUAUUUAUAGAAAGUGAACCAAACCAUGAAUUUUACACGAUUAAAAGAGCUAUGAGUCUAGUUUCAAAUGCAACAAAUGAGACUCAACUCGGAUUUUUCUACACAAAGAUAUAAUAGAUUUCCCAAAACUGCUCAGAAUCUCCUGCGAAAAACAUUUUCAGCAACACUUGACUCAACCUUCCCACUUAGGCUCAUAAUUUUUGGUUCAAAUCUAACUCACAAUCAAAGUUUAAUAUCUAACAAAGUUUGUGGAGUAAGAUUUCUUCCAAAAUUUUUGAAAAAUAAGAGCUAAUAGCACUCAAAAGUUUCGGCCAGCAAGAAGCAUUCAAAAUAGAAAAUUUCCUCAAGUUAUCUACCUAAAUCAAGAUUUUCAAAGAAACCCAUCAACAACCCAUCAAAGAUCCAAUCUUUCUAGUUACAAGUCUCGUACAAGUCCAUAACAAAGCUAGAUACCAUCAUAUCAUGGAUGAAAAAUAUAAAACAAGGCUGAAAAAAAUAAAACCCUAUGCUGGAAAUUUCACCAAUCUUCACAAAUCUAGGUUGUCAUCCAUAAAACUUCCAAUUUCAAGACAUCUUCCAAAAAAAAUUGCAAGAUAAGAAAGAUAAAGGGAGUCUUCCAACUCAGUACCUUAAUACCUCUAGGAGAAAGUGAAAAACCAAGGCUUCACUCUCCAAAAAUCUCCACUAUAAGCUUCCUUGCUACCUUAUUGUAACUUUGUUCGGUUUAGAUUUGUGAUUCUUGUUGAUCUUCACUCAAACAAAAUGAAGCUUUCUUUUAUCUUUUUUUUUUUUCUCUCUCUCUCUUGCUCGGCCAAAGAAGGAAGCAAAUGAAUAGGUUUGAGGAGAAUUUACAAGAUAAAGACUAGAAUGGUCUUUGGUCAAGUUGGCUUGAUGGCCAAGAGUUGUCGCUCUACCAUUUUUCCUCUUAGGGUCUGUUUGUUUGAAUUCAAAAUAUUUUCCAGAAAAUAGUUUUCCGAUUUUCUGGUGUUUGACAGUAGAAGGCGUUAGGCAAAUAUUUUCCAGUGUAAAAUGUUUUACGCUACGGGACGUAAAAUAACUUAAAGAGCAGACAUACAGAAGUUAAUUUCCAUCAAACUCAUGAAGCCAAUCAGCCAUUUCAGGGCUUACCUAUUAAGAUACUCACAAAAAAUAAGAAAUACCAAUACUGAGACCAUCAUUAAAAAUCCAUCCCUGCGCCUGCUACGAAAAACCCCAUUGUCUACCACCUUUCCCUCCUCCUCAUCUUCGCCUAUCCUACUCCUUUCCUCCCAUGCCAGCAUAAACAAUGCAUCCAUGGAGAUGUAGAAAAUCUAUACCGAGAGCGGGUCUUGAUAAGUUUUUGGGUGAGAGAAAUCUGGAAAAGUGAAGGAGAUAGAAUGGAGGAAGACUUUUAUGCAGAAAAGUUUGCAACAGAAUUCAAGAGCUGCUUUUCCGUAUGAUGAUUGAUCAAUUAUAAGGUUUUAAUUACUGAAGUAAUUUUUAUUGACAUAUUAUUAAUUUGAAUCUUUAUUGGUAUGAUGUGUAAUUGGUCUGAGAAAUUAUGAAUUCCUUUCUGAAGUUUGAUAGAUUUGGAGAUUGAAAGAAUCUCUGGUUGAGAUGGUAGAUCCAGUGUACGUGAGAUGACGGUAGUUGGAGGGAUUCUACCGGGGAAUCUUCUUCUUGUAGGUUUUAGUUUUGUGGUGCAUUUUCAUAAAACUGCACCAAACACUGGAAAAUAAAUGAAAAUGAAAAUUUUUUCAGGAAAAUUAUUUUCAUUGAAAAUGUUCUCCUUGGGAAAAAAUUUUACAUUGAAACAAACGGUCCCUUAUUUUUGUUCUUUUUCCUCUCUUUUUUGGUCAAUAAUUUCAGCCAGCCAUAGGGAAAAAUUAGGGAAAGAAAAAUGAAAGAAAAAUAAGAAGAUUAGGGAAAAGAAAGUCUUGGUCAAGUGGUGUGCUUGAUCGAUAACAAACGGCUCGAGUUAGUUCAUGCCUAUCUCUUUGUUUUCCCUUGUGGUUCUUAUAGCUAAUCCAUCUCGUUUCCUCUAAUACACUCUUAACACUUCUAAUCAUAUACUCCCUCUAAUACCACACUCGUUCUCGUCCACCAAAUUUAACGCACACAUCUCACUAAUCGGUCAACUACUUUAAUUCUCUACGGAACUUAACAUGCACUAAAAUAUAAAAGGGGAAUGAUAUAACUCUUGACUCAAUCAAGAAAAUUACCAUGAAAUUAAGGCAAGAAUAAGAGAGUUUAUAAACUAAAUUUUUUUUUGGGUUCUCACAUGGCAUAUCACCUAAGAGCAUCUUAAUUGGACCAUAAGACUCAAGACUAAAUGAUUAUAUAAAAUGCAACCACAUAAUCUGAAUAUUUGCGUCAAAUCAGAACUUCACAUUUGUUACUUAAAUUUGUCAUUGGGGUUUAUAAACACUCUCAAAAGAUUCUUGCCUGACUAGACAAAUCUGUAUCAAGAAAUAAGCAAUCAAAUAGGCUUAAUUUGAGUAUAAAAGGAACCGUAAGGAAUAUGCCAAGCAUAUGAUUGGUAGCUGACGAGUUCCCCUGCAACAACUGAAACUAGACUUGGAUUCUUGCUCGUUUCCGUUUUAGCCAAAGUUUUUAUACACUGAUUAGAAUAAAAUUUGAUGACGCAAUCAUAUAGGAAAAGAAGAUCGCACAAAAUAGAAAAACAAAGACAUUUUCAAGUGGUUCAAAUGUCUAAUCCAUAGCAAAUUUUUUUUUUUUUUAAAAAAAUCUCCUUAAUUUGUUUCUUUUAUUUCUCGUUGGUGACAAAGUGCAAUGGCUGGCAAAUGAUUUUAUAACUGCAUCUCUCUCUCUCUCUCGUUUUUUUUGGGGUAGGAAUAAUUGCAUCUUUGGUCUUCUGGUUCUAACAAGUGUAUCUCAGGAUUGCACAGUUCUCUGAAGUUGCGUUAUGGUGAAAGGCGUGUCUAGCAUAGGGCUUGCUGCAAAUUUUUGAGCCUCAGCAGGGCAAGAUUCUGGGGAAGUAGGGAUAGCUUGACAUUGUUGACUUUUUUUUUUUUUUUUUUUUUUGUGGUGGGGUUGUUGGUGGGAGGAGGGGGUCUUAAUUGUAGAAGAAUGUAAUUGAUUUUGAGAUCAGGCAGAGAAUUUUCGAAGGAAAAAAAAACUUAUGAUUGGGUGUUACAACAAUUGGAGGACAGGAGUUCAUGUGAUAUAAUAACUUGUAAAGGGUGAGACUAAAGUAUGUUGUACAACUCACAACUAUAAGACUUGAAAACAAGCCUUUUCAAUCAACUUCUAAGGCUCGAGAACUAAUUAAAGUAUUAAAACCAAGGUUAAUUUGUUAGUGAGCCACACAAAUAUACAAGAAAGGUGUAUUUUAGAAGUUGUUAACUUUCUACUAAUGAUACCUUUGGAAUAAACAAGAAAGCUAUACUAACGUAUAUUUGUGAAGUAAAGUUAUUUCACUUGUAUCUAUUGUAAAAAACAAAAUGAAAAGAUGCAAAUAUCAACUUAUGCUGCAGAUGCCUUGCUAAUUAGCCCUCCUAUAAUCAACUUACACUAUUAAGCAUGACAUCUUAUGAACAAUGAGGGGUUAAUAAUUGUGGUUUUUGAAAAUAUUGAGUAAUUUAAUUAUGUUAUCUUCUUAAUUAGGAGGUGAAUAGCAUCACUCAACUUCCACAAAUUAUUCUCUGGCCCCAAGAAAAAGGACAAAGAUAAAAAAAAAAGGAAGAUCUUCCAUAAAGAACUGGGGUGGCAUUUGGCUCGCACAUCGGAAUCGGAUUCGGAUUCGGAAUCGGAUAUCCUGGGUUUGGAACGAGAUCAUUCAUUCCAAUACAUUUGUUUGGUUCAAAUACCUGGAAUUUGUGUCAUUACUAUAGUUGAUGUUUGAUUCGUCGACUCUUUCAGAAUGGAAUAUAAUAAAUAUAUUAUAAACCACAUCGUAAAUAAUUGUUAUUGGCUCUUUGUAAAUGGGAUAUAAGAAAUUUUCACUAAUUAAAUAUAUUAAUAUAAAUGUAUUAGUAAAUUUAGUCUAACUAAUUAAAAAUUUCUAUUAGUAAACAUGUUUAGUUAUUAGUAUAAUUGAUAAUAUUAAUUAUAUUACAUAAAUUAAUAUACAUUAUAUAAUACAUAUAACUAAUAAUAAUAUUAUUAUAAGUUCGUAACUAAUUAAAUUAAAUAUUAUAUAUAAUUAGACAUAAAUAUAUAAUUACAAUUAUAUAAUAUAUACAAAUAUUAAUUAUACAAAUAUUUUAUAUAAAUAUAAUAUAUAUUACAUAUUAAAUAUAGUUAUUAUUAUAUUUAAAAUAAUAAUUGUAAUUAUAAUUAUAUAACUUAUUAAUAUUACAUACGUGUAUAUAUUAUAAUUAUAUGCACAUAUAAUAGACAUUUAUAUUAUAAAUAUAUUAUUAUAUAAUAUUAAUAAAUUUAUAAUAUAUAUUAUAUAAGUAUAAUUAUAUUUAACUAAAUAAUUAUAAUAUAUAAUUAUAUAAUAUAAUAAUAUCAUUAUUAUAAGUUUGUAACUAAUUAAAUUAAAUAUUAUAUAUAAUUAGACAUAAAUAUAUAUUUAUAAUUAUAUAAUAUAUACAAAUAUUAAUUAUACUAAUAUUUUAUAUAAAUAUAAUAUAUAUUACAUAUUAAAUAUAGUUAUUAUUAUAUAUUAUUAUAUUUAAAAUAAUAAUUGUAAUUAUAAUUAUAUAACUUAUUAAUAUUACAUAUAUGUAUAUAUUAUAAUUAUAUGCACAUAUAAUAGACAUGUAUAUUAUAAAUAUAUUAUUAUAUAAUAUUAUGAAAUUUAUAAUAUAUAUUAUAUAAGUAUAAUUAUAUUUAGCUAAAUAAUUAUAAUAUAUAAUUAUAUAAUAUAAUAAUAUCAUUAUUAUAAGUUUGUAACUAAUUAAAUUAAAUAUUAUAUAUAAUUAAUUAUAAUUAUACAAAUGUUAUAAUAAUUAAUUAUUAAUUAUAAAAAUGUUAUAAUAUAUAUAAAUAUUAAUUAUACUAAAUAUUAUGUAAUUAUAAGAUUUUGGAAUCAUACUUGGAUUUUGGACAAAACCCACCCCUUUAUUAAGGAAUGGAGGGUUGCCAAAUUUUUAGAAAUCAUUCCAAAAUUUCAAUUCCCAUACCAAACACUAAUUAUGGAGUUUAUUUCAUUACUUCAUUCCGAUACCCUUUUACCAAACGCCCCCUAGGUUGUAAUUCAGUCAUGAGAAGGAGAUGUAAGUCAAACCUACAGUCCAAUAAUUAGACCCCAUCACUUUCUUGGUCUUUGGCAGCUUGUAUUAUUGUGGUGAUGACCAUUGUUUUCAUUCACGUCAUUUCCUUGAGGCAAAACAGGAUGAUUAUGUAAUGCCCUUUGCAGAAAUCAUAAGAAAAGUGCUUGUAAUGUUCAAACAAAAAAUUGCUGCAGUAUAUUAAGAAAAUAACUUUUGUUAAAUGUUGGAAGUUUUUUAAUUGAUUAUGGUGCUGUUGUGAGUGCAAAUUUCGUGGGCUAAUUACUUUUAGGUUAUAGCUAAAAGAAGGAAAAAGAAAAACAAUAAUGUGGCAUGUGGAUGCUCUUCUUUUACACCUAGUUAUGAUAUAAAAGCUUAAUGAAAAUUGUUUCUUUCCCCCACAAUUUUGAUGCAUGGAAUUAGAUUUUUUUUUAUAUAAGGAAGGCCGUAUUGGUGAUACAUCUUGCAUUUUAGUCUAGUUAGAAUUCCAUGUGACCUGAACAUUUUCGUAUAAUUCUGAACCAAAUAUUGGAAAAUUCACUGUCUUUCAUAAACUUUAUAACAUCAAGUUGAAAUAAAAAUGAACGAACUGAAAAGCCACAACCUUACAUUUUGUUAAAUAAAAAAUACAAUUACUAAUAAACGACUGAUUAUUAAAUAAAACUCUUACAAAUUGAAGCAUAAUUUUUUCCCUUACAUUUUGUCAUAGACUUAAGACUAACAAAAUAUUGCACCAAAAUCAUGUCCAAAUGAUGCUGUAUUAGCUCUUAUGGAGCUUAUGAAAUGGCCUAAUUUUCUACACUCCGAGAUAAUGUCAAAUUUUUUGGGGAAAGCUAAACUAUUGACAGGGAUCGAAUUGAUUUGUCUAAUAAAGCUAAAGGACUAUAAUGUUUAAGUACGAUUUCCUGAAUGAGUUUAGGCACCUUAGGGUUACGUACCCAUUUUGGUUUUUGACCAUUUAUAAGCUACGUGAUUCACAUGCAUAGUGCUAUUAUUGCACACAUAAAAGUUCAAAUACAAAUAUUCUUAAAAUUGAAGGGUUCCAUCCGUCCAAUCAUUGAUAACGUUGGCUAUUUGUUGUAUUAUAGUAAUAUGACAAUAGCAAAUUAUCAAAAUGUUAUGGUGUUGCAAUUUUCAAAUCGAAGAAUCUUCAUAUCUUAAAAGAAUUUCAUUAUAAUUGAUUAAUAGGAUAGGAGAAAAUUGAAAGACUUUUCAGUUUCUUUUUUGAUAAGAAAACAACAAAAAAAUUUUAUUACUGAGAUUACUGGAAACCGUCCAGUACGAUUUGCUUGACAAAAUUUGGAGGAGCAGACCAAAGAGAUUCAUGAAGGGUGGCAAUCUUUGCUUGGUUGGCUAAGGUAUGCGCAACCUCUUAUUUACCUCCCUUGGUAUCCAUUUGACAUCAAUACAAAGUUGAUCUAGUAAGGCUAAGCAUAUGUCCUCAAGAAUCAAGCCUAAGUCAGACAGGAUGUCUUCCUUAGCGAGAAUGAGUUUAAUAAUUGAAGAUGCAUCUUCCUCUAAAAUAAAGCUUGGGAUCAUUAGAUUUCGAGCCAAGCAGACCGCUUUCCUAGCAGCAUGGGCUUCCGCUAUUUCUGCACUCACCGAACCAACAAAUUUCUUUGCGAGGCCAGCUAUAAAAGAGCCUUCAUGGUCGCGGACUACUACACCAAUGCCAAAGAUGCUUUGAGCUGUGGAUAUGGCAGCAUCAAAUUAAUUUUAAAAUGGGGGGAAGGCGGGGCUGACCAUUUCAAUUGAGCAAUCUGUGAUGGAGUCAUAGUAGGACGAGCAUUGGCCUCAUGAAAUUCACUAAGACUGUGCGUUGCCAAGUUGACUAAGGACAUGGGAUGCCAAAAUAUGCCAUUGAACAGAGCAGAAUUCCUGUUGUUCCAGAGUGCGUAGUACAACACAGCAAAAAUUUCACAUUCAGCCCCAGUCAGCGAACGAAUAAUUUCCUUGUACCAAAGCUCAAAACUGGAGUGUUGGCAACUCUGAAUUUUCCGCUCUAGGAAGACAAGUGCCCAGACUUGCACUGCCAUUGGGCAGUAGAAGAAAAUGUGGGAUAGGUUGCCAUAGGUCCCUUUGCAGAUAGCACAAGUGACAUCCGAUAGGAUUCUGCGCUUCAUGACGAGGUGCUUUGCUUUUGUUGGGGAUAUCGAGGGCCCAAAUCUUUUCAGUUUCUAGAAGAUAUCCCUGUGUAGCAAAUCCAAAAUCUUUAGAUUGUUCAAUAUUUUGUGAUCAUCUAUAUGUAUUUGAAAUUUGAAUAUACAGAUGAUCACAAAUCUGAUCACACAAACACACACGAUAAAAAUAUAUACAUAUACAUAUAUAUAUAUAUAUCACGAUAAAAAUAUAUACAUAUACAUAUAUAUAUAUAUAUAUAUAUAUAUAUAUAUAUAUAUAUAUAUAUAUAUAUAUAUAUAUAUAUAUGUCAUUCAAAAAAGCUCCAUUCCAGAACCAUACGUGAAAUUUUAGCUUUAUACGCUCCUGCCCUCUGUGUAUAAGGAAAAUAAUACAAGGACUUAAAAAAGAUUAAAACAUUCUCAUUAUGAACUGGAUGGGGCUAGUGUUUUUACAAAAAAUAUCUAGCCAACCUUCCUACAAGAGAUCCAAACCUGUUGGGACUAUAAAUAAAAAUGAUACCUACAACAAUUUCUUUGUUUUCAACGCUUCCUAGUUUUUAUCCUACCAAAAUAAAUAAAUAGAACUUAAGCCCCCUUUUGAUAUGGGAAUGAACUUAUGCCCCUGGCCCCUACCUCUUUGAGAAGAUAUUUUAAUUGUAUAUAAAAUGAAAUUUCCACAAUAAAUGCAAGUCCUUUUUUCGCCUGUUCCUCAUAGAAAGUCGAUCAAACAAUUCCCAAUCAUGGUCCCCUCAAUUAUUUUCACCAUAUAGAGAUAUAAGCAAGCAUUGCGAGCAGGUGAUGCGAGAUAAUAUAUAUAUCCCUAAGUGUAAAUUCACAUGGCAAAAUCUAAAUCAUACGUUUAAAAAUUUAGAAUGAGCGGCCAAAUCAUGAACACUAAUCGCAAUUGAGAGUCGACAACAAGUGUGACUCUAUCCAUUUAAAUGGUAAACUACUUCCACCAUUGAGAAAACCCACAUUCAAAAUAUGUUAAUGUGACCAGGCUAUUUUCUAUUCACCAAGAUAUUUUAUUAAGGGAGAUCUGGUCUCUAUCAGCACGCUACAUAAUUUGUACUAUCGGACUUUGUGUUGAAUAUAUUAGAAACUUCGAUAAUUAAAAAAAAUAUAUCAAAGUAAAAAAAAAAAAAAAAAAAGAAGCUAAAUCUCAAGUACUCAUACAAUUGGUGCACAUGUCCAUAUUAUUAUUAUGUCACUUAAGACUGUAUUUCUUGAUUGGGGCAGCACGCAUUACGUAAGCGAUUCUCCAUAUUUUGGAGUUUGGCUUUGGCAUGCGCAAAAUAGUAGAACUUGUCUAAUUCAUUGUACUAGGCAUGAUGAUGGAUGCCAUAGUGUCAAUUGCAACUUGCAGUGAGAAAUGCAAUAGUCAAUGAUGAUUGUGCUAAAUACGUUACAUAUAUACAUUAUAUACACAUAUACAUAUACAUGUAUAUUUGUAUUUGUCUCUUUGCAGAUUGUAGAACUUGUAUAAUGGUGAGUCACAUCAUCAACUGCUAAGAAAUUCUUGCAAGUAAAGAGAUGCAUAUAUUGUUAUCUGACCACUAUAUAUAUAUAAAAAAAAUGUAUGUGUGUGUGUUGAUAUCAUAACUAAAUCAGGUAGUAUAGCCUUGCGAAUAAUCACGUAGUGGGUGUGAAAGGACAAAAUUUGAGGAACAAGGUAGGGUUAAUUGAAGAUUUGCAUGGAUUAAUUUAAAUUGUCAAUUGUCUUUUGAAUGUGCAAUAAGUUGCAAACAAAGUUUAACUCACGUUUAUACUUUAUAGGUUUGGAUAAUAGAUGCCGUGAGCGCAUUCUUUAAAUAUAAGUGUGUGCAUUCAUAUAAUAAAUUAAGUGCAAUAUAUAUGUACUAACGAGUGUCCCAAUGGCACUCAUUAAAAAUUGGAUGUUUAUAUACUUAGGUAUACUUGUAUUAAAAAUAUAUUAUAUCAAUGAGUAUAGAAGAUUAAUCUAAAUAUAAUGGAAUUGCCUUAGAGUUCCAUAGUAAUUCCCUCUCCCAUGUACGCAGAGCACACAAUUCUAUUAUCAUUAAUAACAGUAUUGAUUUUUUUUAAGUGUGUCCUGCAAGGAGUGGACCCCGCAAACUAUUCACCACCCUCAGCAACUUGCUAGCAGCAAGGUUCGAACCAGGGACCUGAGACUCCAUCUUCAGCAACCUCAACCACCAGACCAAGCCCCUGAGGGCAAUAACAAUAUUGAUUGAUGACAAGCCACUGCCAAAAAUGUGAAAUUCGUAUGAUGUAAAUUGAAUAAUUACUUUUUUGGGUAGGUCACUACAAGAAAUUUGACUUUUUGUGAUAACAUUCUCAAUGACAAAAGAGAAAUUUGUUACAAUUGCGAAAAGGGUAAAUUCCACUUUGUCCCCUCAAACUAUAAGCAGAAUCCCACUUCAAUCCCUAAACUUUAAAAUGGGACAUUUAAAUCCUUAAACUAUAAAACAUGUCUCGCUUUACUCCAAUUUUUAACAGAAUGCACGAAACUUAACGGAAUAGUUGCCAAUUCUGUUAGUUAUUAUUAUAAUUAAAGUUAACCAAAUCCAAUAGGGACAUAAGUGUAAUUUCUUGAAAUCCAAAGCUUUUGAUACGCUCCAAAUUUUUAAAAAUUAUUCAUUCACCUUCUUUCUCUUCCUCCCCAUCUCUCCCUUCAUCCCAGCCACACACCACCCAUGCCACCCACUACCACCUUUUGCCACCAGAAGCUCUAACCCUACCCUUGACUCGUAGCCUUGCAUUAGUUAAUUCUUGUAACAUAAUCACAAAAAAAAAUAAUUAAAUAUCAGAAACCAAAUCAAUAUCAACAAAAAAUUUUACAACAAAAAAAAGGAAAGAAGAAAUUCAAAGAACAUGCUUGGUAUGAACAAUUUUGGAGGGUCUGACAUUUUUGGGGUCAUUAUUAACAAGCUACGAGGCUCAAGACAUGCAACUCAGUUUGGACAACCUAGAGCUAUAGACAACAAAGAGGAAGAGUCGAAAAAAGAAUCUCCUCCAACUCCAACAUAAUUACACAUUCCCAAACCCAAUCUGAAUCUCAUCAAGACUACCUUCUGUUGUUGGUUUGGAUAUGAACACCCAUUCAUCUUCUUACUUUUAAUCUAUUUUCUUAUUCACAGAUCCAAACCUAUGUAAAAGAUAAACAUAUUCACGAAUCCCACAAAAAUUAGUCGUGCCUAGAACAAAUGGAAAUGAAUUUAGGAGAUGAUAUAAAAAUUGAAAAAAAUAAUAACAACUAAAUACUUUUAUUAGCACAAAAUAAAUGUGGAAAAAUAAUGGGUUUUAAAAGAGAGAAAGGGAUAGGGGCAGAACUUGGUGGUGGGUCAUGUGGUGGGAAGAGGAGAGCAAUAGAGCAAUGGAAGGCUAGGCUGAUAGAGAAAGUAUGGAACGAGAGAUUUUUGGUGGGGUGAAUGAAGAAGAGGGGAUAAGAAAUUGGGUGGGGCGGCUAUUCAAAGAGGAGACAAAAAACAAGUUACAGGUUGUGAUAAGUACAAUUGGUGAUGUAUUGGUAUGGCAAACAUUUUGUGAUUUCUUCUGUGAUAAAUGUCUUAUUUUUGGAUUCAUCACUGGGGAGUGGGGAGGAGAAUGAAGUAGUAAAGCGUGGCGGACGAUGAUGGCAGGAGAAAAGGGAGAUGAUGGUGUAGCAGUGGUGGAUGUGCAGUAUUGGAGGAAGAAGGCAGUGAAGAAAGAAAGAAAAAAAAUAGAAAAGGAAAUGAAAGGAAAAUAGAAAAAAAGGUGGAAAAAAUAAAAGAAAAGGAAAGUUUAAAAAAAUGGUUUUUUUGUUUAAAAAAGGGAAAAACUUUAAUUAUUAUUAUUAAAGAGGUAAAAUUAUCUUUAUUUCUCUGUCUCUUUGUUUUUUUUUUAUAUUGGGUCUCAUGAAAUUAAAUUUAUGUCCCUAUUAGAUUUGAUUAAAUUAAAUUAUAAUUAUAACCUAAAUGAAUUGGCAACUAUUCUGUUAGGUUUUGUGCAUUCUGUCAAAAUUUGGAGUAAAGUGGGACGGAUUAUAUAGUUUAAGGAUUUAAAUGUCCCAUUUUGAAGUUUAGGGACUGAAGUGAGAUUUUGGGCAUAGUUUGAGGGGACAAAAUGGAAUUUACCCUUGCGAAAAUUAAGUGAUAACUUUUGAUGUCAUCAUAGUUGACCAUGGGUACACUCAUCAACAGUGACAACAAGGGAUCAGUCGUCACAAUAUGGAUGGCGCGCAACUAACGGGUGUGGCAGGAGAUCACCACUGUGAUGACUGGAAAAUAGGUUAUACUGAAAAAUUCAUACGGGUGCAUAGUGCACCUGUCUAGUCUGAUAGUGGUUUAGUUCGCAUUAAUUUCCUGUAUAUCUAGUUAGACCUCUCCCUAAGAUUAUAUUAGAGUAGGGUAGUAUAGAUAAAGUGACGAUGACAAAAUAAAAAAAAAAAGAUGAUUGAGGAGAAAUUUCAGUACUCUAGUCUAAGCAAUUGUAGCAAAGUUAUAUAUUGAACCGUGUAUAGAAUAUGUCUUAUCAAAUCGAGUGAAGAGGACAACUCUUUCUUUCUCCUAUUGACAAUUCCUUCAAUUUAUGAGAAAAUAAGAUCGAUUUAUACAUUGACUUUUUUUAUUUUACAUUUACAGACGAGAAUUUUUCAAAUCUCUAAUUCUAUUUGUUUCAACAAAAAAAAAUUUAGUAAAAACUUGACUCGAUUUUUGAAUGGUGAAGCCAUGUUAAGAUAACACCAUUAGUUGUAAAAAUCAAAUAAUGCUAAUUCGAGAUAGUUUUGGGGCAGAACUAUGAUUAUACACGUGCUACAUUAGACAGAUACUAGCAAAAAUUAGAGAAGACAAGGGACUAAACUCAUAUUAGUAAUUAUUAAGUCUAGUUAUAAACAAAAAAUUGUAAAUGCAUAAAGCUAAGCAAGAGCGGACUUGUGCAACUUUUAAGGGUACAAAUUUGUCCACUUGAGCUACGUUGAUAAUUCAAUCAAUUUAUAUAUAGUUCAUAAAUAUUUAGAAUAUCAAAAUAGAGAUUCUAAACUUUGCAAAGGGAAGAAAAGAAGGGAAUGGUUAAAUGUCAAACCAUUUGUUACUUUUUUUUUUUUUUUUUUUUGUUGCUUGCGGAGUGGGUGUUCGGGUCAAUCCUUACGGGGCCCGACUAAUCCCACUUCGGCUAGGGAGGAGAGGCCCCAUCCCCCCGAACACGAUAAUCACAGGACUCGGAUCUUUGCGGGUACUGGACACCAGUUCCUAAGAAGGUUUGCUGAAACCAACCGAAUUACCCAUGAGGAACAGACAAUUUGGUGGCCCUGACCUCCCACCGGUGGCCACUGAGCUUUAACCAUUUGUUUACUUGGUCAUUGUCCUUCUCAAUUCAAUUGAACCGACCAUUAUAUUCAAUUGGACAAGUAAUUGUUGUAUACCUUUUAAUUUUACCUAAUCAGCCAAAGCGGGGCAGGUCUGGUCCAAGAACACUCAGGUCUGGGCAGCGACAAAUGAGCUAAGUAGAACCAAUUAGUCCAUGGGCAUGAGCCCAAGCGUGGCAUCAAAUGAUGGUGUCAUUGAAAUUUUUUUUUUUUUUUUCAAGUAUGAGUGGAAGAUCUCGAAUUCGGAACUUCUCAUUUACGUUCUCUUCCCGUACUGUUCAAUCUCUCCCUCCCCCUGGUGUUAUUGACUUGAUUGUUCAUUUGUCACAACAUCGAAAACAAUUGAUUGUAGGAGAGCAAAAAGUUUAAAUUUCAUCAUUAGUUCACAAAUAAAAGACACAUCAAUUUUUUUCCUAGAAGGAGAGGAUAAAAAUUUAUAUAGAAAAUAUCUUCAGAUAGUAUUAAAUUAGUAAUUAACAAUAUGUGGAGAAAAAAAUCAGUUUCACAUAUACUACUGUUUCUAGAAAACCCAAGUUAAAAAAAAAUUUCUUAGAGCGUUCUCUGACUAUAUAUUUUAAUUCACAUAUGAUCUUCACUAUAAAAUGACUAUAGUAAUAAUUUAAAAAUAAAAAACACUUUAAAAACAACCAUUCAAGUAGAUCCUAAGAUUUGCUGAUAUAUGGUGUUAGGAAUAUAACCACAUAUUAUUAUCUUUCUUUCUUGUAUUUUUAGGUAAAUCAAGAAUUUGCACUUCAUUUUCAGGAAAAAAAAAAUCCCCAUGUGCUAUCAAUUAUUAAGAUGAUUUCCAUAAGAAGAAAGCAAUUAGGUCAUUCAAAAAUCAAAGAAGGGAAAGGUCAAAAUCCAAAAAGGGACAAAGAGAAGUGAGAAGACAAGAGCUACAACUUGGAUAUACAGUUGGCAAUCGGGAACAGGAGCACCAGCAGUUGCUGCUACAAAUCACGGGUUUCCUUUGUGUUUCAGUGCGUGAAUGUGUGUGUUGGGGAGGGGGUCACUCACUGUUCAGCCAAACCUUUCUACGACCUUCCAUGUGACAAAUUGACCAACAACACGUUCGGAUGCUUCCCUGAUCGAGGGGAAUGGACUGCACCACACCUUGCGUACUUGAGCUGUCGCCUGUCUUGUACGCGCAACCAUUUCCAGCCAUUUCUUGAUGUGAAUGGUCAUCAUUAUUAUAAGGGAAGGAAAAAAAAGGGUUAAAUUUUGUGAGAAAAUUUUAACAUUCUCCUAAUAUUAUAUUAAUUUUGAAGGUGUUUUUUUUAGUAAUUUAGUGGUGGUUUAAUGUUGUUUAAGUGCUUUCACUUUGAGUUGAAUUGUAAUAUAUUAGUAUUAAUUUUGUCGUCGUGACAUAAUUGUAAUUUCGUCGACAGAAGUGUUCUUGAUUUGAUGCAAUUAUGAGAAUUGCUUCUUAAAUUCUACUCCUCUUUUGCUAAUUUUUUUUUAAUAAAAAAAAACUGCUUUCAGUUUGAGUUGCUGAAAUGCUGUUUUGUAAUCUAUUGAUGUUGAUUCUGUAAUCAUGAAUGAUUAAAUCCCAAUUUCAUCAAUAGAAAUGUGUUCAAUUUAGGGUAACUAUGGGAAUCAUUAGUGGGCAAUCUAGACUUAAUAGGGGAAAAAUAAAAUUUAAUUUUUUUGGGGCAAGAAAAAUUAUGCCAUAUCUUAGACCAAUAUUUAACAAAGAUGUUUGGACUUCAAAUCCCUAAAAACAUAACUAAAUGGAAAUUUGAACUCUCAGUGUUUCUUUCUUUCCCUUCUUAGCUAUUCACAAAGGCACGCAUGAUGUCUAGUAACGGUUGACCAAAUUAUAUGCUCUCUUUUCCUAAGAAUAUCACAUGAAUUUGUACAAAAGCAACUCCAUCCAAAGUCUUCAUUCGAUUUUUCUUAUGAAGGACAAUCAAACUCUUUGAGUUCAAACAUGAGCUUUAGAAUCUACUUUCAACUUACGUUUUAACUUUGGAGAACUAUCCUUACCAACCAAAAGAGUUAAUGGAUUUUGCUUGCCUGAGUGAGUUUUUCGAUCCAGGCAACUGCAUUAACAACCCCACUUUUAGUUCAACUUCCCACGGGGCCGGUUUUGCCUUUCCCAAUCCUUACCUGCUUCAAGAAAGUUUUAACCAAAAAUGAAGGGAGAUAUCAGUUCUAGUUGAGUUGCUUUAGAGAGAGAUCUGUGAGGAUGAGCAAGGAGGGGAAGCAAUUGCUUCCCCAUCAGCAAGGGAAAACAGGAGUGUCACCCCAAAAAAGGAAAAUAAAGAAAUGGAGACCAAAAACCAUUCAUUACAAGCUUAUCAGUUGCCAAACUUCCAAGUGAAACCCUCAUAACUUUUUACACUUUCGGCCUAGGGACCGGCUCAAACAUAUCAAUCAACACCCUUUUGGUUGCUUUGACAUUCCUGGCUUCCAACUGGGAUGAUUAGGAGGGCUGCACUUGGCCAGCUCCUCCUCAUGUUUAGAUGCCUCUUAGAAAGGGGAAACCUGAGAACCACUGCUACAAAGCCAUCAAAUAUGGUCACCUCCCCAAGAAUAUUAGCCACAAAGUCAUGAAUUGGUAGCCUUUGGACCCAAAAGAUUUGCAAACAGGGGGCUUAGAAUUUCCCAGUUGACAUGUGCCUGAAUAUUCAGAAUAAGUUAAUCACUACAGGCUUCAUAAGAACCAGAAUCAAACAGUGGUUUUCAGCUCCUCCAAGCAUUUUCUGACCUAAAUUUCAUUUUCUUAGUCCCCUUAUACCGUGAUUUGCUGACUGAAAGACCAGUCCCACAGACCUAAAAGAAUAAUUCAAUUAGAAACAUAUGGAAAUAUGGUAAAGACCCUGAAUUGCAGUAGAUUCUGGAGGAUAUAGGGAUCAAAGAACUGUUCAGCAACAUAAAACAAGCCCAUUUGACAAGAAGAAAGGCAAUAUAUAUACCCGCCACACUAGUUAAAAUUCUUAGCCAUUUCUUUUUAUGCAGGGGGGAUAUGAUAAUUAGCAACUGCAUGCCAGUAGUAAGCAGGAAUGAGAACAUUAUUCCAUCUGAAGCAACUCCAGCCAGAAAACAAAGCUAGGACGGGAAUAAUAAAGCAUUAGAUAGCUCGCAUGCAAUGCCUUAUGCAUCGCCAGAUGACAAAAAAAAUCUAAUUAUCACAACACAACAACCUCUUGACUACCCAUUUUUAUUCUUUAAAGCCAGUUACGAACACUUUCACACAGAAACCAGAGGGUAAAGUAUAAGACAUGGAAAACGCUCACUUUCAGCAAAUGGAGUCCAUGUUUUGAUUGCUAACCUGCCUAUAAAAUAUGUAGUUAAACUCCUAACCAAUAAUCAAAAUUUAAAUCUGACAGGAUCGGGAAUCUGAUAAUGAAUAUCGGGAUUGUUUUCCCUUUGGACUUUGACCAAAUCAACAUUGAGUAAUAGAAAUGCCAAAAGAAGCUGGUGUCAUCUGGCAAGUCCAGAGAAGAUGUUUCUACCGCACAGACAACAUUCCUAUAGACGUCAAAGUACCUCAGCCUUAAUAAAACAGGUAAUUCUCACGUCCAUACAAAUAAUUACAAGAGGGGAUAACGGAGGAUAAUAAAUUACAAAGCAUUACUAUUAACUGGUUCACUUCUCUUGCUCUAUACCACAUCGUACAUAAUGUGUCUUUACAGGAGGCCUGCAAAAUAUUAAAAUAAAAUAAACCGAAUGCAGCUUUUGUCAUUUUGAAUGGCACAUUCACCAUAAUUAAAACUAGAACUAACUUCAUAUACUGCUCAACGAGAAUCAUAAGUGUCCUUUGAUGAACUAAGUUUACAUUCAACAGAUCGUGAUUUUACUGAUAAAAGGACAUAGACAAGGCCUUAGCUUAUAUACUUAUAAGAGAACAAAAAAUACAUUUAUCUACAAACCUGAGUAACUCUGAUGAGCAAGACCAAGAAUCAUGGAGAAAAAGAAAGGAAAUAUGGAGAAGAUAUCUUGUCUUAGGUUUUCCACACCCGGAUAGUUCCAUCAACAGAUGAAGUCACCAUACAGCUAUCUGUUGGGUGAUAGCUGACGCUAGUCACCUGCCACCAGUGAAAGCAUUUGAUGUCAGUCCAAUUUUCACAAUAUAGGAAAUUUAAAAAUACAUUCUUUCUUCAUGUACAGCAAAAAAUGUAUUCAGAUUUUUUCCCUCAGGAUUAUUCUUGGAAAAGGUAGGCGAUCCUUUACUUUGUUGACUAUAUUCUUUUUGGUAUAGACCAGUAGUGAAAUGGCAUAGUCAUAAACUUUUGAGGGUUCUGGAACAUUUAUCUUAACUCCUCUAGGACUCCCACAUACACCUUUGCCCAAGAAAACAAAUAACAUUAGAUUUAUUUCUCCUCCAACAAGCAUGACGUUGGGUUGUAAUAUCUAAUGCAAUGAUUGAAACCAUAAAUGGUUGGCUGCCUAAUCUGUUAAAGAUGAAGAUAACUUCUACAAAUUCGACAAACACACAACAAAAUGUUGUUGAUUGAAUCCACUCACCUAGUACCAAUACACAAGUGUUAUCACAUGUUGUUGAAGCUGAAAUUGUGAAGACUAAUGUGAAGUUCCAAAAUGGGUCAGGUAAUGAUAAUCACUCGCUGCAGACACAAAAUACUAAAUCUUCAAUUUCCAGUUUUCCUCAUUUAAAAAACCAUCCUAACAUCUAUAACUUUUACAUGGGAUUCUGCAGAUAGGUAGAUUAUUAGUACAAGCCCCAAGUGGCUUGAAAUUAAACCCAAAACUUAAAGUUAAGAAAUCUUUACCCACCUAGAGAUCUAACCAAAGAUCUCCUCCCUUCAGAGAGAGAGAGAGAGAAAGAGAGACAGAUUUACCCAGAAAAAGGUUAAACUUCAUAGGGAAAAUUCAUGAAUGCGUACUUUAUGAUCCUGGAUUAGAAAAUCAAUAAAUAAAGGCAUACGAAAAUCUCAAGUGUCAUGACACACCCUCAACGUAUGCUAAAUAAGCUUUUUAACAUACGCAAAGCAAACACUAAAUCAUGCAAAAUUAGAAAUAAGGCAUAACUUUCUCAAAAGGGUAUUUUGAAUUUCAAAAAGGCUAUGAUGCUUCACGUAUCAGAAGCCGCAUUCAUCUAUUAAAAAAGAUAAUUAGCCAUUUUCCUGAAAAUAUAAACAGAUUAAGAAAAGUGGACUGAAAAAUUUUACUUCGUGCACUAAAAGGCAGAACUUUGAAUAUGAGGGUUGCCCCAAUUGAGAUCAACUAAAACUCAAAACAGUUAUAUUAGUUAAACACUGAGUAAAUGCAAUAACAGAUAUGUCAGUGUAGAAUGUUACCACUGAGGAGUGAGCUCGGAAGCUUGAUAUGGCAGAUGCAUCCACCAAAUCCCAGAAGUAGAUAAAGCCAUCUUCAGAACCCCCAGUCACAUGCGCAUCACUAUUUGUGAGGCAGCAGUCCAUCUUAAAUGACUGAUACGGCAAAAACAAAACAGAGAAAAUUACUAUUCACAGACAAAACACUAAGACACCAUAUAAACAAAGUCAAAACUUGCUUUGAAAUGGGGAAAAAAUGUAGCAGUGUCAUCACAGAAAAGAAUUGAUCUUGAGUAUUAAGACGGAGAAGUGCAGUAUGUUCCUGUUCAAAGUUUAGGAAAAGAAGUAUAAAACUUAUACUAUGUCUAUAUUAAGGACCAAAAUGAGGCUCCACAAGCUACCUUGCAAGUAUGACCUUUAUAUUCUUGCAAAAGUUCACCAGUAGAUCUAUUGUCAUCAGAGAGAAAACGAGAUCAUGUCAACGAUUCAACAGAUAAAAUACAAGGGCAUUAUACAAAAGUAUAUGACAAAAGAAAAACUCCCAAGGCCAAUUACCUGUCCAAUAGUCGUAGAGUUGAAUCCAGGCAGCUUGCUAAGAUACAAUUACUGUCAUUUGACAGAGAGAUACAGUUGACAGGUUGGCCCAAGUCAUCAGAAAUUUCUCUAAGAAGCACCAAAAAUUUGUUAAAAGAUAAUCCCUAAGGAAUCAAUCCUUAAAAAGAUUAAACAUUGCUAUAAAGUCAAGUGCAUACCUACCAAUUCGAAUAUCAAAUGUCCGAACAGUUCCAUCAACACUUCCAGCAAUUAUCUCAGUUUUUGUUAAACAAACAGACAUGACAGUAUCCCGAAAAGUAUCAAUGAUCUGUAGAGUUAUUAAAAUAUUCAGUUCAAAGUAAUCAAAUUCCAAUUAUUAGAACUGUGAGAGUAGGGCAAGACACAGUAAACAAGGAGCAAACUAAAGGAAACACCAAAAUAGUGCUCCUAAAAGUGAAGCGACAUAUGAUAUCUUUUCUUAGAUCUCAAGAGUUCUGGAAUUUUCAUUUUCAUGUAAAGCUAGAGCCAAAUGUUGUUGAAGCAAAAAUUGCUGCUAUGAUGAUGGUCUAUUAAUACUUCUAGAGAGUCAAGAAACUUUAGGAAAUUUGGCGUCAAGAAUUCCUUGCAAACUCCAUCUAUCCAAUCUAUCUACACAAUGUAACCAAAACUCCGAUUGGCACACAACAUUGUCGUUUUCACCCUUGAGAUUUGGCAUUAGGUAGCAACAUAACCUUCAGCUUUCACAUUUAAAAUGGUCACUUAAAUAAGUCUUAUCAAUGCAACCAUUCCCAUGCCUUUCAGCAAUUACAGGAAAUGCUUAUCUUAACAAUCCAGAAACUCCUAUCUAUCACCCCCAGUCAACAUCACUAUUCUAUUUAAACAAGUCAAUGGAAGAAUGAAUAACGAAAUUGACCUGAAUAGGCUCAGUACUAUGAGACCUGCAGUCCCAAGCACGCAAAGAGUGAUCAUUUCCUGCUGAUACUACUACAGUUGCAUACUCAUUAAACUUAACAGCAUUCACCUGUAAAAAGAUGAAAAUGGAGCAAAAUGUCAGAUAAGACUGAUUGACACGAUACUCUUCUUUAUUCUCUACAUUCUAACAUCUUGGGUAUCAAUGACAACCAAAUAUGCAUGCAAUCAUUACUUCCAAUGAGGCAAAAACAUACAACGAGACUUAGUUUUGUUGACUUAGUUUUGUUUAAAGGUUAUUAAGAACUCAAAAAACAGUUAAGUUCUUCAAGGAGAUUACAGGACUAUGUAAACUAGUUUUUAACUCAAAUUGUUACCUUUAAGCUUUAAAAUCAAGAAAAUAGCUUCAAAGAAUUGUAGAAAAUUGGCCACCAGUGGACUACAUGAUAAGGCCUCUUUUACUCAUUGCCACAAGUUUUCUCAAAAACUCAAAUAUAGAAUUAAAAAAGUGGGAUCGGACAGACAUCAUGGAUAAGCAUAAAAUUUCAAUGUCACAUAUAACUGUAUGAAAAUUAUCUGAGAACAAAACAUACACACAUUUCAUCUGAGGAACUGGGCAGAAGCUUUGAAGAUUUCAAUCUCAGCUUUAAUUGGAUAAAUGAAUAAAGCAUUGGACUGCAAUUUAAAAAGGUAACCAAUUCUUUAAGAGAUCAACCAACAUGUCAGUCCACAUUAUACACAUUCCAACUCCCACCACCAAGCACAAUAUAAUAACGCCAAAAAAGAGAAUCUCUAUCAUCAAGGAACCAAAAGGAAUCUUUUAUCAAAUUCAAAUCUGAUCUCUGAAACCUUCUGAAUUCAACAAAUAGCUACAUAGGUCAUUAUUGAUCUCUUAAAUGGAGUCAAUUGGAACUGAGUGCACAGAUUUUUUUCAUUUUUUUGGUGGGGGGAUUGCUUAAAGAACUGCUGCUAUGAGAAGUGAGACGAAUUUAUUAUUAAACUUAUUCUGAUAAAACUAACAAUUUACUACUCCAGCUGUAUCUAUUACAAAAAAAAAAAAAAAAAAAAAUUCUAGUGAUGGAAUUGCCAUUAACCUCACUGUCAUGGCCACGGAAUUUUCGAAUUACUCGACCACUUGCUACAUCCCAAUAGAAGACUUGUCGAUCACCACCACAAGAACAAAGCUUGGAAUUGUCCCUACAACACAAAUAACCACUAUUAACCCAAAAUAUCCACCAAACUCGAUAACUAUAAAAUCCACAUCAGAAUUCACCAUAUCAAUUUAGUAAACCACAGAUUCAAAAAUAAUAAAAAUUGCAUUUUGCUGGCGAGAAAACCAAAACAAGCUGAUAAAAAACAAUCCACACACAAAAAAAAAAACUUUUCAUCUAAUUCAACCGUAUUUUUUCCUGGCAUAAAAAAUAGAGUUUGGGAUUUGCAUUCGAAUUCUACCCAACCAAAAGUAGAAAAAAUAAAAACUCAAAAAAUUUAAAAUCUUGGUUCGAAAGAAUUAAAACCCAUGUCAAGGGACUACUGGAAAAGGGAGAGGAAGAGUUUUUACGGGGUGACAUGGACAUCCCGGACUUCACGGCCAUGGGAUUUGUAGGUUUUGAUGUGAAUUCCACGGUGGGGAUUCCAGAGGCGUAUGGUACGGUCCUUGCCGCAGCUCAGACAAUACUCGCCGUUCGAGUUGAAUCUUGCUGCUAAGACGGCACCCUCGUGUCCUUUCAGCACGUUUACUUCCUUCGUCGGCAGGCUCUCGGCGCCGGUGUUGCUCAUUUUCGGGUUUGUACGCCGGAAGGGGUGAAAGGCUCAGCUGAUGAAGCAGAAAAGGGCGGCAAAAAUCUGGGUCGGAAAAAUUUUCAGGAACGAAAUAGGAAAAUUUUAUUGGGCUUUAGCCGGAUUGGGCCUAACAGACUGUAGGCCUGUCAACUGAAUCAGAAAUUUAUGCCUGAGUCCAGCCUUCGAAAAGCUUACAAAUGCAAGAACUAAUCUUGGCCCAUCUGUAUUUGGGAUUUUAAUUCUACCGUAAGUGUAUGCUUAGAAUUUUUAAUUUUUUUUCCCCUAAUAGCAGCGGCGAGACGAAGGAUAUUAAGAGGUGGGGAAGGAAGAGGAGGAUUUGAACGUAGACUGAAGUCAAUAUUAGCCACUAACCAAAAUGCUAGUUUAGAAUACUAAUUUGAAAAUUAUUUUGGAAUAUCAUUUUUAGCAUAGUUUAGAUUCAGAUUAGCCCCUUAUGUUUAUGCUUCAUUACAUGUUGUCUUGUCCCUUUCUUUCUUGUGCCUGUUUUUUAACUCAAUCGCUCAUCUUUUGGCUUCAACACUUUGGACCCUCACUCUCACUAAUUUGUAAUUUUAGUACGUUGUUCAUCACGUCAUUGUCCUCCCACCGCAUUGUUCUAGAAAGGGAAGGGUCCAAGUAUGCUAGUAUUCAACAUGAGUCACAAAUGAAUGAUCCAUAUAAAACUCAUGCAACGCCUCCAGGCGGGGUAGCUCAGUGGUAAUUGAUCUUAUUGGGUUUUUACUCAUAUGUCACAAUUUCGAGUCCCGCCUGUUAACGUGUAGUGCAUUCUUGGGACGGGUUUUACACUAUCGCUCUGAAGGAUUAGUCUGGUGUAAGUCAAAAUACCUUCUGCGUCAAGAAAAAAAAAAAAAACUCACAGAACAUAUCAUUAUUGUAAACUAAAACUACUUCAGAUGAUGGAUAACACUAAUAUUACUGUAAACGAAAAAAAUGUGAAUUUUCCCUAAUAUUUAUAAUGCUUCUCUUAGUAAGAAUCACAAGCUACACCGCGACACUUUUGUUGUUGGAAGUUAGGAACACAAUUAGAAUAGUAUCUAUUGUAGUUCAAAUGUAAUAUUUGAAAGUUAUAGGCUGUUCAAUCUGGCUCCAUACGUGCAUAAGUGGGCAGACUUGAGGACCAAACAAUUCAAACUUCUCAGGUCCAUCCCCAUUGAAAAGCUGUCUUCAAUGUACACGCCGCGUGAGAAUCUGUGUUCUAGCACAUAACAGCCGAUGAAUCUCAAGAGAUUCAACUAGAUUGCCUUCUCCUACUUAGUUAUUACUGAUCAAAGCUGCCUCAAAAGUUCACAUAUUUAAUGAAACUCUAGCGCUCCAUAUUGUGUUGCUUCCAUUACUUUGUAACAGUUAUGUCUUUCCCUAUGCCCUUUUGAUUAUUUACCAUUGAAUUCACUUAAUAAUAACAUGUCCUCUCCCUCCUUCACCACCCUAUAAAUCCCUCCAAAACCCUUCAAUUUUCUUCACAACUCUAUUCGGCAAAAGAUGGCUCUCAAGUCUGUCAAAUUGCUUUUUCUUGUCAUAACUUGUUUUAUGGUGAUUUCCUGCUCAUCAUCAGCAAGAAAGAUACUGCCAAGAAACCUUUCUGGAUCAGAUGAUCAAUCCAUUUCCAAGCUUAACACCCGGCCUGAGACCAAUAAUGGAAGUGUGCUAGAUUGCUGGAAUGCCCUGUCAGAGAUAAAAUCAUGCACAGAUGAGAUUGCUGCUUACUUCACAAAUGGCACAACUGAUAUUGGACCAGGAUGCUGCCAUGCCAUCAUUGUGAUUACACACAAUUGCUGGCCUACAAUCUUGUCUGCACUUGGUUUUUCAGCGGAUCAGACCUAUAUCCUUCGAGGCUAUUGUGAUGCAUCACUUUCCUCCUUUGGACCAGCUCAAGCUCCAUCAGCAUGAUCGUUAGUCGAUAAUCACCAAUUAAUUACCACAAAUAAUUAAGACUAUUAUGUUUAAUGUAAGAGGUCUAAGUAAUUUAUUUCCAGUCCUUUGAUGAUUGUGGUUGUGUUGCUCUAUUUCUAGAUUAUCUUGCAGGUGUUAUCACUGAUUAGGUAUGUUGUUUUGGAAAUUAUGGGAGGUUUGGUGGCUUUCCUAGCUAGUCUCUUAUGUACGAGUUUGCUUAUUGAAGUAGUAAUAGUCAUUUUACCACUUCAAUAUGAAUAAUUGUCUUUGCUAUAAAUUUUUGUCUAUGCUUUGUGAUUCCAUUAAUUAUCACACUUGUACUUACCUACUUUGAUGAUUAUUGUCGAGAUUAAAAAAAAAAAUGUUAUCUCUGGCUAUGACUUCUAAAAUUCAAGCGUGAGGUUUCCUGAAAUACAGAAAAUUCGCCUUUCUUAUCGAGAUUAAUUAUGAAAAUUCCCCGAAAUUAGUUACAAAUUCCACAAAUACGGUGAGGAGCCCUGUAAUGGUAAAUUAUGAGAAGGCUAAUUAAAUACUACUUACCUCAAAAAAAAUAUGUAAGGGUUAAAGCAAAUUCUUCAACCAAGAGGAAACUUUGAUAUAAAAAUAAAAAUAAGGAAAAAAAGACAGAUGGGUAAUUGACCAUGAUUAGAGAAUUUGCCCUAAAAGAAAGCAAUGAAGCAAAAUGAAUAGGAGAUAAUGAAAUCAAACCCCUCAAGAUAAUCAGUUGUCUGGUAGUUUUUACUUUUUACUGGAAAAUGGUUUAUGUAAAUUGAUGCAUGAGAUACCUUAAGGUUCCACUCUAACUCUUUUUUCUUUUUCUUUUUCAAAGUUGCUUGGGUGAAAGCUUCUUAUUCUUGAGUACAAUUUUCUGACAGCCAUAUCGUUUAACCAUUUGAAAGAAUUUGAUUGGGUACACAAAAAUAAAAAUGGCUAAUUUUACUGCAGUAUAUCCGCCUAUCAUAUAUCUAUAUAUGCACACACAUAUCAUCUAACACAAAGUAUUGGCUCAAAAAAAAAAAAAAGAAACCAUUCUAUCACAUGAGGAGACAUUCAAAGUGAUCAAAAUACUACUUUUGGGCAAAAUCAACAUAACCUAUUUUCCUUUACACAACUUAUUUUCCCUAGAUGAAAUAAUUGAUAAAUCAAAGGAAAAUUUGCCAAUUUGGUCCCUCACAUUUUCAUAAAGAACUUUUUUAGUCCCUCACAUUUAAAAUCAGUCAAAAUAAUCCUUCAAAUAUAAAAAGUUUGCAUGUUUGGUUCCGAAACUCAUUUUCGCUCAUUCCUCUAGCCAAGAAAUGCACGUCUCCUUCACUUGCACAAGCCAUCCUCACCAAGAUGAGCACAUGAGGUAGUCAUGCAGUUUUUGCAGAAAAAGUGAGCAAAAAUGAGUUUUGGAACCAAAUAGGCAGGUUUUUUUUUAUGAGGAAUUAUUUUGGUUGAUUUUGAAUUUGAAGGACUAAAAAAGUUUUUUUUGAAAAUAUGAGAGAGGGGUCCUUUUGGUUGGGAGUAAAAUGUUUUCCUUGAGAAAAUAUUUUCCAGGAAAAUCAUUUCACUUUCAUCAUUUUCAGGUGUUUGGUUAGCCUAUUGAAAAUAUUUUCUUACUUCAUUUUCUGGUGUUUGUUUAACUUUUGAAAUAUUUUCACUUUUACCUCUAUAUUUACUUUCUACACAUUAUAACCACAUACUUCUUCCCAUGCAAAAUAAAAAAAAUUAUCUCAUUGUUCAACUUUAAAAAAUUCUUAGAGAAAUGUAUAUAUGAAUAAAAAUUUUCUCCUUAAGCAAUAAACAAAUUGCUGGCCAUUCAUUGUCAAAUAUCAAUCAUACGCAAUGCUUAUUGUGACAUAUAUCUUGCACUCUCACUGCUGAAAGCUUCUCUAGAAAAGAAUGUCCCUAUUAUACAUAAUUAAUUACUAGAAUAGGGUGAGCAGGGUGAGGCCUUUUUUUGAUUUUGAAUAUACUACAAGUUUUGAAAGUUUGACAGAUACUUUUAUCAAGCGGGAUGCGUGCGUUUAGGAAAACAACUUCGGUAAGUUUAGAAGAGAAGUUGUUUUCCAUAGGAUGAGUGAAAAACUUUUACACAGUAAAAUAUUUUCAGUAACUUUUGUGCAACCAAACACGGGAAAUUAGGAAAAUAUUUUCCUGGGAAAGAUUUUCACCGGAAACAAACAGACCCCAAAUUGGCAAAUUUCCCUAAAUCAAAAUGCACUGUCUUAAACCUGAAACGCAAAGUGAUUAUAACUUGGAACUCAAGUGACAUUCUACUAAUUUUCCUAAACAGAUGAAGCAGCAAUCAGGGGACUUAAUGAGCCAUUUACAUCUGAAACCUAGCAUAUAUCUUGUCAUUUAUGAUGAGAACUGAGAAGCCCCAUGAACUGACGAACACUACCUAAAUUAAUAUCACCAAGCUUAACACGUUUAAUCAUUAUAAUUACUUCAUUUAAGCAUUAUCAAAUUUCCCAUGCAUGAUAAUCACGUCAUUUAAUUAUAAACAACUUUAUCCUUCCAUCGGUUACAAAAUUAAACAAAUCCCAUGUCCAUUUUUCCUUCACAUAAAUUGUUUAUAGUCCCUUCACCUCCCCAUACACAUAACUUGCCUUCUAUAAAUACACUAACAAGUACUAAUAUCCUCCACAACAAAUUAAAGACUUAAAAAAACCAACAAUGUCUUACUCUUCCAAAGUCCUCCUUCUAGCUCUAAUGGCAUGUUCCAUUUCCAUAACACCCUCCAUGUUCAUGGCUCGACCGAUAAACUCGAAAUCGUCAACCCUAAUGGGUAGGCUAAAAUUGGAAGAUGAAGAGGGUGAUAACUCGUUAUUGGCUACUUGUUGGGAAUCUCUCUUUGAGCUGAGGUCUUGCACUGGAGAAGUCAUUCUGUUUUUCCUUAAUGGGGAAACCUAUCUUGGACCGAGUUGUUGCCGUGCCAUCAGAACCAUUGAACACCAUUGCUGGCCUUCCAUGCUUGGCUCUCUUGGCUACACUGCUGAAGAAGGUGACAUCCUUCGUGGUUAUUGUGAUGCAGCUGAUGAACAUGAUGAUUCCGGUGGUUAUGGUUAUCCUCAGCCACCAUCUCCUCCACAUCUUGUGAAUUCUACCACAAAUUCGUCUUCCCACGUCUUGACGCCGUAGUUGAUGCUCAAUGUAUUUAUUCGAAAAAUAAAAAUCCCAUUAAAUAUUUUAUUUAAUGUUCUUGUAGUGACUUUGCCUCUUGAAUCUCAAUAUCUUACAUAUUUUUAAGUAUUUUUGUAUUCCUUCGAUUUGAUAAAUGUGUUUGAACAUCUAGCCUUAUAAUUAUCCAGGCAUACAAAUGUGUCUUGACUCCAGUAAAAUACAGGACGAACAUAGGGCAUUCUAGAGUGAUGUAGCAAGGGGCUUUUCAGCUGAUUGGGAUAAAAAGUACAAGAGAAUUGAAGAAAGAAUAGAAAACCAGAAAAUACAAACCAUUUCUAAAGGCUCAUAGUUUUUUUUUUUUUUUUUUUUGGGUAUGUGCAAUGAAGAGAUUCUACAAUUAACCAAACUGGAUCAAAAGGGUAGCAUGAAUAGGAUGUAUACUAGGAAAUCACUCUAUUUACUAAUACCCUGUGACAAAAUAAUAGAUCCCAUUUACUAGUACAAGCAUGAAAAUUUGAAAAACUAUUGAAAAGGUGAAUACAAGCACUAAAUCAGGUUUCAUUUGGACAGGACCUCUAACUCUGGCGGUUUAAAUCUUGACAACUAAAUCAGGACAUCAACGUACCUUUUUUUUUUUUUUUUUUAGCUAUUCUGAAAACACAUGGUUAGUGGUAAAAGAAACCUCUACUGUUUAGUGGUAAAAAUACUAAUCUUUCAAGUAGAGUAAUUGAGCGCUCAUGGGAAAAAAAAAACUGUGUUUUGUGGAACCACACUGUUAAUUCAAUCAUAAAGACAAUGUAGACCAAGGAUUUUUCUUGAUAAUGCUUUAGUAUUAUUAGUCCUUUUUCUUGGAUUUUUUUAAAUCGAAAUCUAUAAUUUCUUAGCACCAACCAAUUUAAAAUUUCUUAUUUUUUCUCAUCUCAAUGAUGCCGUGUGCAGUUAAUCAGACCAGUGUCUAGAGAACACAAAUCAGCAGAAGUCACUUGCUACUGAAAUUUGAAGUUACACUUCUCAUUUAGCACAGAUUUUUUUCUUUUUUUUCCUACUGUUCAAGUUCAACAUACCUUCCCACUGUAGCACCAUUUAAUUUUGAGCUGCUUGUCAUCAGAAAUGCUAGACGAUUGAUGAACAAAGAAAAGCGGGAGUUAAAUGAAGGCUAACAACACCAAUCCAAGGUUUGAAAGGCACACAAUUUUUUGUGACUAAAAUUGGUUACAUUGCAUUAAAGAGAUCCUAAACUUAACCAAGUUUUGGUGAUCACAGAAUUGCUGCUCCUUGCUUUUGAUCUGUAGGAUUUGCUUUCCCUCCCUUGUUCCAAGUAACUAUCAGCAGAAAAAUGAAAAAGAUAACAUCUCAGCAGUAGCAUGAAUGCAAAUUAUACUAAGAAAUCAUCCUCAUAACUACGAUCUUGCAACAAAUAAGAGAUAGUAAAGUGAUAUCUGAGUAUAAAGUUUCUACAGCUAGGAUAAUUUCCACUAACAGGGACAGCUUCAGAUGCAUGCACAAUCAUCUGAAUACAUUGCAACCCUGCCCAACCAAAUUUACUACUUCUGAAUUGGGUAUCAAGCACCCAUUAACAUCAGAAACUGUCCCUUGAACAUAUUUUACCUGCAAUAUCUUUUCUCAACCAUAACAUCAACGUGAUAUAUUGGAACUUCUGUCAAUCUUGUUGAUUCGUUAGCUCUUCUAUUAGCUUCUGUGAUUCAGGUCUAAAUAGUUUUAAAUCAAACAUUAUUAGCUCUUUUAUGAAGUUCUGUGAUUCGACUAAUUUUUCUGUCAUUUUCUUGCGCCAAAACACGAUUUGCUUGUUAACUGCCUUUGUGAGAAUUAGAAUAGCUGUUGGAUGUCAUGAAUUGGGAGUUCUAAAUUAAGACCUGUGGUGGGCUGGAAUUGUUUGUAGAAGUCUGCAUUACUCUGGUUGCAAUGUAUCGAAGGAACGGAAAAGGGCACCUCGCACAUAUGACAUGUGUUCUGCUGCUUUUAAAAAUCAUAUCAAUCUGUAGCAGCAUUUUGAAAAGUUAUAGCUGAAUCAAGUUGAGACCAAAUAAUUGGGAUCUCCAGAAAUUGCUUAAAGAAACAUGAAUAGCUGUCAUUGAACUAAUUCAGAAUAUACAAGUGGUACUGUGGUAGUACAUCUAACCUACUGAAUGGAAUCCCACUCUGAAUUGAUUCUAUCCAAUUCAAGAAAAGACAGGAAUGGCUCACCACUGUAAAAUACGAUGAGAGGGCGGUGAGUCUGUGACUCCUUUUGAUCUGAGUAGUAAGUAAACAGAAAUCACCAAUAACUUCAAUUUGAUCUUAGUACCAAGAAAACAUGGAUCAGCAAUAACUUCACAUAAUGAUCUUUAGACCCUGAUUUCCCAUUUCCAUCUGCUCUUGUCCAAUUUGCUUUACAGAACAUACAGCAGACUCACUACACCCUUUCACCUCAAUCAUUUCAAGAGUCGAACAUUCCCCUAAACAAGAAGGGGCCUCUUCCAGGGCCUCACAAUAAUGCAAAUCCAAUUUCUCAAGACGGGGAAAAUUAUCAGCAGAGGCAGUCCACCUGCAAAAGCCUAAAUCUGAUAGCUCCAAGCAUCGAAGAUUACAGAAUUCCCCUUCUUUCAUUUCCCAUUCUUCCCCCACAAAGGAAUCUCUAACUUUAAGAACUUCAAGGUUGGGCAGCUUUCCAAUUGCUGAAAUUUCACUCCAUGUCCGGUCAUUGCAUGAGAGAGUCAACUUUCUCAAAUUUAAUGGAAAUUCAAACUCGAAUGCUUCAAAUCCACAUACUACCUUUAGGGAUUCUAGUAGACUCAAAUGAUCCAGCAUCAGAGUCCCAUAGCAAAUUCCAGAAGAUGCUGUUUAGAGCCCUGAGACUCCAACACACUUUAGCCUGCGGAUGUUGGGUAACUUUUUCAGUAUCUUUUGCAAGCUUUGAGAAGAGGGAUCAAUUAUAAGGUUUAGAGUUUCUAAAUGAACUAAAUCCGGGGAUUCUUCAAGAUUGUCACUGGGAAAACUAAAACCGUAUAUAUAAUAACUUUAUACCCAAAGAUGCCUCAACGUCUUAAUAUUCCAGAUAGUCUUUGGCAACUCGACAUGAGUAAUGCUUCCAUAAACCACCAAAGUAUGUAACCUUGAGAGAUUGGCUAUUGCAGAUGGAACAAAGUCUAUUUUCAGAUUAAUCCCCAAGUAUCUCAAGUGAACAAGGCAUAGUACUUCCAAUGGAAAUGAUUCACAAAAGUCAAAGUUUCCCAAAUCCAACACUCUAAGAAGUUUAGACAUCAAAAACCCCAAAUCCAGAUCUGUAGCAUUCUGCUCAUAGCUAGGAAAGAAGAGCAAACAGCGUAAAUUGGGAAAAAAUUGCCUUGACUGCUUAACCACCUCUACCAUUGUAUUGUAAAUACACAGUCGGUGGGGAUUGUAGUUGCAAGGUCCUGUAGGACAAGAAGGGUCUUUAUACCUAUCAAUUAUAUGUACAAAACCUUCUAGUUUGGCUUUUUCCACACAAAAUUCAUGUACCAAAUCAUGAACUUGGCAGGCUUUGGCACCUCCCAGAGUUCUUUCUCGAGUAACCAUAACUAAACUUCUAGCAAUCAAAUCCAUCAAGCAGUCAUUGGCCACUUCCUCUAAGCUCUUUCUUUCAGUCUUUUGAACAAAUCCUUCAGAAAUAUAAAGCUGUAACAACCUUUGUACAGAAAUAUCUCGUUCAUCUGGAAAUGCACUAAAGUAAAGAAGACAUGGCUUCAAAUAAUCUGGUAAAUGACUAUAACUCUGCUCAAGAGUCUUCAUGCAGUUUCCAGUGUCAAGAAUAAUGCUGGCAUUUAGAGUUUCCGCAGUUUCUUCCCAGCAAUCUUGAUCAGUAGUAGCAAGAAUUCCAGAAACCAGGACAACAAUGAGAGGUAGUCCUUUACAGUUUGUUGCUAUUCGGAAUCCAACUUCACUUAGUAUAGGAGGACAUCCUUCUUUGCCAAAUAUCUUAGUCUGCAGCAAAGCCCAACACUCUUUAUCAGUAAGUUGGCGAAGAUGGUGAGGCUUGCAAUCUCCUUUAAAUAGCGAAGACAAAUUCUGAUAUUUGCUGGCGAACAUGAUCCUGCUUCCAUUGGCAUCAUCCGGUAGUGAAUUUCUCAACAAAUUCCAUGCCCCAAUGUCCUACACGUCAUCUAAAACAAUGAGAUACCUAUGUCCCUUCAAACGCUGGUAUAGUUCUACAGCCAAAACAACUUCUUCAAUCUUAACACAUUGGUUAGGACUCCUAGAAUCAAUGCUACAUAAAAUCUGAACUAACAAAUUGUGAUUGCUGUAUACUUGAGAAACAUAACACCAAGCAUGAAUAUGAAAGUGCAGUUUAAUUGAAGGAUCACUGUAAACUUUAAUGGCUAAUGUAGUCUUACCAAGCCCAGGCAUACCCACGAUAGGAACAACAUCCAACUGCUUUGUUCCUCUUGUAAGUCUGUCAGUGAUAGUUUCCACCUCGUCUCCAAGACCCAUAAGAUCUUCAUGGCGGCAGUUAAUUGAGAUGGCAUAUGAACGGAAGCCCUGGUAACUCUCUUGAUUUCACCAUUAUAACUUGUGCUGUCACAGAUCUCUUGGGCCUCGAUCUUCAUAAGAUUGAUGUCUUCAGCAACAGCAUCCAAAAAGUAAUGACCUUUAUCACUGACAACUAUCGAGUCAAUUACUAACUCUGCCUUGUAUGCAAUCUCCAUAACACGAUUCCAGCAAGUUUUGAGUUUGCCAUUCUGAUUGCGCUUCUCCUUCAUAUUCUCGAGGAAAGAUCUUAAGAAUGUGAGAUUUUUUUGGACUAUGUCGAUGCUAUCAACUGGGAAAGCAAGUGAAUGAUCAGUUUCAUCGCAGCUUGCUAGUUCCUUUAGAUUUUCUAGGAACAAAUCAACAGAGCCUAACUCAUUGGUCCUGGGAAAACUAAAUGAAGAUGAUGAUGUUAGUGGAUACAUGUGUGCUACUUCUGCCAUUAUAUACUUGAGCACUUUGAGCAAAUGGAAAAGUGCAAGAUCUGUUUCCUCAGCCAAGCCUUCUUCAUUUCAUUUGGAGAAAGGGUGAACAUCAAAAUUCCUGCAUCACAAGCCACAACUCCAAUAAGAUCCUUCAAUUCAUCAUGUAGCUCAUUGAACUUCUUCUUGAGUACGAUACUCAUGAAUCUUAUUUUCUGAUGGAGUUUUAGCAUUUGCUCCUUCACUUGAACCUGAAAACUGUUAUAAGAUCCUAGUAGAUCGAUAAGGUAAUCUAGGAGAGAAUCAACAAAGUUGGCCGCUGCAUAUUCAUUCUCCUCCAGGGCUGAAGCAUAUGAUGAUCUCGAUUGCUUUGAAGCUGUCAGGACAUGGAUAUAAGUUUCUUGGACCUGGGGGUUAACAGGAUUAAUCUUCUCCUGUAUCAAUUGAGAAAUUUUGUACUCCAUUUCAUCGAACACUUCAUCAUCUCUGCAAACCGACAUACAGAAAUCAAGCGUGCAGCCACAACUUCAACGUGAAUCAAGAGAUCUAUCAAUUGCAUAUGCUCAACACCUUGCACUGUGGCCAAGCCAAUGAGAUUCCUUAACAACAUUAGCUUCUCUUGAAGGGUUUCUAUUAGCUUCUCCCAUUUUCUCCCGCGAAGAUCAUCCAGAUACUCUACAAGGGAAUCAAUGAGAUCCAUAACUAGUCGUGGAUCACCUAGCGAGUGGUAGUCCAACAAGGUGAGGAUGCAUGAUUUCUUGAUAUCAGUUUCAAGAAACAACUUGAUAUUUUCCCUGGACCCGUUGAGCUCAAUUUGGAUGAUGCGUCUACGAUCCAAUGCACGGGAAUGGAUAUAUCUCUGAUAAGCUAAGUGAAGAUGAUGCGUCAUCCCAUUAAGCAAUUCUUGGAUCCUCAAAGAAAUAGUACUAAGCCUUAAAGUUUCAGACAUGGCAUUACCCUUGUUCUCGUGACCAUGCUCCACACAGGUUUCCCCAUCCCCACUGUUCCUCCUUCUCCUCCUCCUACAAUUUCUGACAUACAGAAAAAAGGUUUUCAAUAGCCUUACCUCCAUCUUCAGCUUCCAAAUAUCAGGAUACCAGUCAAAACAGGAGUUACAGGACUUGUCCAGCCAGGCCAGAUAAUCUAAAGCAAAAUCAAAGCAACAAGUGUUAUUGAUGGAAGAUGUCUCCAUCAUGGUAUCUUCUUUUCCCUUGGACAUCAGAUUUCUAUCUGGUUUAGCAAUCAAAUAAACUUAUCUGAAGAUCUGCAAAUUUCUGUGAUCUAACAAUAGCCAGUACUACAGGCCAGACUUUUUAUUUUUUUGGGGUAAAUGGUACAAUGCGCUAUUUUGUUCACAAAAGAUGCGGUACUAUGAUAGUAAAAAGUUGAAUAAGUGUUACAACACUUUCCCAGCAACUUCUGUUGUGGCAAACAAAGACCAAGACUUCUACACACACAAGGACCAAGACCAAGAGGUCCAAGAGAAUUACAGGUGUUUUUGUUCAAACCAAUGAUUCGUAUGUAACGGAAAUCAUUCUAUCAAAGGGAAAAAUUAUCAUUUUUAUUCCUCAUUUUUGAGGCUUUGACCAGUAUUGUUGUCCCUUAUUAGUCACAAGGUACUAAUUUGCUAGUUUUUUACUGAAAUUUGAGGAAGUCUAGCAGAAGACUUGACUUCAGUUGCAUUUGCUGGUUAAAUUAGAAUGAAUAACAUAAGCAAAAGCAAAGUCAAAUUUCUGACUUUUCUCAUUAUUCCAAAUCCUUAUUCUCGAAUUUUACCAAUUAUCGAAGAAACCAACUCUAACCAUAAAAUUUCCAAGAUGCCAGGCGCAAAAUCUGGACUGCGUUUUCUAUCUUGUUUAUAAAAGAACUCUGUCACACUUCUUGGCCACAAAACAGAGCUUUUUAAAUCAAGCUGCUUGUCUUGCAAUAAGUUCUCAUGGGAGUUUGGAACCAGGUUUCGAUUUCCUAUAAAAAUAUCAAGGGGGUAUCUUAUUUAUGAUUAGAGGUGUCAAAAUGGGUGAAUUGAUUGGGUUUGGACGGAUCAAUAUAAUUGAAUUGUGAUUGACACCUUUACUUAUAAGCGAUUUUCAAUAAUUUUUAGUGCUUAUAAAUUUGAGGGUACAAAGCAGGCUUAUUUGUUCUUCACAUGGAUAUCUAGAAAUCACAAAUGAUACUUUUAGACAAAUGCCCUCUCUCUCAUCCCAAUUUUUAUGAUCCCUGUCGUCCCAAUUCUUCUCAAUUCCACACCCUUGACAAACGAAGGAAUCCCAUAUUUUGAGCAACUAUAUUGUACACUUAUUGAACAACUUUUGGACCUCUAUAGGCUGAAAAGGAAGGGCAAAAAAAAAAGAAAAAAAGGCCCUGCAUUCCAAAACCUUGAAUAAGUGCAGUAAUUAUUACUUCAAUAAUGCAAAAUAAAAGCAGUACAGGGAAUUGUACGCAACCAUUAUUUUUCACUGAGAAACAACAACCAUCAAGCCAAAGUGCAGUUAUUAUUACUUAUUAAAGAUACUUAGAACUCCAAAUUUUGGGCGUAACAUAUCCCAUAAUUAUGCCACAAUAUCUCAGUUUUUCUUGAGAACUCUGAUUCCAGUCCAACGAGACUCCAUAUAAUCAGAAGGAUUGUCUUGUGUAUACACUCCAAACUUGAAGUAAUGUGUAGCGGGACCAUUAUCAUUAGUUUCGUACUUGAAAGCUCCAUCAAUGUACACUCUAACUCUCCCAGCACCUGUGUCAUGUAUCACAUUGACGCGAUACCAUUUGUUGUAGACGUUGGGGAUUAGGACAGGACUUCUGUAGUAUGUGAGGGAUGGAUUGUAGACUCUUAGCAUAGCAGUUGUGGCCUGAGUGCUUGCUCCAAAAACUUGCAUUACGCUAACACCAGUGGUUCCAGAGGGUACAUAGACACUACCCUCGAAUUGCCAUACACCUGAAGUGUAAUCGUAGCCCUGAGAAGCAAAGUAACAUAAUUAAUGGUACUCAAACUUCAUUGUUUUGCUAUGUAUUGUCAAAAAAGGGGUAAAAGUUGAACGGUAAAUAUCGUUUUCUAUUUGAAUUGCCGGAAGAAGAGAAGAAGAGAAAAACUUACAGUAAUGCGAACUUCAGUACGAGGUUUGGUAGUACUACCAGCAGAAAAAGGUUUGUCUGUCUUAUAAACCCACAGUUUAUGAACACCACCAACGUAGGAAUAGCGUUGAUUGACAGGGACAUCGUAAGGCUUCUGAACUUGAAAAUUUGCAGUACUGAGCGAAACAGGGCUGAACCCAUCAGUUGGAUCAGCCUUCAGAGCCCUCAGCAGGGUUAGGAUCAAAGUGGUGAAGAAGAGGAAAGUUGUCAUUGCUAACUCAAGAAAUGAAGAGCAAGAAAUUGUUUUAGGUGUAGUGAAGAGAUGGAGGACUGAAACUGGGCAUGGGUUUUUAUAGGUGGUAGAAUCUGAUCUUGGAUUUUAUUUUAUUUUAUUUUUUUGGGGCGGCUUAAAUUCGAUUUGAAGGAAGUCUUGAUAAUAAAACUGGUCAAAAAUGCAAGCAGUGCCCUUUUAGUACAGAAAUUCUAAGCGUCUACUUUUGAACUCAAGAAGCCCAUAACAGGUAAGGAUAAGAUAAGGGAUAAUUGCAGAAGCCUACCUUGAGGUUUAAAACAAUUUCAUUUAGCUCCCUCAAGGUUUUAAAAAUUAUAUAUACGUGCCUUGUCAUUUAAAGUGACAAUACUAUCCCUAAAUAUUUUAAUGAAAUUCCCUUAUUUGGUAUGCUUGUACUUAGAAUAGCUUUCAAAAUUAUUUUUUCAUUCUUUUUCCUUCAUAUUCCUUUUUUUUUUUAAAUUUUUUGCUAGUAAAACUGUAUAACUAGCACUAGUACUUCUAGUUUCUAUUGUAACCAAAUGUAGAACUAAUGAUUUUUUUAUGAGUUAACUUAUAUGUAAUCCAAUGUUUUUGCUGAUUUUUGUUUUCUAUAUUUUGGUAUUAAAAUUGAUAAUAAAUAAAAAGAAAUAGCCCAAAACCAUUACUAAAUUAUGAUAAUCUUACUUCUCAAAAAAUUCAUAAAUUCUAAAUGAAUUAUUUCAACAUUUUCUUUCCAUCUUAUAAAUCUAAAUCCAUAAUAAAAUACCAUCAAAAGUAUCAUAUCAUAGUGAUAAAAUUAUUAUUAUAGUUGUUUAUCAAACAGUAGGUAUGGAUAUGAAAAUUUUGGUACCUUUUCCUUAUAAUUAUACUAGAUAAUCUUAUAAUUGUAUAGGAAAAUAAAUUAAAACUCAUUACACAAGGGCAUUUUUGGGUAUUCAUUUAAAAAUUUGAGCAAGUCAAUAUUAUUUUAAGAUUUAGUUACUAAAACUAUCAAAUCAAGAGAGAUAAGUGUAAUUUUUCAAACUUCAAGGGAGCUUAGUGAAAUUGUUAGAAACCUUAGGGAAGGUUUCUGAAAUUAUCCUAUAAGAUUAAUUUUAUUAAUCUUCUACUAUGGUUCUACCUUGUUUUUUAAUUUUAACGAAGAUUGCAAUCCUAGUUUGAAAAUUUGUCAGGUAUUAGAAUCUUAGAAAGUGUUUUUCUUUUUUUGGGUGUGUUGUGGUAUAAGACCAUGGAGAGGGGAGACUAGAUAAUUUUAAAAAUCCACAUAUAAGUACAUUUCAAGACAUUGGAAAAUUAAAAUUUCGAAUUGUGCUCUUUUUGGAGGCAUUUCAAAGUCGAAGUGCCGAAGUCCAGAAAAUGGGGCAAAAUUUCAAUCAUGAAGAAGUAAAAUUGCAUAAAUUGAAAAGGAAAAGAACAGUCAAGUCCCAAAUGCCAGAAGAGUUUUGCAUUAUUGUAACCUACUUGUUUUCAGAACACAAGAAGUGUUAGUCUUUGCAAAAGAGUUGACAAAGUGAAAAUGUCCAACUAAAAGACUAAUUCCAUUCAAUGAUCUCAAUGACAUCAAUUUGUAACUGGAAUUAAUGUUUUAAAUGAAUCCAUUUGGCAACAAUCAUGCAAAAUUAUUGCACGCUUAGUAUUGGACUUUGUCCCUCUGGUACAGUUGCUUGUGACGAAUGUGUAAUGCCCAAAUCUGAAUUCUUUUGAAAGUUGACUUAAGCCGGCCAAUAUUAUAAGUUUUACACAUUCUGUUACACCAAGCAUGAGGCUGAUGAGGGUGACGCCCUUUUUUUUUUUUUCCAGUUAGAAUAAGGUAACGGGUAUGUAUUAUAAUAAAUAGUGAUAAAUGUAUAUUCGAUAUGUGUGAAAUAAAGAAAUGCAUAAUAUUUAAAGUAAAUGAAUUUUACAUACAUAUGUUUAUUGUUAAAGAAAAUUUUAAUCUUCUAAAUUAUUUGGAUAAAUUACAUAUAACCCCUCUAGUUUCAUCUAUUAUCAUAUGACCCCCUAACAUUUGAAAAUAUCAGCUUUACCCCCUAUAGUUUUAUGUAAAGUGAAAAUUUAGUGAAAAAUAAUCCAUGUAACAUCGUUAAUUAAAAUACCAAUAGUGUCCUUAUUUAAAUGAUAAAUCAAUCAACAGCUUAACUACCUUGUAUAAAAGUAUAGGGGGGUUAUGUGGAUAAAUGCAAAAAUUAUAGGGGAUAAGGUGGAUAUUUAUAUAAACCAUAAGAGGAUUACAUGGAGAUUAAGAUUUUAUCACACGUGUUCUUAGAGUACGUUUGGUGUAAACUUCGUAAUUGAUUGUGUAUUUCAUCUAUUUUCUACUUUACACAAAAUCAUAGGGGAGUUAUGUGACUAUUUUGAAACCUGAAGGGGAUCAUCUGGGAUUAUAUAAAAUCACAGGAGAGUUGUCAGUAAUUCAUCCAAAUUAUUUUGAUAAAAUGAUUGUUAUGUUGGCAGUUAUUGCUUAGGGGAUGGUUAUAUUGAAAAAAAAGUCUAAAUAGCAAAUUAAGAAAUGCUUAAUGGUAGUUAUCUUGACAACAUGUAUUUAGGUAAUUAAAGUAAAAUUAGUUUUUAUAAGGGCGAAAAUGAAAGUGCAUAAAGUGAGAUAAAUUGAAAGUAAAUAAAAUGUAAGGAAUAAUCUUCUAUACAUUGACAAUGUAUACACUUUCACCAUUAGAUGCAUGACACAUAAAUCGAAUUUAAAUUUAAAACUCAAAUUUUACAUAUGUGUCGUAUAUCUAACUGUGAUAGUAUAUAUACCGUCAAUAUAUAUAUAUAUAUAUAUAUAUAUAUAUAUAUAUAUAUAUAAGAUUUACUCAAAAUGUAAUAGGAAGUCUGACACCAAAAUUUUGAUAAAAUAUCCAAAGCCAAGUUAGAGCACAAUUCCUUUCAAAAAAAAAAGAAAAAAAACUAAAGUUAGAGCACAAUUGUCACAAUAUAAAACUCACUAUAACAUGUUGAAACCGCAAGAAACCAAGGCGGCAAAAUCACUUAAGUUUAUGGAGAUUAAAGGUGAUUUGCUCCUAGCAAAUGGGUUAUCAUGCCCCCCAUUUGUUAAAGCGCUCUACUAUCAUAAUGUUAGAAUUAUUUUGUUACUCGAGGACCGAUAAAAUCCACUAAGAAAUUGUUGAUGACACUCCACUUUUUGUUAAUGAUAUUUCCACUAUAAUUUUUUAUCAUGUAAUUUUCAUUUAUUAGAUUAUAUAAAAAUAAAUGAUAAGCGUGUGAUUAAUAAAAAGUAGGGUGCGAUUACAUUUUCCAAUCCACUAUUAUAUGGUAUGUUAAAUUUUUGCAUUGCCUUUUGGACGAGGCUGAGAAUUAGGGAGUAAUAUAAUUAAGGGUUAUUAUCACUUCACCUCCUUAACGUUUGGUGUCACUAUCAAUUUCCCCCUUAACGUUAUCUUUUAGUCACUUUACCCCCAAGACUAACGGUCAAACUUAACGAAAUUUGUUAAUUAAAGUGAAAAGACAUGUUUAACCCUUAAAAUUAUUAUCGUUUUACCCCCAUAAAAUAUAGUCUCAUUAUCAAUUUACUCCAUAGAGUUAUUUUUUAGGCAAUUUAUCCUACCAUUAAACCAACUUAGCAAGCUAAAAAUCUUUAGAAGAAAUACCCUCCUCUUUGCAUAAUAAAAAAUUUAAAGUGACUCUUCUCCAUUUUAGUAUCAAGAAAAAAAGUCAAAGUAUUAAUUUCUUUCUUUUUGGCAAUCUUAUUAAUAUUGAAAAAAUUAGAAAGAUGGAGAGGGAGAGGGGGAGGGGGAGGGGGAGAGAGAGAGCUCAAUUUUUUUUUAAAAAAAAUUACAAACAAAAAAGAAUUAAAUACUUUUAUUAUUUUAAAAUUAUUUCAUUUUUUUGUUUACCACCAAAUUCCAAUCCUAAUCUCGACAACCUUAAAGUAAUACGAUAAUGUUAGACUUUUCUUUAUUUUCUUUUUUUGCAAAAUCUAAUUUUUUGUCUCCUUCUUUCCUAUCUCUUUCUCUUUUCCUAGUAUUAAUAAAUGUGAAAAAAGGAAUUUGAGAAAACCCUUUUAUUUUUAUGUUUUUCGAUCUCUUAAAGUGAAAAAAAAGGAAAAAAUAACCAUUCCAACUUUUUAUUUUUAAUUAUAUAUAAAAAGGGUAAAUAUAUAUAAAAUUUCUUGACCAUACUAUUUAGAUUAACGAUGAGGUAAAAUGCCUAGAAAAUAAUGUUAGGAACUAAAGUGAUUGUAUCACUAUAAUCUAAACGAAUAAAGUGAUAAUAACAAUGUCGUAAUGCUAUAAAAUAAAAGGAUAUUUUUGUCUAAAAUUUCUUAAUAUGUUGAGUUGACUUACUUAUGGGGGUAAAGUAAUAAAAAGAUAACAACGUUAGGGGGUAAACUGAUAGUAAUAAUAUAGUUUAAGGGGAUAAAGUGAUAAUAACCCUAUAAUUAAUCAUUAAGUAAUUUGCUUCUAUUAGCGGACUAGUUAAUUGUUAAACCAAUCAUGUGGUGGAAAUAGGAAAGCUGACUUUUUGACCAUGUUUCUUAGCCGCCCACGCAAUUUGCCUUUCCCACGGACCGUCGGGUGAGCAUCAAAUUAGUUAUCCGAAUUUUCAACCCAAUAAAAUUUAAUUAUAUGCCCCCAAAAAAUUGGUUAUCCGAAUUUUCAACCCAGUAAAAUUUAAUUUGGUUAAUCGAUUUUGAUUUCGGAUGUUUGAUUUCAAUUUUAAAUAACAAUCGAUUUUUUGGGGGUAUAUUUGGUAUACAAAUUGAUCAUUCAUAAAUUUCUUUGGACUUAGGAUUUACGUAUCCCAUAUUGCACUUUAGAACUUAUGAUAGACAUAAAAAUACACAUAAAUAUUUAUUAGCAAUUAUAGGUAGGAAGUUCUGGAUUCAAGAUACCACUUAAAAAAAAGAGUGUAAUUGUAGACUUUCAUCAACUAUCAAUAAUCAUAUUUAUGACUUGCAAUAACCUCACCUGCCCGUAGCCUCUAGGUCCUCUACCCUAAUUCCCCCUCAUCACUGCCUAUUGACUCCAUCCAAAUUAAUGCUACCAGCUGUGGGUGUGUCUAUAUAUAUAUAUACACCAUUUUUUCUACUAGGUUGCUUUUAGGAUCUUUUUUUUUUUUUUUUUGUCAAUACAGGGGGUGUCCGGGUCAAUCCUUACGGGGCCCCGACUAAUCCUCAUUGCGGUUCGGGAGAAGAGGUCCCACUCCACACCGAACAAGUCAACAACGGGACUCGAACCGUGACCGAAGUCAGGUAGGUUACCAUACCCUAAAGAGGGGGAGCGAACCGUCACGAACUCAAGAUUUUUGCAAAGCCUUUUUUCUCCCUUGUUUUUUGAGCAAGGAGGCAAAAUACAUCAACAUAUAUAAAUAAAGGAUUACUAUACUAUUUUUCGGUUUUGAAAUCUGGAAAUGGUCCUUAAAAAAAAAAAUCUAGAAAUGGUAAACUUGUAUUAUUCCUCAGAAGUACUGAAAAUUUGCAAAUUUCAAAGGAACCAUACAACAUUUGACUUUGCAGGCGGCUUACCAUCGUGUAACCAUUUCUAUGUCUACAUGUCCAGGGUAACGACAGAACCUGGCUAAGGGGUUGAAUUCAUUGUAUGUUUCACAGGAAAUCUAUAUCCAUUUGAAAUUUUUUUUGAGAUAAAAUAGAAGUCAAUAUUAUUAAUAAAUUAAUUAAAAAUCUUCCAAUUGAUUACUUGAUUAAAAAAAAAAUUGUAUUAAUGGUAGAAUAUACGUAGAACAUGUCACAGGCAUAUCUAUUAGAGACUUCUUCAGUUAUUCAUUUGUAAAUACUUAAAAAAUAACUAACUGCAAAUGCCCACACUCAACACAAUGUCUCUCCGCCAUUGCGAUGAAUGACAUCAACAAAACCAAAAUUUGAAGCAUCCAAGAAGUACAUAAUUAAGGGGUACAAAGUCUACAUACUUUUGAUCCUUUCUGAAAUAAUUUCAUUCUGCUAAUUAGUGAGCUAAAUUGUUAUCUUGAUGAGAAUGGUUAUGAUGAACAAGUGGUUAAAAAGAUGGAAAUAGACAAACAGAACUCAAGGUUUAAUUGUCGCUUUUUUGUUUCUUGGUUUACAUGAAGUGAAGCUUUCUUAUCAUCCAUGAGACAAUACUUUGCCUUCCAUUAUCUUUUUCAUUUGUGUUCAUGACACAAAGGGAUAUUGUAAGAUACAUACGUAUAAUAUAGUUCAGGGGGCAUUGAUAUUUGCAUCUUAAGCUGUUUUUGUGAUGAUUUAGUACCCAAACUAUUAUUCUCUGCCAAUUUCAUCCAGCUAUAGCAAUUAGAUGCUAAUCAUUGAAGUAAAUUCAGCAAUGAGAUCCCCUUCAUUUGUAAAUUCUGCUUUACGCAGUGACAAUUCAAUUUGAAGUCAUAGCAGUCAGUUAGGUGGGGUGCAAUUGUCGCCACUUACUGGUGCCCAUCCAGCAGUCUUCUCAACUUCCUUGCUGCAGAUGACAAAUAAGUUGGACAAAAUUUCUACUCGUAUCGAGUCCAAUCAUCUAUUGAAUUUCCACAUAAACGAGUUUUUUUUUUAUUUCUUCCAAAAGAAUAUGUAAAUGUGUUCGGAUAGUAGAUUAUUUGAAAUGACCAUGAGAUUAUUUGAAUAAACUUAGUCGAGAGGGACAUUAGUCAGGUAAUCAUGAGAUUUCCGAUUCCGUUCUCUAAUCUUGUGUUUUUUCGAUACUUUAUAGUAGGUUUAAAGUUUCACUUAAACCAACAAAAAAAAAAAGAUGAAAAACAAAACCUUUAUUUUCCAUUAUUGAGAAAUAUCAACCAUCAAACCCAAGUACAACGGUUAUUAAUAUUAUUAGAAGUGCACAUUGGCCUUCACAUAUAUAUCCCAUAAUUAUGCCACAAUUAAUAUAUCUCAGUUCUUCCUGAGAACUUUGAUUCCAACCCAACGGGACUCCAUGUAAUCAGAAGGAUUGUCUUGUGUAUACACUCCAAACUUGAAAUAGUGCGUAGCAGGACCAUUAUCAUGAGUUUCAUACUUGAAAACUCCAUCAAUGUACACUCUAACUCUCCCAGCACCUGUGUCAUGUAUCACAUUGACACGAUACCAUUUGUUGUAGACGUUGGGGAUUAGGACAGGAUUUGUGUAGUAUGUGAGGGAUGGAUUGUAGACUCUCAGCAUAGCAGUUGUGGCCUGAGUGCUUGCUCCAAAUACUUGCAUUAUGCUGACACCAGAAGUUCCAGAGGGUACAUAUGCAUAACCCUCGAAUUGCCAUACACCUGAAGUGUAGUCGUAGCCCUGAGAAGCAAAUUACCAUCAAUGUUAUGUCAACUUCAUUUUAUUUUAUUUUUUUGCUAUUUAUUCUCCCAAAAAAAAAAAGGAAAAAAAUGAGGAAAGGAAACAAUUUUAUAUACAAAAAUAUUUCAAUCAGGUUACUUGCUACAAAAUGGAAGGUCUAUAACUUAAUCAAGUAAUCAAGUAGUCGUAUAAUUUAAUCGAUUAAAGGUCUAUAACUUAAUUCAUGGUGAAUUAAUCAACUCAAAAAAAAAUUUUUUUUUUUGGGGGUAGCUUGUGAGCUUGGUAGAGCAAAGUAGGGUCCUCUUCCAAAUUCAAGAUUGGGUUUGGGGCCUCUGACGUUGCAAGUGCAACCACAGAGUGUUAUUAAUCACUCAAAACAUGUCAAUUUCAGUUCGAUUCAAUCUGAGUCAUUUAUUUCAAUUUUUUUUAUUUUAAAAUGAAUGGUAUAGAUUAGACUGAAUUAUUGUGGCCUGAUUUGGACCGUAUAUUCAACGCAAUUGCAACCGCCCAUGUCCCUUUCUGAAUGAAAAAAUUAUUAUCAUGGACAAUACUCUCUUUUUUGGAUAAAAUACAAUAUUUCAUUCCAUGAAAUUUAUACUAAUAACAGAAAAUACGUUAAACACGUCACAGACAUGACUAAUAUGAAAACCAUGGACAAUACUAUGAGUUCAACAUCAUUUCAUGCAUUUUCAUUCACAGUUCAUCGUUUAGUUUGAAUGUUUUCCUACUCUAUCCCCAACCCAAAAUUAACUUUGCUAAUGCCACAAGCGUAUUCGGGAUAAUUUUUUUGAAGAAAAUACUGUAACAUUUUUUUAAUCUGAUAUAUGUGAGAUAAAAAUGUGGUUAAAAAAUGUGUUGAUGAUGCAAUUCAGUGUGUGUAAAUAAGAUAUAAAUAAUAUACUAUCCAAACAAGUGUUAUAUUGGCUGGAAAAAAAAUACUUACAGUGAUGCGAAUUUCAGUACGUGGUUUGGUAUUGCUAGUUUGAGAAUAAGGUUUAUCUGUCUUAUAAACCCAGAGUCUAUGUUCACCACCAAUGUAGGAAUAGCGUUGAUUGACAGAGACAUCGUACGGCUUCUGGACUUGAAAAUUUGCCUCGCUCAGCUUAACAUAGCUGAACCCAUCAGUUGGAUCAGCCUUCAGAGCCCUCAGGAGGGUUAAGAACAAAGUGGCUAAGACGAGAAAAGGCGUCAUUGCUAACUGAAGAAAGGAAGAGCAAGAAAGUGUUUUAGGUGUGGGGAUGGAAGACUACACUGGGGCAUGGGUUAUAUAGCUAGAUAGUGGAGUCUUAUCUUCUUUUUCAUUUUAACUUCGUCUGUAGAGUUAAAUUGAAGAAAGUCUUUGAUAUAAAAAUGGUCCAUGAAGCAAGUAGUCCCCUUUUAGUACAUAAAAAAAAUUCCAAUAUCCGUUUUAGGUUCAAGAAACUUUGAGCCUAAUUACUAAUAAGUUGCCCAUAUAAGUUGGCAAUAUCAAGUAAUAUUCAAAAACUGCAAUUUUAAUGCGAAAACAGCAUGAGGUUGUCAGGACUUGGAAUCAAAGAUAGUAAUUUACUUAUUUUUUUCAGUUUGUUUAUUUUUUGUGUUGUGGGAUAUGACCAUGUACAGAUGAUAUUUUGAAAAACUUAUAGAAUAUAAGUAAGUACAUUGAAGGUAUUUCAAAGUUAAAGUGCCAAAUUGCAAAAAAUGGAGCAAAUUUUGAAGAAGAUGCAUGAACUGAAUACUAAAAGAACAGUGAAGUCCUUAAGGCCCGCAGACGUAGUUCUCCAUUAAAUGUUGACUGCACUGGCCUGCGCAGUGGGUUCUACAUGUAGAUAGUGGACUUUUACUGAUCUGGGGUUCAAUUAUUUAAGCAAGUAAUCCACUUUUAGUACAGAAAAUUGUUUUAAGAUUUUCCUUUUAAUUCUAUAAAUUUUGGGUCUACUAGGGAACUAGUUUUCCACACAUACACACAUAUAUAUCAACUAUGGAAAUGGAGUUCCAAGAAGCAUUUGAGGGAUUUUCUUUGUUAAAUUUGCCAGGUGUUUUCAUAAGUUAGUGCAGUCCCAAUGUGACAGCAAAAUGAGGUCUUAGGAAUUAGAAUCUUAGGAAGUCAAUUAUUAUUGUUUUUUAUUGUGGGAUAAGACCACAGAAGAUAUGUUCAAUUAUGAUGACUAUUGAGGAAUUGAGCAUUCAUUUUCCAGAACUAAAAAAAAAAAAAAGAAAUGUUGAAAAACUUACUUUGCAAAAGAGUUGACAAAGUUCAGUGCUCUCCAAUUAUUGUACUUGUAAUUUUUGCAGUCAAAAACCAAUUUGUACCUCAAAAUAUAUUGUCCUCAAUGAAUCCAUUCCGUUUGUGGAAUAAAACCAAUCUGUACAAAUUGUCCACAAUUUGUACCAAAGUCGUUUGUGACAAUCCAGAGAUGGUUUUAUUCCAAAUCCGGAUAUUUUGUUAAAAGUCGACUCAAGUAGACCGGAUUACAUGUUUAGGACCAAAAUUCUCAAUAAACAAUUUUGGACUGUAAUUUAUUAGAGUAACACUUUGGGUCCAUGGGUUAGUCCAAAUAAAUUUUGAUUAAAACUACAGGUUCAAAAUGGUUAAUUCAAAUUACUUAGUAGCCUCUGAGCUCAAACUUAUAUAUCAUUUAUAUUUCCUUCCCCUUUCAAUGUGAAAUUAGUUGUGGGAUCAUGCAUUCAUCCUUAUUUAAGGACGUUACUUUCGCGCAAAACUCGUCACAAUCCAAACUGUUCACUUAAUCGUACUCAAAGUUUAGAGGUGACUCAUACGAGUUCUAAAUAACCUUCAGCCUAUCAAAAAUUUGAAAUGAAAAAUAAUGAAAUAUAAUCUUGGGGCUAUGGACUAUUAAAAAAUAAUUUGGAUUAACAAUUUUGAAUCCAUGAUUUCAAUUAAAAAGUUACUUGAACCGGUCCAUGCAUCUCUGCAUCGGAUGAGUUGGGACCAGUACAGUUAUAGGUUCGACCAUGCAAUGGAGUGUAAGGAGUUAAGUGCUAUAAGGGUUGAGUACAACGUCCAAUGGGGGCUAUCUCUAAAAAAAUUUCACAUUGACCAAGGGUCAUCUCUAAACUCUGUACGAGCCACCUAUAGAUUCUAUGCAUGAUUAAGUGUAUAGUUUGGAUUAUGAUCCGAUUUUGCGAAGAUGCAAAAUUCUUAAGUGGGGAUGAAUGUGAGGAUCCGUCCCACAUUGAAUUGAAGUGGAAAGGAGUGAAAUAUAACUUUGGGUCCAUGGAUUAUAAGUAUAAUUAUUUUGAUCCCAUGGUUUCAGUUCGAAAGUUACUUGGGUUAACCCAUGAACCCGAGACUUUUUCCGUUGGACAUAAGAAACACCAGCUUAUUCAUUCCGAAAUGCGUUCAUCUAUUCUUUAAACACAUUUUUUUUUUUUGAAAAAUGUUGCAAUUCAGGGGUGAGUUGUAAUAUUAAUGGUUAUAAUAGUGGGUCACCUUUUUUUUUUUUUUUUGUGUUCUUAUCUGCUGUCCUAAGUGCAGCAAAUUAAAAGAAAAAAAACUUCUUAAGAAAACUACCUUAUGUUCGUGAAAUUUUUUAUCAUGUCAUGAAAUAAUGCCAGUAAUACUUACAAAAUUUCAUUCUACUCCUCAAAUUGGAGAUAUACAUAAGUAUAAAGUAAGACUGAAAGAUAAACCAAACUAUUUGAUAUUCGAAUCGAACUUAAUUUGGUAAGAAUUCAUUCAAAUUUAAUUCACUAACUAAUUAAACCAAGGAUGAACAACAUUUUAUAUUUGAUAAUCAUUCAAACUUGAUAAAAGAUUCGGUCAAACUUGAUUCAGUAAAUAAAUAAACUAAGUUUGUACAAAAUUUUCAAUUUGUUACAAUAAUCAAAUAAAUUUAAACACUAGAAUGCUCGACUUAAUUAAACUUAUUUACAUCCCUAGUUAAAUUUGACAAAAUACUUUCUCGUUGCAUUCAGUAUAUCAGAUUAUACAGUAAGAUUGUUCUAAUUUGUCACUUCUUAAAUUUUGCAAAUUGUCUAAGAAUUAAAGAGUAACAUUACGACAUAGUUUAGGAUUGAGCUGCCUCUGCUAAUUAACUGACUUUUUUUUUCGGAGACGACAACAGUUGUAUAACCUAAUUUAUUCUACACGAAGGGGGAAGGGGCGGACCUAAGGAGGUUCAGGGAUAAUCCGGAGGGGACUGAAUCACCACUGGAUCAAACGGGUACACAACACACCCGUCUGGAUUUUUUGAAGCAAACCACUUAAAUGUGACUUGCUUGCUUUACACAAAAUUUUUUGUCUAGAGGGUAUCCAAAAAUUGACUAUUUGGUCAUGUUAGGGGGCCAUCCUCUGAACUUGAAUCCAUAUCCGCCGCCCCCUCGUGGUUUUGUCAUCCCUAAUUCCCUAUCACAAACGAAGCUAGAAAGUUUACUUUGACAAUGCAAAUCUUAAUAUAUUUGCAUUCAAGUAUGUGAUAUAAGAUAUUUUUAAUUUUUGCAUGGGCAAAUAUCUAAACUUAUAGGGAAUAUUUUUAAAAAUUUUCAAUUUUCUAAGGGACAAAAAUCUAAAAUUACAGAACUGUGAAGGAUCAGGGGGUUCAAACGGUUGUCAAAAAAAUCAUUUGGACCAAUUUUGCUUCAUUUUUCACGGGAUGUAAUUUACUUUUAACAACUUGUAAAUGUAAAAUAAAAUUUUAUAGACCUCAAAUAUGGUGUUAAAAUCGAUGUACAAGAUGUAAUUUGGGACAUAUAUAUAUAUAUUUAUAGCCAAAUUAUGGCUGUCAAUCUUUCGGUACGAUUAGAGGUGGCAAUUUGGAUUGAAAUCCAUUUAUCCAUCCAUAUAAACCAUAAUUAAAUGGAUUUGGAUUAUCCAUUUAUAAUAUUGGUUUUAAAUGGAUGAUCAAAGUAAAACCAUUAAAUUAAAUGGAUUUAUAUGGAUUAUCCACAAAAACCACAUAUAUCCAUUUACUUAAAAACCAAAUAAAAGAAAUGGACAGCAAAUGACUAAAAAAGGAGCUAUCCUAAAAUUGAACGUUGGGGUGUGAAAAUGCCGUCCCCGUGCUCCCUCGUUUUCACCGGUUUCGUUCCCUCCUUCACGGCCACCGCCAUCGCCUCCCAUUCCCCUCUGUUCUAAUCACUACUUAACUAAAUCCAUCCUCUCUGUCUGCAUCCUCCUAAAAUUUUACCCAACCCAGGAUCCCAGAUCGAGUGAGGAUGAAUUUUGCGGGCAAGUGAUCGGGGGUAAAUCUUCAUCCUUUUCUUGCUAAUAUCUUCGUCUUUGUUUUCCGUCUGCGCUUAAAUUGUUUGAUAAUUAGGAGGGAACGGGUCUGUCUCUGUUUCUGGUUCUAGGUUGUUGAGUUUCCAAUCAAUAUUUGUUAAAUCAAAGCUUUUGGGCUGGCUAAUUAACUUGAAUUAUUGGGGUUAUCGCAUUUCAUUUGCAUGUAGCUAGCUGCUGUGACGACUAGGAGUUGUAGGUCUUUUGGUUGUAAUGCUAAAACGAGUGAGAUUCGGUUGGCUUUGAAGCAAACCCAUUACUUUUUCCCAACGAUUCCUUGUGGAGGAUUAGAGUGCAAGCCUGGCACCACAGAAUUUGUGGUUCAGAAAUCCCAACUAAGUUGGGAAGGGACUUGUCAAUUGGCACUACAAGAUAAAAUGGAUACUUCAACGAGAGCUUCCCUGGAGUCACUGAUACCUGGAAUGAGAUUCUGUACAAUAUUUUUCUCUAGAAUGAUUCAUGUUAUAGCAGACAACUAAUUCCCAGGUCCUUAUUCCUAGUUGAAUUCAUUACUGUGAUGAGGACAUUAGGAAAUUUAGGUAGAGUUGUUAUGUCUAACAUUAAUUAGAAGACAUGACAUAUGAUUGCAUGCAUCGAAAUCUGGCAAACUGAUCAAAAUUUAGUUUUUAGAGUAAGUAAUGCAUGAUAAAUUGCAAGCUUGGGAUUUCUGGACUUCUAAAUGCUUAAUGUUAUCUUAAUCCUUUCCUCUAACUAGUAUUUUUUUGCUGUCAUUUUGCACUUAAUGAGAUCUGAAUUUUUUUUUCUAUUCUUUGGUGCAAUGAAUAUUAGGUACUUGUUCAAAUGGAAGGAGAAGAAGAGCACAAUGUUGAGCGAGUUUCAUCAACAGAUUCUAUACCUGAAAGUGGAGAGGCUAACGGAGAAAGUUCAACCAAGCGAAUUAGGAGGCAAACAUCAAUUGCUUGGGAUGGUUUUGAUACUGUAGCAGUGACUGCUGAUGGAAGGAAAAAAAUUAAGUGUAAAUGGUGUGCACAAACAUAUUUAUUAAAAGGUAAUUCUGGAACAUCUAAUAUGCUCAAGCAUUUUGAAUCUUGCAAGUGGAGAGAGUUGAAGAAUACAAGCUUUGGGGCUCCUUUGGAUCAACAUAUGUAUCGUGAAAAAAUUGCAGUUGCUAUUAUAAAACACAAUUACCCUUUUGAAUUUGUGGAACAUGAGGGCAUUCAAGAUCUGCAUAACUUCUUAUGUGAAGAGGUAAAACCUGUAUCAAGAAACACAAUCAAAGCAGAUGUUGUGAGAAUGUACUCGAGAGAAAAAGAAACUCUUAAACAUGCCUUAGAGAAUGUGAAGAGUAGAAUAUGUUUGACAUUCGAUCUAUGGAGUUCAUCCACUACAGAUGGUUACUUGGCACUUACGGCUCAUUAUAUUGAUGAAAAUUGGGUGCUCCAAAAAUGGAUAUUGAAUUUCCGUCAUAUUCCUCCACCACAUAAUGGUGUCUCUUUGGCAACAAGGGUAAUGGAUUUACUCAGAGAAUGGGGAAUUGAAAAGAAAAUUUUCUCAUUGAGUAUGGAUAAUGCAGCCUAUAAUGAUGUUUUGGUGAAUGUUUUGAAGCGUCAUUUGAAGAUUGCUGGUCCGUUGGUGUGUGAUGGAGAAUUCUUUCAUGUGCGUUGUGGAGCACACAUUCUAAACUUGAUAGUAAAAGCAGGUUUAGAAAUAGUUGAGCAACCUCUUUAAAAAAUACGGGAAUCUGUCAAGUAUGUUCGGUCAAGUGAAGCAAGAAAAGUCAAAUUUGCUGAAUGCAUUGCUAGAGUCUCUAUCAAUUGUAAAAAGAAAGUUCGACAAGAUAUUUCAAUAAGAUGGAAUUCAACAUAUCUUAUGUGUGAAUCUGCUUUGGAGCAUCGAUGAACAUUUCAAGAAUUGCAGUUAGUUGAUCCAAAUUAUAAAUGGUUUCCAACAGAUGAAGAGUGGAAAAAGGUUCAUCGCAUAUCUCUGUUUUUAAAACCGUUUUAUGAUAUCACUACAUUGUUUUCUGGAUCUCAUUAUCCUACUGCUAAUUUAUAUUUUCAUGGGGUUUGGAAAAUUCAGCAGUUGAUUUGUGAAGAAAUGCAUAGUCAAGAUGAUGAUUUUGUGCAAAUGGCUAUGAAAAUGCAUGAUAAAUUUAACAAAUAUUGGGAGUGUUACAGUUUUGUUUUGAGUUUUGCCGUGAUAUUGGAUCCACGUUUUAAGUUGCAAUGGGUAGAAUUUUGUUUGACAAAGAUAUACCCGAGAACUUUUUCUACACGUGUGAGGGAGAUUCGUGAGAAACUGCAUUUGAUGUUUGAUGAUUAUAUGCAAUUAUAUCCCUCAGUUAUGGCAGAUUCAUCACAAGUAGCAUCUUUUAGUGAGGGAGUUUCUUCUAAUCUUGUUGAUGAAAUAGAUGAGUUUACCAUGUAUGAAAGUGAACACUAUAAUUUGAACAGGAAUACAUCACAGUUGGAUUUGUAUUUAAAUGAGAAUAGGUUUCCAGCAAAAGAAGAUUUGGAUGUUCUUCAAUUUUGGAAAGAAAAUAGAAAUCGAUAUCCAGUGAUUUCAUUGAUGGCACAAGACAUUUUGAGUAUUCCUAUUACUACAGUGGCUUCAGAGUCCGCUUUCAGCGUUGGCGGUCGGAUUAUCAACAAAUAUCGUAGUACCAUCUUGCCAGAGAAUGUAGAAGCUUUAAUAUGCACUAAAGAUUGGUUAUAUGGUGAAAAAUGUAAGUAUUUUAUAUAUUCUUUAUUUUGUUAAAAAUUUCUUUUACUGCACAUAAUAUUUACGGUAGUUAAAUUAUUAUUUUUCUUUAUUUAGAAAUGACUUAUUUGCUGUUUUAUGAUAUUAAUAUAGUUUCACAAGAAAAUGCCGAGGAAGAAGCUGCAUUAAUUACAGAUUUUGCUCCAUUAGUUACAAAACUUCUUGGCUCCAAUAGGGAGGUUUACGAAGAGGAAAUCUAGUCAUGUGACUUAUUGGAUUGCUCAAAGGUAAUAUGGUUACUGAUUUAUGAAGCAAUUAAGUAUUUUAUUAGAGUGCCUUCAUGGAUGAUUGGAUGGGAUUGUAGACUCGUAGCUGUUGCUUAUUUGGUAUGGUUUCUAGUUUUGCAGCUUCUUGAUGGGGCCCUUUGUUCGUGUCUUCUUUCACUCCUUAGGGACUAGUAUUCACUGCCCUUGCUGGACUAAAAGAGGAGCUGUGUUUUGGGAAGGUUAUGAUCUAUAGCACUACAAACUUCUCAGUGGCAGCAUCAUAUGCUUCCUAGGCCAUGUUGUGUGUAAUUUUUUAGCAUGCAUACUUUCUCUGCACUUUUGUUUAGACCAUAUCUCUACCAAGAAAUUUUAAUCAUAUUAGCAUUUCUUUAUAGCAUCCUCUAAUCACUUUUUCUGUUUGUUCUUUAUUUCUUGCAAACUUUUGUGUUUAAAUCUAAUUUUUGUGAACUUUUUUUAAUGCCGAAGUUAAAGGAGUAUUUAGCUCAUAUGCACUACAGCUGAAAUCAAGUACUUGAGCUGUAAUGCAUUUCUGAAUUAUGACAAGUAGUUGGAAUUGCAUACAUAAAUUGUAAAGCAUUUAACUUCUGCAUUCAUAUGCUUCCUUUGCCCGCUGCAGGUACCAUGCCAUUACCAGUGCUUACUACAGAGGAGCUGUUGGUGCUUUACUCGUGUAUGAUGUCACUAGACGUUCUACCUUUGAGAAUGUUGAGAGAUUGGAUGCUGUUCAAGCUAGAGCUUGCAUGGAAAUCUUCAAGGACAAUGGCUCUUGCUGCAUAAGUCCUGUACAUUACAUCGUUCAACCAGCAAUAUUGUUCAUUUGAUUGUCCUCUUUGUCUUGGAUCAUAUAAGAUGACAGUUACAUGGAAAUACUUUAGUAUUUUCAUGAAAUUCUUACUUGGUAGGAUCAGGAAUGGGUAUAGUUACUUGGUAAUACAAAAAAAAAAAAAAGUAACCAAAAUAUAUAAAUGGAUUAUAAAUGGAUAAUUGGUUUUUAUAUAAUCCAUUUAGAUCCAUCCAUUUAGAUCCAUUUAUUAAAUGGAUCUAAAUGGAUUGGAUAAAUUUCAUCCACCAUCCAGUAAGUCAAAACCAAUUAUGAACCAUUUAUCCAUAUUGCCACCUCUAGGUACGAUUGCUACUUGGCCCAACCGUGGGGAAAUAGGGCGGUGGCUCCUCCUGCCACUCCUCCGGUUCCCUCUAUGAUCGCCUCACUACCUAUUGACUCAAUCCGAAUGCUUCAUUCUAGAGUUUUUCUUAGCUGAGAUUAAUACUUGUGAUAAUUACAAGUCGGCAGCUGAAUUUUUUUUUUGUUGAAACGAUAGAAUUUUUCUAUCGAAAUUGAUCAAUAAAGACCGUCACAUAUUUUAAUAAAUUUUGUGAGAGGUAAAAUUUGAACCCUUAAACUUCCGCACCAGGUUUGAGAUGACCACUGGCGGCUGAAUUCUUUGACGAAUAAUUUAACAAAGGUAGCUGUCCCUACGGGCCUACGCAAUUUGACAAUAUUGCUCCAUAUUGUCAUUUAUGGAAGUGCCGGCAUUCACGAAGUGGGAUUUUUGCUUCGGCAGCCAAGGCUUCCCCCCCCACCAGAGGGACAGAUAAACAUAACGCAGUGAUGUUGUUUUGUUGAAACCACUGAGUUCCAAUCUGCAACGGAUCUUCUGUCCCAAUUCAUAAUUUUGUAUAUUAUUCAAUUAAUAGUUAUUGGAUCUUUAGAUAACAAAAAAGAAUUAAAAAAUGAUAUUUAUGUAAAAGAAAUAGAAAUAUAAUAAAAAGCAACACAGAGAGUGACACAGAAUAUGGGACAGAAGAUCCAUUGCGAUUCCCAUCCUCUUAUAUGAGAGCAGUUACUCAGGGCCAUAAAAGAUCUUCAAUACUACUCAAUGAAGAAUUUAACUUGUCACAUCCUGAGAUGUCUAGAAAACGUAGAGAUUGGGAGUUUUCCAUAUCUAGGGAAGCAUCUAAAUUAGAGCAGUUACUCUGGGUCAGGGUAAAGUGUUGAAGAGAUGCAAGGCUCUUCAAAUUCCUCAUAUAAGCCAAACUUCCGCAUUUCUUUAUGCUUGAGAGAUAAUCAGAGUUGGUGGAUAUGAAAAUAGAAAAGAGUUAUGUGGAAGAGUUUUUUUUUUUUUUCCUUUGUUUUUUUGAACAAAAAAAAUACCCAGAAGACUGGAGGAAAUCUAAACUUACAGGAAGCAGUGAAAGUCCAGAGUUAUAAAUAUAAUGUCAUUGAUUUUAAUCAUGGGCAUGUGUGCAAUCUCCUCUGCAGCAAUCGGUGACAAUGUCAAUUAGUAGGUAUUUGAAACUUAAAAUGAUCAACAGGUGAAGAUUUAAGUAAGAUUAAAUCCUAUAUACACUGACAGUGUAUACACUAUUACCGUUAGAUCUAUGACAUAUGUACAAAAAUUAAAUUUCAAAUUCAAAUUUUGCAUAAUUGUCAUUCAUUCAAUGUUGACAGUAUAUACACUGUUAGUAUAGGAAAGAUUAAUCUUUAAGUAAGUAAUGGAGUCAGCCCAAAUUUGUUCAUCAAUGGGUGAAAAUCAUAGCGUUUUGACCUUUUGAACAUCAUAGGCUAUGAAUACAUAAGCAAGCUUUUCUCAUUGCUAACUUUAUGCAUCAUUUCCAAUUAGUCUGAAGGAUGAAAUAUACUACUCAAUUACCUCAUUUAGUUUCCAAGCACCAAGAAUCUGAUAUGGGAUUCUGACCCCUUGGAAGCACAUUAACCUAUUACUCGGCAUGUAGCCACCACGAGUUGAAUGAGCAACUAAUCUGUCCAAAGAGAUAGAGAGUUUCUCAUGCACCCAAACUAAAUAGCAUUCAUACAUUUGAUUAAAUAUUAAUGUGUCGUUUUUUUAUCCAUGAACACUAAUUAGAACCUUACAGCGGAAUCAAGAACCUUCUCAUUUCUUACGACUACUUUUGGAAUCUCACAUGAAGCCCAUUGGCAUCAUUACACUAGACAUUCUGAAUUAGAAAUAGGGAUCCAAAGCAGUCCUCAGCCCAUUGUGUGUGCGCUGUGGCAUGCGUCUGUAAAUUACCACAGAGUAGUUCAUUUUGACAAAUGAAAGAUCUUCUCUUAACAACUGUUUCAAGCAUUAUUCUUGUUCAAAUGCACAAUCCGCUAGCCUUAUUGGAUCUCAAUAUAAUUCUAUUGUUUGCAUAUAUACAUGCCGUUGUAUAGUUUCAUCAUUUGCAUAACUGUUGGUCCCAGUACAAGUGCACAACAGGUCCUCCAUGUACUUGUUCAACAAUCUUUAUCAAGUUCCUCGCAAAAUCAGAAUAAAUAAAGUUGGUAAUAGCUAGUUCUGAAAGCAAGACUUGGAAAUUUUACAAGAGGUAAUAACCAUGCUGUUCAACAUAGUUAGAACAGGUUUCAUCAAAAUCCCCCAAAAUGUCCAUCUGGCCUCAGCUCACCGCAUGCAAGCUCUGCUGCACCAUCGUCGAUUCACAGGCACUCAGUCAUUCAUAACUGGACGGAUGCUGAUUCUCAAUCUAACACAACAGGGCACUCAAGGACACUUAACACCGUAAAAUGAGUUGUCUGGUUGCAUAUAACACUGUAAAGCUGUAACUCAGGUGUCCUCAUGGAAAUACUUUGGUCGGUCUUGGUGAGGAAAGGUUGUUGUCCCUGCAGCAUAACAGACAUGAGCUCAACAAAUAGGCAGUCAUUUGCUGAAUCAGGAAAGGGAAAAUAGUAGAACGUGUAAGAAUUAGCUUAGCAAGCUAUUAAAUGCCAAAAACAAAAUCAAGCUAAGUGACUGCAGCUCAAUUAUGCGUUGUUCAUAAAGGAGCAGGUCAGAGAUGUUAGAUUUUGUUGGCCCGAAAAUGCCAAUAAGGUUGAUUACAUAACAGAGAACAAAAGUAUUUCUAAGCAUUUAGCUACAACCUUGUUUGAAAUUGUGAGCAACUGCUUCUAAUAAAGAAUCCCCAGAGUCGAGAAUGAAUGACAAAGGGUCAAGUAGAUAAGUUGUUUAGGAUCAAAUGCAGUUGCAACACUGGAAAAGCCUCCUUUGGCUCAGGGAAAAUACCUAUACUUGGGAUACUUGAAAAGAAAAUUUUUAUUCAAUUCCUAAUCAUUUGUAAUUUUUCUUUUAAAAAACAUGCUCAUGUCUAUUCUACCAAUUCGAUGGCAGGGCUCACCCAAAAAAAAAAAAAAGUAAAUUUUCAUAGUCCACUACUAAAAACCUGGUGCAUUGAAGUUUUUUAGAUGAUGUAAUGAAUCGUUUUAUUUUUAAAAAAAUAAGUUUAUUAAUACUUAUAAUCUAUGUUAAAUUUUCUGAAUCGUGUCCAAGAAUCAGAAUAAGACAAUCAGCAGACAUCUGGUAUCAAUAAGGCAGCUUGAGAAAACAGAAUAAGUAGGAUAAAACAUUGGCAAAAUUAACUUACAGGGCGGUUUGUUUCCCUAAUGUGAAACGAGUCAAACUUUGUUCAAUCGGUAUCAAUAAGGGGAAUACAUGCAAUCUUGGGCCACUUUUCGCCACUUCCUUUGGUGCAUCUCUCUGCUAAAAGAGGACAGUCGGCGAUAUACAGUAGAUUUAAACUGGUGAGGUGUUGUAUUGCUUCUGCAGAGGGCAAUUGUUUGAGGUUAGUGCAAUUGCCAACGCACACUUCUCGAAGAUUUUGAAGGCUACCUAUCCACUUUGGAAGAACUUCCAACCCCUCAAACUCCCGUAUCUCUAGAACUGUCAAGGUAGAGUGAUGCUGAAUUGGUCUGGAAGAGACGUGAUUUUUGGCCAUCCAAACAAUUCAAGUUUUUCCAGAGAGAAGAAAUGUUGUUUUGCAGAAUCACCAUCAUUCUUGGUGAUGGAGUCUGGCCACGGGAAAUAAUCAAGGUUGUCAGAGAAGCCACCGAGUUCCAACUCGCAGAGGUUGGCAAGAUAUUGUAGACCCUUUGCCCAACAACCAGGGUCGUCAGAAAAGAUCGUCAACCGCUCGAGCAAUGUGAACUUCUCAAGAUUAUUACUCAAUGAAGUAUUCAACUUAUCACAUCUUGAGAUGUUUAGAGUAUGUAGGGAUUGGGGGUUUUUCAUAUCUAGAGAAGCAUCUAAAGCAGGGCAGUCUUCUAAUCUAAAGCAGGGCAUUUUUCUAAGGAUGAGGAUUCAAGAGAUGUAAGGCUAUUCAAAUUCCUUAUACAUGCCACAAUUCCGCAUCUUCGUAUCUCUAACUCCUCAAGAGAUGUCAAGUUCUCCAUAUCUGGUAAAACAGCCAAACUGGGGAGCCUUUCGAUUGCCAAGUACUGGAGAUUAGGGAAUACUUUAAUUGAUGAGGAAGAAUUCGAGGGAACCAUUGCAUUUGACCACUCCUCUAGACUAUCCAUGUCCUCCAACACAAAACGCGAUAGUUUUGGAAACAGAUUGAUUGGUUUCGCCUCUCUACUACUGCUCCUGGCACUAUCGAGAUGUUCAAGACCGUAGAAUUCAGCCCCAAUGCGUUUCACAUUGUGUAAGGACACCAUCUCUAAGGACUCGAGACAAAACAAGUCCCCCCAGUGGUAGUACUUGUUCACACUUACCCAAUAUCUCCAACCUGAGGUGUACCAGAUUCCGAAGUACCAUCAAGUGAUCCUUUGCUACCAUCCACAAUGGAAACCUUGAACCUUUGAAACCCCUAAUACCUAAACUUUUCAAGUUUGGGUGAGGUUGGAGACCUUCCAUGGCACUAUUGAUAUUGUUGUCGUCACAAUGUUCUUUCGUGUCAUCCCAUGAAAGUCUUAUUUUUUGGACAAAUUUGCUUUUGCUGCUGAUUCAAAGCUGCUCACAUUCUCCAGUCCAAAUAUUUCUAACUCGCCUCAGAGGUUGCUCAAGUGUUCCAACUCCUCAAGUUGACAUCCCUUGGCUUGGCUUACCACAAAGUAGGGCAAUGUCUGAAGAUUAGACAACUGCCCAGUUCCAGGGAACAAACAUGAUUGGACCAAAGCAGCACGAAAUAAAAACUGGAAAUGCCUCAAGUUAAUUAAAUUGCUAAACUUCUUAGGUAUCUCCUUCACGCAAAAUACUUUCAAGGUUAUCAAAUUGUAGAGCUUUGUGAUGGAAUCUGACAGAGCAGUGACACGAGUUUUGCUGAUAUCAAGAUGUCUUAAAUGUUUCAUAUCACCUACUGCAUUCGAGAGAUGAGUACCAUUCGUGCAGUCUACUUUUAAUACACAAAGGUGUCUAGACAUUUUGGAGAUGUCUUCGAGCAUGCCAUCACCCACAAGAUAAAACGUCUGCCAAUUUGGAGGAAUCCCUUUGAUAUUCUUGAGCAUCUUCCCUCGACUCAGAAUGAUGGUCAAAUGCAUAACUUCAUCAUCAUGACUGACUUCCAUGCCAUCCUCCGUAUUUAAGCAACAGUUAUUUGACACUUGCAAUGAAAGACCAUGCACAAGGUCGUGCAUCCGGCAGAACUUGGUUUUGUUAAUGGAAUUCCCAAAAGUGGCUUGCAACAAAGAACUCCGAAAUAAUAUGUUGAAAUAGUCACUGCCUAUAUCCUCCAUUUGCAAAUGACCUCCUCCCUUGGCAUCAUUAAUCAAUCCUUGGAUCAUCCAAAUCUGUAUCAAGCUUUCUUUUUCCAUAACAGUGUCCUUCAGGAAAAUGGAACAACUUGCAAAGCAUUGUUUCAUUGACAAUGAAGGUAAGUUUUCAUAACUCAGCUUCAGGACAGAAAAGACUCCAUCUGCAACAUUGCUUGACUUAUUCCAUAUUUCACUUUUCUCAAUCGUCAACCAUUCUGAGGCAUCCUUUUUAGAGUACAAUAGACCCCCAAUCACUUUGAUCGCUAGUGGCACAUCACCACACUUUUUCAGUAUCCUUCUGCCAAUGUCCACUAGAUCUAGAGUCUUGGUUGCACCACCGUCUGCAAAAGCUAGUUUUUCAAACAACAUCCAGCUAUAAUCAUCUGAGAGGAUCUCUAGAUGAUACAAACCAGAUGUUUGCAUUGCUGAGGCUACCUCAUCACUACGUGUGGUAGCCAAUAUUUUGCUUCCUAGAGCACCCCCUAUUGCCAGCAAACAUUUCCUCAUGCGAUCCCAUUUCUCUCGAUUGUCAUUCCAAGCAUCAUCAAGCACAAGCAAGUAACUUUUUCCUUGCAAAUUUUCUUGAAGCCUCCUCACCAAUGCUUCCCUGUUUGUCGUCUCAGCGUUCUUUUUCCCGAGGGAUUGAAGCAUCUCAUUCAACAGCCUUUCCACUUUGAAAUCAUCAGACACACAAAUCCAUAUUGUUUCAUCAAAAUGCUUCACUACACUCCCAUUUUUUAGCACCAGCUGUGCAAGGGUUGUUUUUCCCUGGCCACCCAAACCAACUAUUGACAUGACAGGUAAAUCCUUCUUAUAGUCUGAGCUAAUUAACAUCCUUACAACAUGAGAUUUCUCAACUUCCCUUCCCAUCAUUUCCGACUCAUCCAUAAAAGGAUCAGUCGACCGAUCCUCUUUGUGAUCAGCAGAUGUCAUGGUUAGCUGAACUGGAUGAAGCCCUAUCUGAUUUGCUUCUCUGUAAGCUUCCUCUAGAGAUGCGCUAACAUUCUUGAUCUUGUUAGCCAUCUCUAGAUGAAAGGAAAUAGGAUUUGAGGAAGAAAAGAAGUUGCGUACCUUGUCGCGCUUCCGAUUCUCAACCUUCUGCUGCAAAACUUCAUAUCCGAAGUCAUCCAACACGAUCUCAGCAUCACGUGCUACGGACUGGAGCCUUUUCAGCCAAAGCUGCACGGCUUUGCUUGUUGAUUUCUUGCAUUUAGCAUCAAAAAUCAAAGCUUCCACCAUCUCUACUUUCUUGGCAAGCUUCUGAAGGUCUUUCUUUACACCCCAUACCCGGCUGAUCUCGUCGGCAGUAAGCGGAAGUAUCUUAUUCAAGAUUACACUAACAAAACUGAGUACAGCUUCAGCCAUCUUCAGGGAAACUCUUAACAGAUGGAGGUAAAAUGCUUUGGUUGAAUAGUUGGACUACUUUUUGCAGCCAGAGAUGGUCAACAUUCAACAGGUAAAAGUUACAAAGCACCGAAUCCAUUACUUAUCUUUCAUUUUUUCCAAAACGAAAUUUCCUAGUAUUCACUGAAAGAAUUAUUAAUUAUAUUCUAGCCGUACAUUUUUUUGUUUGUCGUUUUUUUUUUCCUUGGCUUUUGGUAGGGUCUUCACAUGUUAAAGCUAGGACAACAAUAAUUAGAAUAGUACGAGUGAGAUUCCCACACAAAGGGUGUGAAAAACUAAAGAAAAGUUUUGCCCUUGCACAGACAAAGGGUGUUAAACGACACAAUCAACUGAAUAUUGCAAAUAUAAUAUACACAAUACACGAUGCAUAUUUCAAAUAAUGAGAUUACAAGGACUUCAUUCAUUUAAUCCAAGUGAAGUUUAUUUAAUGACUGAAUUUAUUGUAUUGAGAUAUGUGACUGUUCUACAGAUAUUUUAGCACAAAAUUAAAAUAAAUUAGUAAUUGACUAAGUCAAGUUCUUAGAGUUGUUCCACACUUGUUGUUUUUGACUAGUUCAAGUUUGUUUUUUGUUCUAAAUAUUAUGUUGAGAUUUGUUAGGAGAGAUUUGGAUAGUGUGUUGAGGUUUGUCACGAAAAAUUUGUGUAGACUUAUUACUUACACUUUCGAUUAAUAGAGACAUAUUUAAUGAGAAAUCUAAAAUCGUUUUUCAACUCUCAAUACAAGUCUUAGUAAACUAUUUUUUUUUUUUUUUUUUUUGCAGUUCUAAAUAUUGUUUUAGUAGUUUAAGCUCUAAAUUCUAACAUAUUGGUGGGUACUACAAAAUAGAGAUGUUCCAAUUUCUCUUCAGUACGUGCAAAUAUUAUCACUUACAAGAAGCUAGUGUUGAGUAUAGGACCAAGAGUUUGCUUCAAUCCAAUUGAAAGCAAUCGGGCUCAACAAACCAUCAGGAACGCCAAUGGAGCUGACCAAGAAAGGUGCAAGUGGUCUCAGUUCCCCUCAAAUCCAGCAUUUUCUAUUGAAAGGUGGAAAUCUGAGUCAUCUUCCAAAUUCCAAAGUAACGAGGGCAUACAUCGAUUUUAAAAGACCUAAUAUGCCCUGCAAAAAGAUUCAUAAACAACCGUUCACAUGGUGAGAUCUGCUGGGGGAUGGGCAUCCGUCCCACAUCGCUAGGAUGUGGGUUCUUUGACCUGGACUUAAGGUCCACGGGUUUGCCUUCCAGUUAUCAAUUGGUUGGAUAGGUAAGCUUUGUAGGUCCCCUUAGAUUACCUCUUAGAUCCUCCUAGCUUUAACCCUCAAUUAUAUUUAAUUAGUUGGGUGUGUGUGUCUUAUAUUUUUUUCGAUAAAAAAAAAACUAGUCAUGCAUUGUAAGUUGACAUUUAACCGACUGUGGAAAUUGUUCAUUUUAUUUGUCAACAAUCAAUUGUCAACUAAUUUCCAUCCACGAACCUGCAACAUGAACUCAAGAUAUGAGGAUAAGCCCUGGAGAAAUAUCCUUCCCUUACGCAUUGUCUCUAAUUUAAAGCCAUAAAAACACUCUCUGCUCCUCUUGUUUUUCAUAUAGAAAGGGUAACCCUAGAGCUUCUGUUUAGGAUGCAUUACACCAGAGUACUUCACAAGCAUGACAAUUGUUGUUUAAUCUAAACACGCCGACACAUACAGAGCAUAUGACUCCCAUAGAGCUGAAGAUUCUUAAUCAUGUCAUUCACAGGGAAGAGAAGUGUUCUGUUGAGAAAUUUGACAAUUGAGAAAUUAGGAAGGUUGGGGGUAAUUUGCCGUUAGACAUAAGAAACACCGGCUUAUCCAUUCUGAAAUGCGUUCAUCCAUUCUUUAAACACACAAUUUUUUUUUUUUUUUUUUUUUUUGCAAAAUGUUGCAAUUCAGGGGUGAGUUGUAAUAUUAAUGGUUAUAAUAGUUGGUCACCUUUUUCUUUUUCUUUUUUUUUUUUUAUCUUUUUUGUUCUCAUCUGCUGUCCUAAGUGCAGCAAAUUAAAAAAAAAAAGGGUAAACAACAAAAAAGUCCUCUAUAGUAUAGCUAUUUUAUAGAAUAAUCCCCUAUGAUUUCAAUUCAUACACAUCGGUACCUCAUGGUUUGAAGUAAAGUGAAAAAUCAAAGGAAAUUGUUAAAUUCAAUGCGUGUGAUGUAAACGCGCUGGAAAUGGGCGUGGUUCUUCCAAAAAAUAGUUUUUGAAGGCAAAUUUUGAUCUAAAAUACCUAUUUUAUCCCUCGUACCUUAAUAAAACAACCAUGAUUCUUUUUCAAAUUUGUUCUAAUCUUGUAGAAAUCGACGUUUUUUGUUUAUAUUAUUAGUGAAUGAAACUAAUGAAUCAAAAAUCGGUUGUUUUAGGCUAUUUUGUCGCUUAUAUUAUAUGGGCAUUUCUGUCAUUUCACUCAAAAUCGUUUCUUUUAACGAUUUCCGUCAAUGUUCAAAUUACUUCAAAUCAUGAGAUACCAACACAUAUGAUUCGAAAUCAUAGGGGGUUUUCUGUAAGAUAGCUAUACCACAAGGGUUUUUUUGUUGUUUACCCAAAAAAAAAAUCUUCUUAAGAAAACUACCUUAUGUUGGUGAAAUUUUUUAUCAUGUCAUGAAAUAAUCCCAGCAAUACUUACAAAAUUUCAUUCUAGUCCUCAAAUUGGAGAUAUACAUAAGUUGAAAGUAGGACUGAAAGAUAAACCAAACUAUUUGAUACUCGAAUUGAAUUUGGUUUGGUAAGAAUUCAUUCAAAUUUGAUUCACCAACUAAUUAGACCAAAGAUAAACAGCGUUUUAUGUUUGAUAAACAUUCAAACUCGAUAAAAAAAAAAAAACUUGGUCAAACUUGAUUUAGUAAAUAAAUAAACCAAGUUUGAACAAAAUUUUAAAUUUGUUAAAAUUUUAAACUUGUUAAAAUAAUUAAAUAAAUUUGAACACUAGGAUGUUCGACUUGAUUAAACUUGUUGACAUCCUUAGUUAAAUACAACGAAAUACUUUCUCGUUGUCGUUGCAUUCACUAUAUCAGAUUAUACAAUAAGAUUGUUCUAACUUGUAACUUCUUAAAUUCUGCAAAUUGUCUAAGAAUUAAAGAGUAACAUUAUAACAUAGUUAAGGAUAGAGCUGCCUCUGCUAAUUAACUGACUUGCUUUACACAAAAUUUUUUGUCUAGAGGGUAUCCAAAAAUUGACUAUUUGGUUAUGUUAGGGGGCCACCCUCUGAACUUGAAUCCAUAUCCACGCCCCCUCAUGGCUUUGUCAUCCCUAAUUCCCUAUCAUAAACGGAACUAGAAAGUUUACUUUGACAAUGCAAAUUUUAAUAUUUUGCAUUCAAGUAUGUAAUAUAUGAUAUUUUUAAUUUUUGCAUGGGCAAAUAUCUAAACUUGUAAAGAAUAUUUUUAAAAUUUUUUAAUUUUCUAAGGGAUAAAAAUCUAAACUUAUAGAACUGUGGAGGAUCAGGGACUCAAACGAUUGCUGUUUGAGUCGAUUUUGCUUCAUUUUUUACGGGAUGUAAAUUACUUUUAAUAACUUGUAAAUAUAAAAUAAAAUUAUGUGAAAUUCAAAUAUGGUGUUAAAAUUGAUGAAUAUGAUGUAAUUUAGGACUUAUAUAUAAAUAUAUAUUGGUCAAAACACGGCUGUCAAUCUUUCGGGACGAUUGCUACUUGCCCCAACCGUGGGGGAAAUAGGACAGGUGGCCCCUCCUGCCACUCCUUCUGUUCCCUCUAUGAUCUCCUCACUACUUAUUGACUCAAUCCGAAUGCUUCAUUCUAGCCCCUCCUGGUACAUCGAGUGGUUUCGGUCCCUCAUCAGGAUAUAUCGAUCACGAUUCGAGUCUCAGGAGUACCUUGCUCGAAGUUCAGCUUGGACGCCUUUCCCCGGGCCCUGGGGGAUUACUCGAGUUUCAAGGCCCGGAUACCCUUAGGCGAAAAAAGAAAAGAAAAGAAUGCUUCAUUCUAGAGUUUUUCUUAGCUGAGAUUAAUUCUUGUGAUAAUUAUAAGUCGGCCGCUGAAUUCUUUGACGAAUAAUUUAACAAAGAUAGCUGUCCCUACAGGUCUACACAAUUUGACAAUAUUGCUCCAUAUUGUCAUUCAUGGAAGUGCCGGCAUUCACGAAGUGGGAGAUUUUUGCUUCAGCAGCCAUGGCCUUUUCUUUUCCCCCUUUUUGGGGCAUGCGACCAGAGGGAGAGUUGCAAUAAACAAUUUCUUCCUUAUUUUUCCCUUCCAAAAACCAUUAAAGGGUUAAACUUUAUUUUAUUUUAUCCGAAAUACUCAAAAUUAAAGGUAUUAACCACAAUCCAAUUAUAUUGAUCCGUUGAAACCCGCUUACUAAUAAGUGGACUUGGGUCUGUAAUGAACUUUAAAUGGGUCUAAAUAAACAUACAAUUAAGCCCAUUUAAUUGAUGGAUAGUGGGUUGAUUUGGUUCAUCAAUUUAUAUCGAUUUAAAAAUAAAUAUGCAUUUAAAUUCAAUUUUUAGUGGAUGUUAAGUGGACAAAUUUGAAUUUUUUUAUCAAUCUAAUAUUAAAAAAAUGUCGUUAUUUCUUGUUAAACAACGUGCAAAAAAUAAGAAAAAAUAAAUAAAAUUUCAAGUGAAUCAUAAAUUGGUAAUUGAAUAUGUAUCUAUACCCAUUUCUUAAAUAGAUAUAAAUAGACUGACUCAUUUUGACUUAUUUAUUAAAUGAGUAUAAAUAAGUUGAUCUAAUUAUAUUUAUUACUCAAUUAUGACCCGUCCAAACCCUCCAUAAUUAUCCAUUUUGACGCCUCUACUUAAAAUUGUCGAAGUUCAAUGGAACUAUAACAUUUGAGUCAUUGAGGCGGCUCCCUCAAGUGGGGGUUGGUUAUUGGAUGUAUGCACCACGGAUGAUUUAUAUCCAUUAGAAACCUUAUUGAGUUAUCCACUUGUAGGCCUUUGAAAAUACCAACUUGCAAUAGAUGAUAUGUGCGAAAUCUGGUGUAAGUAUAGAUGCAUGUCAGAUAUGUAAAAAGAAAAUUUUGAAUUUGAAUACAUGGGCUAAUUCAUAAAAAGUUUAAAAUUAAGUAAUUAUAUCUUUUUUCAAGCUAUGGCUGAUGGUGAUCCAACCAUCUACAUUAGAAAAUUUUGUUAGUGACAUCCAUAUGGCUAGUGAGCAAUAAGAAGUUUCAAAUCACAAGUUGACAAAAACUUAGCAAAGCAAUCCUAGGUCUGUGGUGCCACUUAAUUGUUGUCUUGAGGUUCUGUCAUUUAUCAAGGAGUUAUAUUCUCAUUCUUAUUGAACGGACGACCAACUAUUUUUAGGUUUAUUCAUUUAGCGCCUGUUUUUAUCGGCCGUCGGCUAGGGUUCCGUCAUGUCUAGAAGAGCCAAAAUAGAUAAACAAUUCUAUUUUCUGGCCUAAGUCCUUGGUGCAUCUCUCCGUUGGGUGGUUCCCAUUUAUUUUUUGGAGGAUUUUCUUCUUUGUCUUUCACUUCUCCUUGCCGGCCAUUUGGCAACCUUAUCUUCUUCCUUCCAGUAGACCAAGAGAACAAUGAAGUAUUUUUGGGCUUUAAUAUAGUUCUGAUUUGUGUAUUUUUUACAACAUUUGGUGUUUCCCUAAAUAAUUAAGUUAGUAUUCUUAUAUAUUAAGCUGUUAUAUGUGAAUAAAAUUUACCUGUACGACAAAGUUACACAAAAUCAUUUAAGAAAGAUAUCAACUCAACAUAAAAAGUCAACUAAAUUCUUACUAAACUUGUCACAUUCCAAACUUUGGAUUAACUGUUUUUGGGGAUAUUUUUGAAAAAUUUUGCUGUAGCAGAGUUUUUAGAUUAUAUUUUGGGAUAUUUUUAGAAAAUAUUUUGGGAUAUUUAAGAGUAGAUGAGUCUCUAGAAUAUAUUUUGAGAUAUUUUUUAAAAUUUUAAAAAAAUUUAAACUAAUUUUUAGAUUACCUUUUAGAGUACUUUUUAAAAUUUUUUAUUAUUUUUGAAAAACACUCCCAUCCAAACAGAGCAAUAAUUUUCCACGACUAUAUUUGAAGCAUUAAUUGGGUACUCCCGAUUUAAAUUCUUCAUAGUGGCCAUCCGGGAUUACAGUCACCUUCCUUGUAGCAGAUCAAGAAAAUGUACUUCUAUUUCUAAAAGAAGAAAAUUGUGUAGUACACGAUUUCAUUUGAACCGUUUAAAGGUUAAGAAUCAGAUUAAAAAAACGAAGCAGCAUUGUAAUAAUUUUCUAAAACUAGAAAUGCAUUUGGAAUUUCCCGAGUAAUUAGAUGCAAAGUUUUAUGAGUGUACAUUUUUUAAAAGUAUUUGUUAUACUUGGUUUUAAAAAAAAUGAAUUGUGCAUGUGAACUUUGUCUGUCAAUUUUAUGCUUGUUUUCGUAUAAAUAAAAUGCAAAAAUUAGUAAUGAAUACAGCACUAAAAUUUCUUUGAAAAAAAAAAAUUCUAUUCAGGUAAGUUAGUCAAAAAAGUUCCAAUUUUUUUUGAGAUUCUUUCCGAACAGGUUAAAAUUCUCUGAGCUUCUUUCCGCACAGGUUAAAAUUCUUGAGGAGGGAAAAAAAUGACGGACUUCAAAUGAUAUGAAGCUGAAGUGUUAUAGCCGCCUUAAUACAAUAAUAGAACAACAGGGAAAAGGAUGAAAUUUGACCACCCACUCCAUAGGUAUUGAAGAGGUCGUUUUUGCCCUGCUGGAGUGAGUCACCCGAGUUGGAGAAGACCUCUUAUCCUGGGUAGUUAUCUUAGAUGAGGUCACCUGCUUAAAUUGUAGGAGGGACUAAAGUCCCCGGUAUAACUCCGAAACUUAAGUCAGUUCGGGAGUGAAAGAGUAAUAAGUAUAGAGAAGACUAGUAUGCCUUUACCAGAAAUUUGGCCGUCCCACUUCUCAGUAGAGGUGCUGAGUAUUUAUAGAAGUCAGAUAGGAGAGAGGGACUGCUUGCACGGGUCCCUAGAGAUCUGGCAGGGUCAGCGUAUCAAGAUGACUUGAUGGACUCUGCGGAAAGGUACGCCGGAACAGUUGUGUGUCAGGCGGCGCAUGUCAGGGCAGCUUUAUCAGAAAUGUCAGAGGUAUCAGAGACCAUGUUCCACAACUCCGGUUGCCAGGUCAUUAUACUUGACUUCGGCUUGGUGAGGGAAAACCUUGGCCGAGGCGGUAACUAGGCCGAAGUCGAUUCCCGAUGGUGAAAGGCCGAGGCAGUCGGAACGAAGAAACACAGGACGGGAUCCCAGCUCUAGGCGAGCUGGAAAUACCCUCCUCACUAAGCCCCCCAAGCUUCGGGAAGAGCGAGAUCGUGGUCUCACGAGGUCAUCACUUCCCGAGGCUGACACGCGUGUGGAAUACGGAACAGGAUUAGGACACGUCACGACUGUGGAGAUGUGACUGGGGAAAGGUGAAACGGGGGCUGGCAGCUUUAACGUCGGAUCAAUACGAUCGAUUGUCAGGUGAACAGUACCUUCAUUAAUGAGGGGAGAGAGAGAGCUUUAGGGAAUCCCAAAGAUCGCGUCUCUUCGGUUUCCUCCUAUGGCCUAUAAAUAGGGGUCUCUUUUCACCGUUCCAUUUUUUACCAAAAUUCGAAAUCACCUCAGAGCUCCGUCUUUCUGCUUAUUCAUUUCGGCAGUCUUUCUGAACCACAUCUUCUCCAGCAACUUCUUUCUGCAUUCCCUAAGUAAGUUCACUUCUUCUCUUUGUGUUAAUGGCUAGAACAGCUCGCACAUUCAAAGAGACGGUGAGGCCUGACUUCACCGAGGCAGAAAGGCCCGACCCUUCCGAGGAGAGAACGACCUCCAACGCCGAGGAAGGAGGUGGGGAAGCGUCUGAUCGAGCCCGGGGAGGAGGUGCGGAGGCAUCCCGCCGAUCUGAGUCUCCGGCAGAGCAGGCCGAAGAGAUUGAGAUCGAUCCCGAGGUCUUGUACAAUGAUGACCUCGGGAAUGAAGUCCCUAGGGACGUAGGUGUACAGGAGCUCUCCACUCCUCCAAACGUGGCCACGCUAAACUAUGGCCAGAUGCCGGCCUUCACCAGUGCGGUGGAUCAAGCUUCCAUAGCCGAGGUGAUCCGCAAGUACCCGUGGAGGAGGGAGUACAGUAUUUACCUCACGCGCCCACAUCAGUCCGCCGCCCUGCCUCCAAAGGGUAUGGUAGCUAUCUACAUAGAACAGCUGGAGGCCGGACUCAGGGUGCCCACCACAAGGUUUCUUCAGGACUGCCUGAGGUACUGGGGGGUGAGGAUUACUCAGCUCACCCCAAAUGCAAUUCGUAUCCUCGUCGGCUUCCAGCUACUCUGCCGACAUCAAGAGAUAGAGCCGAACGUCAACCUCUUCCGCCGUUGUUAUUCACUCAAGAACAGUGGGAGCGAGAAGGGGUGGUUCUACUUCGGGAACAAGGUUCCCAAGUUUGUAUAUGAUGCCCCGAGCUCAAUAAAGGAGUGGAAGAAUAACAUUUUCUUCGUCCCGGCUGAGGACUUCCCCAGGGGAUUCUGGUGGAGACCUCCCAUUUCGGUCAAAGAAACCUCCCCGGGCAAAUUGGAAGAACGCAACUUCCAAAAGUUGACGGGGUCGGGCCUGAAGAUUAACUGUUGGGACUUCCCUGAAAGAGUGCUCGUGAAGGGCGAGCUCAGCCGAGCCUUGAUCAGCUCGGACUUUCCCGUCCUCAUCUUCACUAGGCUUCACAUACCUCGUACUUUUCCACUUCUCACUUUCUUGUUUGUUUUCCUUGAAUUCUAACUAACUUCAUUUCGUGCUUCGCAGUAAUGAGGGUUUCCGACCUGAUUAUCUCGGGAGAGGUCGAGGUGGCAAAGAGGCCAGCAAAAAAGCGCAAGGACGCUGGUGAGUCCUCUUCCAGGCCGGCUAAGAAGACCACUGCAGCGGCAGGCACUCGCGAACCUGCCGUGGUGAUUAUAGGUGAGGGGUCGCAUACCUCGGACACGCCGGGAAGAUCCAAAGCGUCCAUUCCAGUGGGAGUUCCAUCCCAUGGAGUAACCAUAGCCUCUCAACCUCGGGGGCGGGGUCGAGGUGCGACCGUUGUCCAGGGUGACUCCGUCUCGGGGAACUCAUUAUUCAACCUCCACCACGUGCCCUCUCUAGCAGCCGGGGAGGACAAGAGGCACUCCGGAGCACAAUUUUGCCCGGAGUGGUCGGUCAAUGUCAAUGACCGCUGCAAGAAUCCCCAGGUCGCGCACGAGCUCCUGGUGAAUUCAGUCCUGCCACGGGACAAUACUUACACCAGGAAACUCAAUUCGGCCGAGCUGAUGCAGGGCGCCUCGGUUUCUUGGGCUUCCACCACGGCGUUCCUCGCUGAGAUGUACCAACGCUUUGGUGACUUCAUAGAGACUUAUGAAUCCCCUGCCGAGCUCCAGAAGAAGAUCGCCGACCUGGAGGGGAAACUAAAGGCCGUCGAGCUGGCACGUGACAAGGCCGAGGCGGCGAAGAAGAAGGCCGAGGUCUCGAAUAACUCCCUCAUAACUGCUCUUGAUGAGGAGAGGGAGAAGAGAGCUCAGGAAGAACAAUCAUCCAAAGUGGCCAUAGACACAGCCGGGGCCACCGCCGUGGAAGCAUUCCGGAAGUCGGAGUCUUUCAUUCGCGACCUCGGUGAACUCACUCGGCCGAGCUUCAUGUUCAGCUAUACGUCGGCCAUUAAUGAUGCGGCACCCUUUCUUCCCCCUGAGCAGCUGGAGUCCUUCCAGAGUGCCUCACACUACAAUGAGGAUGCCAAGAAAUUAUGUGACCGCGUGGGUGAGGGCAUCCAGGCUGGAAAGGACCUGGCCGAAGUCCGAGCUGAAUUCAACAAGUGGCUCCAGGAGUUCGAGCUGGAUGGUGACAGUGCUGAAGGGGACCAGGCCGGUGGAGGAGAGGAAGAACAGCAGGAUGCUGGACAGCAGGAUGCCGAGGCAGGCGGAGAGACCCUGGGAGGACAGGACCCCAGGGCAGGAGGUGCUUAGAAGCACUCAUGUUUUGUAAUAGAGGGCCGAGGUCAACUACGACCUCGACAUUUCACUUUUGUAAUUAUGACCUCGGCCUUUUGCUUUUCAUGCUUCAAUAAAGUUGGGUUUUGCAUAUUGUCUUCUUUUCAAUUGAGUUCAGUUUUUCUUUCUUUUAACUACUGCUUUGUCCCCUUAUUUGUUACUUGUAAUGAAAUAAGAACGAGUGAGAAAUAACUUAAAGAAGUGGACAGAAAGAACACGUACCCUUCAAGGGUAGUAUAAUUUAAGAUUUUCAGCAUGCCAAAUUCGGGGUACCCGAGAUCCAUCUCGGUAUGCCAAUUUACGAUAUCCGUUUUGGCUGGAUUCAACAACACGAUAUGGUCCUUCCCACUUUGGAUUGAGUUUUUCCUGAGUCUCAGCUCGGCUAACCGAGUUCUUCCGGAGCACAAGGUCUCCCGGACUGAACCUUAAAUGUUUGACCCGAGCAUUGUAAUAGCCAGUUAGGAUAUUUUUGUAGAUCGCAACUUUGGCCGCGGCCAUAUCACGCUUCUUUUCGGCGAGGUCGAGGUCAACUUGCCGCUCCUCUUCAUUGACUUCGGCAGCAUACGCAGCCAUUCGCGGGUUGGGUGUGAUGAACUCGGCUGGAACGACGGUCUCAGACCCAUAAGUUAGGGAAAACGGCGUUUCUUGAGUCGCUGACCUCGGCGUAGUCCGGUAGGACCACAGCACGCUAGGGAGCUCUUCCAUCCACGAUGAUCCAGCUCGGUGAAGCCUGGUCUUGAGGCCAUGGAGGAGAGUUCGGUUGAAAUUUUCGGCUUGUCCAUUCGCCUGAGGGUGCCCCACCGAGGUGAAAUGUUGUUUGAUCCCUAAGUUCUCGCACCAUGCCUUGAAAGGGUUAUCAGCGAACUGCCUUCCGUUAUCCGAGAUGACAACUCGAGGCAGUCCGAAGCGACAGACCACGUUUUUCCAGAAAAAUUUUUGGACAGCCAUUCCGGUGAUGCUUCUCAGGGGCUCUGCUUCGACCCAUUUAGUGAAAUAGUCCACUGCCACCACCACGUAGGCAUAGUUGCCUGGGGCUCUGGGGAAUGGACCGAUUAUGUCAGUCCCCCAUUGCUCGAAUGGCCAUGGCGAAGUGAUGGGGAUCAUAAGAUUAAUCGGUUGGUGGUGCUCAGAGGCAUGGUGUUGACAAGAAGGGCAACAAAGAACCAUGACCUGGGCAUCUACCCUCAUGGUGGGCCAAAAGUACCCGAGGAGCAGAGCUUUCUUCACGAGCAUCUUGAAGCCGACGUGGGCACCACAGAGUCCCUCAUGAAUGUCCUCGAGGAUUCUCUCGCCUUCUUCCGGGGUGAUACAUCGUAGCCAGGGGCCGAGGUAGGAUCUCUUGUACAAGAGGCCUUGCCGGAGGGUGUACCGAGCUGCUUUUCGUUGAAGCUUCCGUGAUUCAGCUCGGUCUUCUGGGAGCUCACCCCGACUGAGAUAUCGAAUCAGGGGCCCCAUCCAGGUGUCCCCAGGGUAGACGGGGUACACGACCUCAGCUAAAUAUCCCGGCUCAGCUAGAACUUCUACGAGAACUGUCUUGUUCAGAUCGGAGAAAGAGGUAGAAGCAAGCCGGGAGAGGGCGUCAACCCUUCUGUUUUGUGACCGCGGUAUUCUUUGGAUUGCAAAAGACUCGAAGUGUGCCACCAAUUGAAGAACCUUGGAGAGGUACCAAUGCAUCACCUCAUCCCUGGCCUCGUAUUCACCUAGUAUCUGGCACACAACGAGUUGGGAGUCGCUGUAGACCAAGAUAUGCGCGGCCCCGAGCUUUCGAGCUAGUUGUAAGCCGGCAAUGACAGCUUCGUAUUUGGCUUUAUUAUUUGAGACUACGAAAUCAAACCUUAAGGCAUACGAGCAAAUUUCUCCUUGGGGAUCUUCGAGGAGCAGGCCGGCUCCACUACCCUCACUAUUGGAUGAACCAUCCACAUGCAAGGUCCAUCGUUGAGGCUCGGCGCUGGACGAGGUGACAGCCUGGGUUGUAGCCGGGAUGGUCUCACUCACUUUCUCAAAAGUAAGCUCGGCAAAGAAAUCCGCGAGAGCCUGGGCUUUAAUUGCCGUGCGAGGCUCAUAAGAUAAGUCGUAUUCUCCCAGCUCGAUGGCCCAUUUGGUGAGGCGUCCAGAGGCCUUCGGCCGCGAUAGGACCUGCUGAAGUGGUUGGUCUGUCCUUAGGCAGACGUGAUGGGCCAAGAAGUAGGGCUUAAGUCUACGAGCUGCAUGGAUUAAGGCCAGCACAAGUUUCUCCGCCUGAGUGUACCUGGUCUCCGGAUCUCGGAGGACUCGGCUGACAUAAUAAACAGGUGUUUGGGCAUCUUCCUCCCUUAUCAGUACGGCACUUACGGCUUCAGCCACAGCAGACAGGUACAAGAAUAACCUGUCCCCUGGACGAGGUGAGGUGAGUGUUGGGAGGCGGUUGAGGUAAUCCUUCAACUGCUCAAACGCCCGUUGACACUCUUCCGUCCAGGAAAAUUUGUCAGCUUUCUUGAGAACUUUGAAAAAUGGCAGUGCCUUGGAGGCGGAUUGUGAUAAAAACCGGUUCAGGGCGGCCAAUCGCCCCCUGAGCCUCUGGACGUCGCGGACGCACCGUGGUGGGGACAUUUCUUGGAUGGCUCUCACCUUGUCCGGAUUUGCUUCAAUACCCCGCCUAGAGACGAGGUAGCCCAGGAACUUUCCCGAAGUGACCCCGAGAACACAUUUCUUGGGGUUCAGCAUCAUUCGUGUCUCCCGAAGAACUUCCAGGACUUCUUUCAGGUCGGCAAGGAAUGUGGAGGUUGUCUGGCUCUUCAAGAGGACAUCAUCUACGUUAGCCUCGGCAGUCCGGCCGAUUUGAGAUUUAAAGGCUUGAUUAACCAAGCGUUGAUACGUGGCCCCGGCAUUCUUCAAUCCAAAAGACAUGGUGGUGUAACAAUAUGUGCCUCUGUCGGUGUAGAAGGCGGUCUUCUCCUGAUCCUCCGGACUCAUCCCAAUCUGGUGAUAUCCUUUGAAGGCAUAAAAAAAGCAGAGGACAUCAUAACCCAUUGCCGAGUCUACCAAGGUGUCGACCUUGGGCAACGGGUAGCAGUCCUUGGGGCAAGCCUUGUUGAGGUCGGUGAAGUCGACGCACAUUCUCCAGUCCCCGGUGUCUUUCUUUACCAUGACCGGGUUGGACAAUCAGGUCGGAUAUUGGACCUCCCGGAUGAUCUUUGCAGGGAGGAGCUUGUCUACCUCCUCGCCCACAGCUCAGCUGCGCUCAGGGCCGAGGCGCCUUCUUUUUUGUUUGACCGGACGGACUUGGGGAUCGACAUUCAGCUCAUGUAUCAUGAGAUGAUGCGGGACUCCUUGAACCUCUUCUGCGGCCCAAGCAAAGACGUCCCGGUACUCUUUGAGGAGGUCCACCAUAGCUCUUUUGACAGGGCCGGGCAGUCGGGACCCAACACGAACUGUCUGGUCAGGCUUCGUGGGGUUGAGAGGGAUCUCCUCCACCUCAUCCCCAGUCUCCAGCCUUGGGAUCUUCUCAGCUCGCUGAGGAUCAAUGCUAUCUAUCGAGAGGAUAUUUGACCUCUUCUCGGGCCUUGCCCCGGAGGUUGAUGGGGAGGCUGCUUGUAGAGUGGCGAGGUAGCAUUCUCGGGCAGCGCAGACGUCGCUGCUGACUUCGGCCACUCCCGCAGGAGUAGGAAACUUGAAGCUUAAGUGGUAGGUGGAGUAUACUGCCCGCAAAGCAUUAAGUGUUGGACGACCUAGGAGUAGGUUGUACGGCGAGUCAGCCCUAACUACUACGAAGUUAACGGGGAUAGUUCUGCAGCGGGGGUGACGCCCUACAGUCACUGUCAAAGCCACCAUCCCUUCGGGGUGCACAAUGUGUCCCCCGAACCCAACAAGAGGGGUUCUCACCGGGGUUAUGCACUCCCUAACCAGUUUAAGGCUCUCAAAGGUACGGAGGUACAUGACGUCAACUGAACUUCCCGGGUCAAUGUAAACCUUUUUCACGAUGUAGUUAUUGGUGAGGAUUUCAAUCACCAAGGCUUCAUGACUGCUGGAGGCAGCCGGGACGGGGUCAGUAGGACCAUAGGAAAGGACUUCGGACAGGCGAGAGCUCGAUUCUGCCUGGUCCGGAUUAGCCUGCCUGUAGGUCCUCUUCCGGGAGUUCUGGCUAUCCCCUCCCGUCGGACCUCCGGCAAUCGUAUUGAUGACCCCGACUAUGUUGGAUCCAUACCCUAAUCCAUGUCCAGAAGAUCCAUCUCGGGGAGGCCUUUUUGUCUCCCUAGGUUCCUCUGGAGGCCUGCAACUGCUCCUAGAGGGUCGCCUUUCAUCUCGGCGUUGAUCACCCCGGCUAUCUCGUCGGGGUUCAUUACGUGGCUGUCCGCCACUUCGGCGGAUGAACUGCUUCAGGUGACCCUGUCUGAUGAGGUUCUCGAUCUCUUUUUUGAGAUCGUUGCAGUCCUCAGUUUCGUGCCCGACGUCCCGGUGGUACAGACAGUAGAGGUUCGAGUUCCUCUUGUCUCUGUUGCCGAACAUUUUGGGAGGGGCUUUCCCGAGGUUGUUCUGUUCCAUUACAGACAGCACGCGAGAUCGGGAAGUGUUUAAGGGAGUCAGUUCGGAUUCAGGAAUGGGUGACUUUCCCUUUGAGAUCCUGUCGAACACACUCCGGCGAUCUCGGCCGGGACUCUGGAAGCCACUUCCUGUCCCCGCUUCACUUCAGCUAGGCUCCUUCCCUCUUCGGGCGUCAACCCUCGGGCGAGCAGGUUGGACUUCUUUUUUCAUGCGGUUGAGGUCCUCGGCCUGUAUGCCCUUCUCGACCUUCAACCACAAUUCGUGGAGUGAACGGGGAUACUUCUUGUGGAUCCCCGUGUUGAAUACCCCGGCAACGAGCCCAUGGGUGAAAGCGGCAAUGGUGACCUGCUCAUUAGGGUUAGGUAUCUGCACGCUUUCUUCGUGGAACCUCUGGACAUACGACCGAAGUGAUUCCCCCGGGUUCUGCUGCAUAUUCAGCAGAUAAGCCGAGGUCCGGGUCGUCGGUCGGGAGGAAACAAAACGGUGAAGAAAUUUCUCCACUAAUUCCCCCAGAGUUGAAAUGCUUCUAGGUUUUAGACCCCAGAACCAUUUUCGAGCUGUCCCCUGGAGGAAUACUAGAAAAGCCCGGCAUAUGACGGGAUCAGGGAUGCAAUAUAGGCGGAAGGCCGAGAUGAAGGCAUGAAUGUGGUCUUCCGGAUCACCUCGGCCGUCAUAAGACGGUAUCGAGGGAAGCUUGAAGUUGGGAGGAAGUCUCUCCUCGUUGAUGUCAUCGGUGAAGGGUGGAUCCCUCUGGUAAUCCACCCCGGCUCUCUCCAUGGGCCGAGAUUCCUUAGGUCGUCGGCCCAAAAGCCCUCUUGAUAAAGACCUGGUCAGGGAGGAUACCUUAGAGAUGGCCUUGGAGAAUGCUUUCUUCGAAGCACUUCGGCUCAAGCGUCUCCCAUCGGACUCUUCUUCGGACGAACCUUCAGGGGAUCCAUCCGACUUCCUUUUAGAGGACUCGAGCUUUUGCUUGCCUUGUCUCUUGAGAUACCUCCCUAACUCCUCGAAAAUGUUAGGGUUCUCGGUCACAAACUCGGCCAUACGGGUUAUGGCUUCUCCGUUUGCGGGCUGGGUCCUUGGGGAUUCUUGCCCUUCAGAGAUACCUUCUUGCUGAGCUACAUUACUCUGCUCAGCCCCAAUAGUGAGAGCUUUCCUGCUCCUAGAACGCGUAGGCUUCAUUCUUUGAUGUCUUCGCGUUCCCACAGACGGCGCCAAUUAAAGAGGUCGUUUUUGCCCUGCUGGAGUGAGUCACCCGAGCUGGAGAAGGCCUCUUAUCCUGGGUGGUUAUCUCAGAUGAGGUCACCUGCUUAAAUUGUAGGAGGGACUAAAGUCCCCGGUGUAACUCCGAAACUUAAGUCAGUUCGGGAGUGAAAGAGUAAUAAGUAUAGAGAAGACUAGUAUGCCUUUACCAGAAAUUUGGCCGUCCCCUUUCUCAGUAGAGGUGCUGAGUAUUUAUAGAAGUCAGAUAGGAGAGAGGGACUGCUUGCACGGGUCCCUAGAGAUCUGGCAGGGUCAGCGUAUCAAGAUGACUUGAUGGACUCUGUGGAAAGGUACGCCGGAACAGUUGUGUGUCAGGCGGCGCAUGUCAGGGUAGCUUUAUCAGAAAUGUCAGAGGUGUCAGAGACCAUGUUCCACAACUCCGGUUGCCAGGUCAUUAUACUUGACUUCGGCUUGGUGAGAGAAAGCCUUGGCCGAGGCGGUAACUAGGCCGAAGUCGAUUCCCGAUGGUGAAAGGCCGAGGCAGUCGGAACGAAGAAACACAGGACGGGAUCCCAGCUCUAGCCGAGCUGGAAAUACCCUCCUCAGGUAUCUUUCCAUCUUAGCAUAUGCACAACGACAUUACGUUCGGGCUAUACUGGUAGUGUACAGUAAAACUUGUACUCUAUCCGUUUUAUUUAAUUUGUUACAUGGUAUAAAGUACAUUAAUUCUUUUGCAGUAAUGUUCAAUUUAGUGGAAGAUCAGUAGUUGAAACUGAUCAAUAUUUAUAACAUGUUUGAGGAACAAAAAAAGGAAAGGGGGGCAGUAAUAUUUGUGAAAAAUUAAAUGAGAUGAAUAGAUAUUUCCAUAGCAAUAUGAAGUUAUAAAUAUCAAGGCAAAUCCUUUGCAGGCAUAGCAAGCAACUGUAUUAUUAUAUAGUCAAUCUCAUCUCCCUUCUCUCUUUUCAUUUUGCUGAGUAACUUACGAAAGUAAAAGCUCUGAAAAAUGGAUUCUGAAAGCUGCAAUAGUCUUUCUCCUAACCCUCAUGUUUUUCUAGUGUCGUUUGCAGGGCAAGGACAUGUUAAUCCUCUGCUCAGACUAGGCAAGCUCCUUGCUUCAAAUGGUCUUCUGGUGACCCUUUCAGCACCAGAGAUCAUUGGUGCACAAAUUAGAAAGGCCAAUAGUAAUAUCAGUACUGAUGAGCCGACCCCAGUCGGUGAUGGAAUGAUCAGGUUUGAAUUCUUUGAUGAUGAAACAGAAGUGAUUAGUGACUAUGACCUGUACAUUCUUCAUCUUGAGUUCAUUGGCAAGCAAAAACUCCCUGAACUGAUCAAGAAACAAGAGGGAGAAGGUCGCCCUGUUUCUUGCCUAAUUUACAGCAUUUUUGUUCCUUGGGUUUGUGAUAUAGCCGAGACCCUUCACAUCCCUAGUGCUGCAUUUUGGAUCGAGUCUUGUGCCUGCUUUUCAGCUUUUUACCACUAUCACCAUGGCCUUGUUCCUUUCCCCACUCAAGCUGAACCCCAAAUCGAUGUUCAACUGCCCUGCAUGCCUGUGCUGAUGCACGAUGAGAUACCGAGUCUCUUACAUCCUUUCAACCCAAAACCAGUUAUGAUCAAGGCCAUCUUGGGCCAGAUCAAGAACCUAUCGAAAAGUAUUUGCAUAUUGAUGGAUACUUUCCAGGAGCUUGAAGAUGAUGUCCUUGACUAUAUGUCAAAGCUUUGCCCAGUCAAGCCUAUAGGGCCAUUGUUCAUCAAUCCCAAAGUCUCAAGCUCAAAUAUAAGUGUUGAUAUUUUGAAGGCUGAUGACUGCAUGGGGUGGCUCGACUCAAAGCCACCGUCUUCUGUCGUGUACAUCUCUUUUGGAAGCGUCGUUUUCUUGAAGCAAGAACAAGUCACGGAGAUUGCAUAUGGAUUGCUGAAUUCUGGGGUCUCAUUCUUGUGGGUGAUGAAGCCGCCCGAGAAACUAUACUCCAGCAAGCCACAUGUUUUACCAGAUGGUUUCUGGGAAAAGGUUGGUGAUAAAGGGAAGGUAGUGCAAUGGAGUCCACAGCAACAAGUGUUGGCACAUCCUUCCAUUUCCUGCUUUUUGACUCAUUGUGGAUGGAACUCGACUCUGGAGGCACUUGCUUCUGGAGUGCCGGUUUUAGCUUUUCCCCACUGGGGUGAUCAAGUCACCAAUGCCAAGUACUUGGUCGAUGAAUUUAGAGUUGGGAUAAGGAUGUGUAGAGGAGUGGCGGAGGACAAAAUUAUUCCAAAGGAAGAGGUGGAAAAAUGUUUGGUCGAGGCCACAUGUGGUCCGAAGGCAGCAGAGAUUAAAGAGAGUGCGUUGAAGUGGAAGAAGAAGGCUGAGGAAGCCGUGGCACUAGCCGGUUCCUCUAACCAAAAUAUGCAAGACUUUCUCAAUCAAAUCAUCUUGAGAUCCAAGGUCAAGCUGUAAAAUACGUUCUCGUGCCACUGAUGACACAUGACCAAGUAUGGUAGCAUGAAACUAUCAAAUGUUAACUAAGGGUGGUGGAUUUUGAAAGAUGCCUAAAUGUAGCAAUUAUGGACAAACUUAUUUAUAGGUCUAUAAGUGGAGUCAUGAACUUAGUUCACCUAACUAUUUUAUGGACUUUAGAAAUGGUAAAUGUAAGAAAAAUUUUAUUUGGGUUAGUGACCAAGUACUUAGUCUUUGAAUUUUUUUUUUUAAGAGGAUCGAAACUCAAGAUCUCUUACUUGUAAUUUUGCUCAACUUACAACCAAUCCAAUCCUCCUCCUACUUAGUCUUUGACUUGAUAACACUAAUUGGACAAUAAUUUCCCACCAAUCUUAUUUAGAUAAUAUACUUCACAAUCUUAUUCAGAACAUUUUCGUUGGUCAAAGAUCAUUAUUAAACAUGUUAAGUACUCAAUUGAUCUGGAUUGACAUAAUUUUUCGUUCAAUGUCUACAAACACAAACCGUGUAUUGAUUAGAAAUUACACUGAACUUAUUUGUUGCUGUAUAGAUGAUAGCUUACUCUCCUCUCUAUUUUAACCCUUCAAAAAUGAAAAACAAAAAGAGGAGAAUGAAAAUCAUACAUUGUCUAAAAGAAAAUGUUCAUGGACUAUAGCAAUUAUAUAUAUAUAUAUAUAUACAUAUAUAGUUAAGGAAAACAUCAAAAGAUAGACAUAGUGAUUUGGAUUACAACCAAAAAAGCAUCAAUAGCACAUUUCUUGUCGUUAAUAAAUUAAUUUUUUUUAAGAAUUUUGAUUCCUUUCCAACGUGACUCCAUGCGAUGAGAGGCAUCAUCUUGUGUAUAAACUCCACACUUGAAGAAAUGGUCACUUCCACCUCUCCCAUCAGUUUCAAACAUUUGGACUCCAUCAAUGAAAACUGUGACUUUGCUAGCUUCCACAUCAUGAAUUACAUUGAGUUUGAACCACCUGUUGUCGAUGUUAGGGACUAUGACAGGAUUUUUAUAGUAUGAGAGGUUUCCAUUGUAAACUCUAAGCAUUAGAGUCGUAGCAUGAAGCUGUGCUCCAAAGACUUGCAUGAUGCACACACCAGAUGUUCCAGAUGGUACAUAUCCAUAACCUUCAAAUUGCCAAACCCCCGAAGAGUAAUCGUAACCCUGAAAGCAAAUUAGUGAGAAAAAGAUAAUCACCAUGUUUCUUUUAAUCUGUAGAAGGUCUACAAAAAAGAAAGGGUGAAAAACAAAAUGUUAGAGAUACAUGUUACUUUUAUUUCUUUAAGCUGCUAUAUGGACUUUAGGAGACAGGUUAUACCAACUAUGUACAUGGUUUCGCAAAACACAGCAGAAGAUUAUGUAUUUGAUAAAACAAAAAGUGAUUGUCUCGUCUUCGAAAGCUCAUAGGUCUUGGGAUGUUUUCCUCCCUUCUUUCCUUUAGAUUCGGAUUUUGGCUCUCAAUAAUUGAUACGACUCUUGACGAGGAGCUGUUUAUUGUUUGAUUAUUUCAUCUGAUUAUAUAUUUUGAUUUUUAAUGAUCAAUUUUCUUUUUUUGGUUGAUGUUCUCGUCUAGUACUUUUGCGUCUAGGUUUUAUAUUUUUCUUAUAGCAAAGGAUUUAAUACCGAAGAGUAGUUUUGAUUAAUUUUCAUUAUUCUCUAUAAUUACUUUUCACAAUUAACUUUAACAAAAUCUACUGCAAUCAAGAACAAGCUCAAAACCCUUCACUACUUUACAGUGAUCUCUUUGUAAUUAAAUUAAUUAACUUGAUCAAUAAUUUCAAACCUUGUGCCUCGAAGCCUAUUAACUAGUGAAAUGAUCACGCUGUGUGCUUCAAAAUUCAAAAGGUGCAAAACUUGUUUGUGUUAGAGAAAGUCCAAUUUCAGAAUUUACCCUUAAAUUUUCAGAUAAGCACCAUACGUAAUUGCUUUUACAAAACAUAUGCAGACUUGCUACCUUUUUUUUUUGUUCCAUAUAAAACUUGACCAAUAUGGCAAUCAUAAAUUUAGCUGCAAUAUGUAAACUUACCUCUAUUCGAAGUUCAGUACGAGGUCUGGUAUUGCUCGCAGGAAAAUGAGGUUUAUCGGUAUCGAAAACCCACAUUUUAUGAACUCCAUCAACGUACGAAUAUCGCUGAUCUACUGGCACGUUAUAAGGUCUUUGAAUUUCAAAGUUUGAUUGAUUUAGUGGAAGAGAAACGAAGCCAUCAGUUGGAUCAACAACCUUCAAAGCUUCUGUUUUGUGAUAUAUUGUUACAUUGAUGAAAAGGGUGAACAAGAAAGUGGUUAAAAGCUGAGGAGAAGAGGCCAUUGAGUUUGUUUUAGAUGAAAUGUCGAUGGAAGAGAAAAGCUAAUCAGGGCCUGAGAUUUAUAGGCAGCCUACAAUUGAAGGUGCAGAUUAAUUAUGCCAUUGCAUUCAUUGGUCUAUUAUAUAUUCUCAUGGGGUGAAAUCCAGAGGCAAUUAACCUUUCUUUUUACUGAAGAAUUCUUUACGUUCGGUUGAUGUUUCAGUUGUGGUAUGUGACAAAAUUUCAGUCAGAGGAUUUACAAAGUAUUUGGAAGAAACCAAAUUGUUGGAGAACAGAAUCAAACUUACAAUGUUUCCUUUGAGGUAUACAUUAUAUUAAGGUUUUAAUGUUACUGCUUUCUAUCAAAUAAGAUACUAAGGCUCUAGUUAGAUUCUAGUGUUGGUGUCUUUUUUUUUUUUUUUUUUUAAAACAAAUUGCUAUAUUGAGGGGCAGAGCUACAUUAACAAUUUUGCAGAGUUUAUAGAAUAAUCAUAAAAAAUUUACAGAGUUUUUAGAUUUUUGUCACAAUUGCUCCCCUCAAUUCUAAGAAAUAUCCUUCUCCCUUGAAAUUCCCCACCUAUAUUUUGAAAAAUCCUAUUCCCCAAAUAACCAAUAACUUUAGACAUCUCUCCUUUCGGUACAAUUGUUUCAAAGCUAAUUAAAGAAAAAAAAUUAAUACUACUUGAAUAAGUAACAAAUUUAUAAAAAUGUAAAAAUGACUUAAAAUAAAUACAUAAUUUCAAAUCAAAAUAUCUCAUUGCAUAGUAAUUUUAUCAUUUUUAAUGUAUAAUAUUGUCUUCACUGACCAAAGGUUCUGACUCCAUCAUUGACUAUAAAACUUUUUUUGCAUAAAGGUGUAUUAAAAAAAGGAUUAAUUUUUUAUACAUUGACAGCGUAUACACUUUCACUAUUAGAUGCAUGACACAUAAUUCAAAUUUGAAUUUGAAACUCAAAUUUUGCAUAUGUAUCGUAUAUCCAACCAUGAUAGUGUAUGCAUCGUCAAUAUAUAUAUAAGAUUUACUCUAAAAAAAAGCGGAGUAGGAGUACCAUUUUGAAAGUGUUUCAUAAGAAGAGCGGAACCAAAUAGUGAAGAUCUGCUCGUGUAUAUAGUGAAGACAUGCGAGACAAUGAUCCCCUAUUAACCAGAGAGUCAGGAAAAUAUAGUAGUUAAAAUUAUACUAAAAAAGAUAUUGAGCAAAUUAGACAAUUGUGGCAUAUAAAACGAGAUUGUUUGUUAAGGAAUUCAAAUUAAAGUAUGUUACUCAACUAGGGUAAUUUUUUUUUGGUCCUCAAAAUCCAAAUCACAAAAAAAAAAUAAAAAUGAAAUUAACAGCUCUACGUCCUUCCUACCCUCAAUUGUUAGGCACAAGAUUUGAACUCUGUAUCUGACAGUGAAGAUAACCGCCGAGCAUAUUCACCAUAGAAUACUGCAAACUAAAUGUUAAGGGGUUUCUUUUCUGUCUUGAAAUUGAAGUAUUUAUUGGAAAAAGAGAAAGUUGUCUUGUUAGAAGAUAUUCUUGCCUUUACAAAAGAAUUUACAGAAUGAAAAAUGCUUGACUUUAAGACUCAAAUAAUGCAUGCAACUUCCAUUCCAAUUUGUCUGGGGGAUAGCGCACUCAAGAAGUAGAAAAAAGAGUAGCAGGCUACAAAUAAUACGGCAACAACUAUUUGGGUGUGUACCCCUCAAUCCACGCACAAUCAAGAAAAUGCGUGUCUUGAAAGUUGAAAGCAACCCAUUCAAGACACCCCAAUUGGUCAACUGAACAAAAAAGGAAGUGUAUUUGCAGUUGGUUUUAUUAAGAAGCUUAGAUGGAUCGAGAUAAACAGGACGAAUUGGUAAACAACGUUGCUGUUCAUCAAAUCUGGGGAUACGGGGAAAAAACAAAAUAAUUACCGCAUUCUUUAAACACUUUCACACCAGUGAAUCCUACAUUGGCGACAAAACUCUCUCCCCAGAUUAGGACUAUUCGACAGCAUAAAAUUCGAAAAUUACUGCCACAGACAUCACAGCCAUGAAUUUCUGCCAUUUUGCAUUUGGAUGUCUACUUUAUUCAUAUACGUCUUCAUGGACAACAUAAUUUUUUAGAUGUUCCUAGAAGAAAAUGCAAAUGCAGUAAGUUGAAAUAAUAAAAAUUAGAAUAUUUCAAUCAAAGUUAGUUUGACGGGAUGAAUUAGAAUAAUAAUUUUUUUUUAAAAAAAAAAUUCUUGUCUUAUACUAUUACCAGUAAUGAGCAAUUAAAAAUUUCAUGACCAAAUGCAUACAUAGGCUUUUCAUAGACAAUGGACAAGAUUUGGUCGUUUCCUUUUGUUCCUUAUUGAUCUUGAUAUUCUCUAUAAUGUUCUUCUAUUGGUUGGAGUAAUCAAAUCAAAAUGUAUUUUUUGUUUGAAAAUUUUUGACCAACUGAUGACAUUCGUUUACUUAUUAUAUGGUAGGAGCACCAUAUUUUUUUUCGGCCCCAUUGCUCAUAUUUUUGCAAAUACAAAUUAUCAAUUCUUAAGUGAACAUUUUCGGAUCAAAAGGAAGAAUCCAAAUUAAUUACGCUCAAACCAAAACUCGACCAGUGGGCUCGAUUACCUUAUGUUUUAGUUCAUACGGUAGUCUCAUAAUUACGUUCCUCGCAAUUUCUGAAUUAUAUUCCUCAAGUAAAUAACCCGCUGCUAUGGAGAUGAGUCCCCGUUUGAGUUAAUAGCUAUUAGCUACCACAAGAAUAAUGACUAAAACUUUUUUUUUUUAUCGAAUUGUUAUAAUUGGUUGAGUAAAGGCACAAAUCACCAAUUAAUUAAGCAAAUCCAACCUAAACAACAUACAAUUCUCCAAGAAGUAGUGUGCUGUCAGAAUUGAAUAAAUUCAGUUUGGCUUGGUUCCUCCUGGUUUUCUAAAAUCAAGACCUUAAAUUUAGAAAUUAACCAACAAAGAACUAAGAAGACUUUGUUUCCUUCUUGUUGCGUGUAUUUUGAUUUCUCGUUCAUUCGUUCUUGAAUACCCUAUACUUUUCUCUAUAUUCCACUUUCUUUGAAACCACAUAUACAUUAUGUGGUUAUUUUAAAACAACGGGAUGAUUAUGGUAAAAACCACAAGUGGGUUAUUCAUAAUUUACUCCUUAAAAAAUUCACAAAAAAACAAGAGGGAAAAUGGGCAUAGAUAUGCCCACUUAAACCAAGAACAGUACACAGGUCACAGAAGUAACAAGUCACAUUUUUUUGAGAACUUUGAUGCCCUUCCACUGGGACUCCAUGUAGUUAGAAGGAUCAUCUUGUUCAUAUACUCCAAACUUGAAGUAAUGGGACUUUCCACCUCUUCCUCGUGCUUCUUCAAGCACUUGAAUCUGUUAGGACUGGGCCAGGAAUAGACAAACUCAAGUUAGCACAAAGUAGGCGGUAUAACCGAUCAUAUAAUAGAUAGGCGGUAGAUACCAGCCAUAUAAUAAUUAGGCGGUAAAACCGACCAUAUAAAGACGGAUAACAAAGCAAAUACAAGACACAGAAGAUUUACGUGGUUCGGUCAAAUUGACCUACGUCCACGGGCGAGGGAGGAGCAAUAUUUCUACUAUGAAGAAGAAAUACAAAAGCCGUAGGAAAGUGGUUCCUAGGCCAAUAGGCACUUACAAAAGAGUUUAGAAAAUAUUCCUAAACUCAAAUCAAGAGAGCCUAAAAUAUUUGACUGAAUGGGCUAGAUGACUCAAGAAGCUAAUAGCCCAUAUAACUCUCUUGAGUGGUGCGAGUUAAAUCCUUCAAUGGACCCUUCUAUUUAUAGGCCUCGAGUAGCCGGCUUCUCUUCAGCAGGCUCCGAUGUGGGAUGAGAAGGAAAUGAAAAAUUAUGCCACAAGUCAAAGCUUGCGGCUCUGACAAAACAACAAAUCUCCACCUUGGCAUAAUUUUGGUUCCACCAUCGACAAUAGUAAAAUUACUCCACCUUCUCCACAUAAGCCCCUAAUGGGCGUAAAUCACCAACAAUGAACACUAAUCAAAUCCAAGCACUGCUUGAAUUUGUAAACUGGAAGAGGCUUCGUAAACAUAUCGGCUAGAUUGUCCUUGGUAUUGAUUUUCUGAAUAAGGACUUUUCCCUCAGCAAUGAUAUCCCGAAUGAAGUGAUACUUCACAUCAAUGUGUUUCGUCCUCUCAUGAUACAUCUGAUCUUUAGUCAAGUGUAUGGCACUUUGACUAUCACAGUGAAUAUCAAUAACACCUUGAUAUAGACUUAGCUCGCUAAAUAAACUCUUCAACCACAAGGCUUCUUUGAUUGCCUCGGUCACAGCCAUAUAUUCUGCUUCAGUAGUAGACAAAGCUACGACAGGUUGUAGAGUAGCUUUCCAACUAACAGCACAACCGCCAAUGCAAAAUACAUAGCCUGAAAGUGAUCUUCUCCUGUCAAGAUCUCCAGCGUAGUCUGAGUCUACAAAACCAACCAAAGUGUUAUUAUUUCUUCCAAACUCCAAACAUGCAUUUGAAGUACCUCGCAAGUAUCUGAGAAUCCACUUCACAGCUUGCCAAUGUGCUUUACCAGGGCAAGACAUAUAUCUGCUAACAACACUGACUGCUUGUGCAAUAUCUGGACGAGUACAAACCAUUGCAUACAUAAUACUGCCGACUGCACUGGAAUAAGGAACCCGUGCCAUAUAAUCUUCCUCUUCAUCUGAUUUUGGUGAUUGAGCAGCAGAUAGCCGAAAAUGGCUAGCAAGAGGAGUAGAUACUGGUUUAGCAUCUUUCAUGCCAAAACGCUCCAAAACUUUCUCAAGGUAAUUUUUCUGGGUCAAGAAUAACUUCCCUACUCCUCGAUCUCUCUUGAUAUCCAUGCCAAGAAUUUUCUUAGCUGCUCCCAAAUCUUUCAUUUCAAAUUCACUAUUUAACUGCAGUUUCAAAGUGUGAAUUUCUGACAAAUUCUUGGCAGCAAUGAGCAUGUCAUCAACAUAAAGCAGCAAAUAAAUGAAAGAACCAUCAUUUAACUUCCGGAAGUAAACACAACUAUCAUACAUGCUCCUCAAAUAACCAUGACCCAACAUAAAGGAAUCAAACCUUUUAUACCAUUGUCUUGGAGACUGCUUCAAUCCAUAUAAGGAUUUCUUCAAUAAGCAAACAUGGUCUUCCUUACCUUCAAUCUCAAAACCCUGGGGUUGUUUCAUAUAAAUUUGUUCUUCAAGUUCGCCAUGUAAGAAAGCUGUCUUAACAUCAAGCUGCUCUAACUCCAAAUUAUACAUGGCUACUAAAGCAAGCAAAACACGAAUAGAGCUAUGUUUAACAACAGGUGAGAAUAUAUCAUUAAAAUCAACACCUUGUACCUGACUAUAGCCCUUUGCAACCAAUCGUGCUUUAUAUCUUGCAUCUUCAACCCCUGGAAUACCUUCCUUCUUCUUGAAGACCCAUUUGCAUCCAACAAUUUUCUUAGCUGACGGCGGCUUUACAAGAACCCAAGUUUCAUUACGAUGAAGAGAUUCAAUUUCUUCAUUCAUCGCAAUCAACCACUUUGCAGAAUCAUCACAAGAAACUGCUUCUGAAUAGGUGGAAGGCUCACCAACUGCAUCAGUUUCUUCUGCAAUAGACAAAGCAUAUGCAACUAAAUUUGCAUAUCUUUGUGGUGGUCGAAUGUCUCUCCUUGCUCUAUCUCUGGCUAUGGAAUACUCUUCUUCUUCAGAACUAUCUUCAACAGUAGAUUCAGGUGUAUCUACUGGCAUUUGAAUAGAAGAUUUGGUCUGAGAAGGACCAGAACUGCCAAUAUCAAGCUCCACCUGCUUCUGUGUACUAUCAGUAGUACAAGGACUGGAAGACUCCUUCUUGGAAGAUAACAUAGACAAUUCAUCAAAAGUAACAUCUCUACUGAUCACAAAUUUUGGAGAUUUGGGAUCAGGACACCAUAAUCUGUAUCCUUUCACCCCAGAAGCAUACCCAAGAAAAAUGCACUUUUUAGCCCUAGGCUCCAAUUUUCCAUCAUUCACGUGCAUGUAUGCUGGACACCCAAAAACUUUUAAAUUGGAGUAAUCAGCAGGAGUACCUGACCAAACUUCCUCAGGAGUUUUGAAAUCAAGAGAUGCAGAAGGAGAACGGUUGACAAUAUAACAGGCCAUAUUGAUCGCCUCUGCCCAAAAGUCGUUUGUCAACCCUGCAUUGGAGAUCAUACAUCUUGCUCUCUCCAAAAGCGUUCUGUUCAUACGUUCAGCCACACCAUUUUGUUGAGGCGUCAUCCUGACGGUGUGAUGCCGAACAAUUCCUUCAUUCUUGCAGAAUUCAUUAAAUUCACCUCCACAAAAUUCCAUGCCAUUAUCUGUUCUCAACCGCUUAAUAUGCUUUCCUGUUUGUUUCUCAAUCAAAACUUUCCAUUGCUUGAAAGUUAGGAAAACAUCAUUUUUAUGCUUAAGAAAAUAUACCCAAACUUUCCUUGAAUAAUUAUCAAUGAAAGUCAACAUGUACCUGGCACCACCUUUAGAAGGAGCACAAGAAGGCCCCCAGAGGUCUGAAUGAAUGUAGUCCAAAGUUCCUUUUGUCCUGUGAACUGCCGGCAACUGGAAGCUAACUCUCUUCUGCUUUCCAAAAAUGCAAUGUUCACAGAGUCCCAUCUUUCCAAUACUUUGACUACCAAGAAGACCUCGUUUGCAUAAAAUAGAUAAGCCCUUCUCGCUCAUGUGCCCCAAUCUCAUGUGCCAUAAUUUGGUAAAAUCAGAAUCAGACAAAGUUGAUGUAGAAACAGCAGCAGCACCUGUAACAGUAGAUCCCUGCAAAAUAUAUAAAGUACCAGAUCUGUGUGCCUUCAUAACAACAAGGGCUCAUCGACUGAUUUUGAGAACUCCAUCUCCACCUGAAUACCUGCACCCAAUAGACUCAAGAGUGCCUAAAGAGAUGAGAUUUUUCUUCAAAUCUGGAACAUGUCUAACAUCUGUGAGCGUCCUCACAAUACCAUCGUACAUUUUAAUCCGGAUUGUGCCUUUGCCAACAACUUUACAAACAGCGUUGUUGCCCAUUAAGACAACUCCACCUUCAGCUGAUUCAUAUGUUGAAAACCAGUCCCUGUUGGGACACAUAUGAUACGAACAACCCGAAUCUAAAAUCCACUCAUUGUUAGACCUAAAAUUAUUUUCCGUUGCACAGAAAAUGGUUCCAUCAUUCUGAUCAGCUGCUAUACUAGCUUCAGCGGAUUCAGUAUUUUUCUCAACAAAUUUUCCCUUUUGCUUUUCUUUAUUUUUCAAUUUAAAGCAAUCAGAGAUAACAUGGCCCUUCUUUUUACAAUAAUUGCACACCACAUUUUUAUGUCUGGAUUUGGAUCUACUUCUAUUUUCUGUGUUUUUCUUUUCAGAUCUACCCCGAACAAACAAACCAUCGGCUUGACUCCCACUAGUUUCCCCAGUAAUGUCCCUAUCUAUCUGCUCUUUAGAUUUUAAUGCAGAUUUAAUUUCCCGAUACGAAAUUGUUUCCUUUCCAUAAAUCAUAGUAUCGCGGAAAUGCUUAAAAGAUUGGGGAAGGGAACACAAAAGCAAUAGGGCUUGAUCUUCAUCAUCAAUUUUCGAAUCUAUAUUCCCCAAAUCCAUAAUAAUGGAAUCAAAUUUAUCAAGAUGGGAGAGUAUAGAUGUACCUUCAGACAUCCGAAGCAUGUACAAACUCUGCUUCAAAUAUAGCCGAUUUUCGACUGUUUUCUUCAUAUACAAGGCUUUCAAUUUAUCCCACAUAGCCUUGGCCGAAGUCUCCGUUGCUACCUCACGCAAUACCUCAUCGGAGAGGUUUAAGAUUAUGCUGGAUCUGGCCUUCUUAUCCAUAUCGGCGAAAUCCGCAUCCUUGACAUCUUCUGGUUUGUUCUCGAUUCCGUGAAUCGCUAGAUCAACUCCGUCUUGAACAAGAAUGGCCUCCAUCUUGAGCUGCCACAUUCCGAAGUUGACAUUCCUGUCGAAUUUCUCGACAACCGUCUUUGUUAUCGUCAUUGUUGCCACAAAUUCUGUAACUUGAAGUUUGUCUCAAAAACUGGCCAAACAAAUAUGCAAGUCUCGUGAGCGGGCCCCACAGGGUGAGCGGGCCCCACGAGAUAGGCGGGCCCCACGGGAUGAAAGGACCCCACAAGGAUGAGUGGGCCCCACAGAUAAACGGACCCCACAGGAUGAGUGGGCCCCACAGGAUGGACGGACCCCACCAGAUGAACCUGUCUUGCAAAAUAUAACAACCAGCUCUGAUACCAGUUUGUUAGGACCGGGCCAGGAAUAGACAAACUCAAGUUAGCACAAAGUAGGCGGUAUAACCGACCAUAUAAUAGAUAGGCGGUAGAUACCAGCCAUAUAAUAAUUAGGCGGUAAAACCGACCAUAUAAAGACGGAUAACAAAGCAAAUAAAAGACACAGAAGAUUUACGUGGUUCGGUCAAAUUAACCUACGUCCACGGGCGAGGGAGGAGCAAUAUUUCUACUAUGAAGAAGAAAUACAAAAGCCGUAGGAAAGUGGUUCCUAGGCCAAUAGGCACUUACAAAAGAGUUUAGAAAAUAUUCCUAAACUCAAAUCAAGAGAGCCUAAAAUAUUUGACUGAAUGGGCUAGAUGACUCAAGAAGCUAAUAGCCCAUAUAACUCUCUUGAGUGGUGCGAGUUAAAUCCUUCAAUGGACCCUUCUAUUUAUAGGCCUCGAGUAGCCGGCUUCUCUUCAGCAGGCUCCGAUGUGGGAUGAGAAGGAAAUGAAAAAUUAUGCCACAAGUCAAAGCUUGCGGCUCUGACAAAACAACAGAAUCCCAUCAAUGAAAACCGUUAGAUUCCCAGCAUGAACAUCAUGAAUUACAUUGAGACGAAACCACCUAUCACAGAUGUUGGGAACAGCUGGGAGAGGAGCUCUAUAAUAUGAGAGGGAUCCAUUGUAGACCCUAAGCAUUAAAGUUGAGGCAUGAGGUGGGCUUGCUCCAAACACUUGCAUUAUGCACACACCAGAAGUUCCAUUUGGAACAAAUCCGUAUCCUUCGAAUUGCCAAAUUCCAGAAGAGUAAUCAUAACCCUGACAUGUAAAUUAGCCAAAAUUUCUAGCUUAAAUGUGUUCUGUAACAAUAAAAGAAGGUGUAAAGUUAAAAUUUCUGUAACUGUGGAACAUGUUGAGACUAUUUAAAGUUUAUCAGAUUUUCAAUUAGUCAAAACUAAGAGGUGUAUUCAUCUUUAUGAUGUACUCUAUAAAAAUGUCUUAAUAAACAGGUCAGAGUCUAUGUCUAAUCCCUCAACACAUCAAUGUGGUUUUUUCUUUUUUUAGAAAAAAUAAGGGUAAAGUUAAAUGUUCCAUAUAUGUGCUAAAUUGAACUAAAUUCUCAAUUAUAUGAUAUAUAUGAUGCCCUUAAUUAUUAAUGGACAAAAAAAGUAACCUCUAAUUUCAUAUAUAUCUCACUUUGUCACUUAUAUCAGUAAAUUUCUAAACAUUAUUGCCCAUAUAAAAAAAUUUGAACGUACGAGAAAAAAUAUUAAAGAAAAAAGGGACCAUUAUUGGCAGAAAUAAUUAUCAAUUUCAUCACAAUCCUUCUGUUUUAUAUCUUCUUUUUUCAAAAGCAGACUUUUCUCUUUUAUUCAUCAAAAAAAAAAACGUACAAGGAAUAGAAAGACUCUAAAUACAUCACUAUACUCUAUACAACCCAAAAAAAAAAGACAAAAAACAGAAGAAUUGUGAUGAAAAAUUCUGAUUCUGUUUCAUAUCUUGUCAAGGGUAUAUAUAUACAUAUGAUGUAAUUUGUAUAUACACAUAAAUAAAUUUGUAUAUACUGCAGAAUAUAUACUUACAAGUAUACGGAUUUCUGUACGAGGUUUAGUGUGACUUUCAGGAGAAUGAGGUUUAUCAGUCUUGAAAACCCACAAUUUAUGCACUCCAUCAAUGAAGGAAUAACGUUGAUCUUCUGGUAUGUCAUAAGGCCUUUGGAUUUGGAAAUUUGAUUUCUUUAGAGGAAGUGAGAUGAAGCCUACAGUGGGAUCAACAGACUCCGAAGUAUCAAAAAUCUUGAUGGAAGAAGCUGCCAUUACUGCUUACUAAUUAAGUUAACUAGAAGAUUAAAUAUGCCUUAAUGCAGUGACGAUGGAAGAAUAGGAAUUUCACGGUUCUAUAUAUAUAUAUAUAUAUAUAUAUAUAUAUAUAUAUAUAUAUAUAUAUAUAUAUAUAUAUAGUUGAAGGUGCUGGCUGAAAUAUUCAUUUUGAAGCUUUGUUGUCAUCAGAGAAUUCCUUUAUGUUCCAAUCACUAUUAUCUCUUCAUAGGAAUUUAGAGCCAAGAGCUAACUAUCCAGAUAAAUAACUCAUUUGAACGAAAAUCCAUGCAAGUUAAAUAUCCAUCAUCACAAAUAAGUUUGGAUAUUGGAUUCUUUCAACAUCUUUUUUCCUUUUCUUCAUGGGUUUUUUUUUUUUUUUGGGGGGGGGGGGGUCGGUGUGGGGGAGGUAGAUUCUUUUAAUUGAACCCGAACAAAUUCAUGAAAGAUAUUCCCCAGUCCUCUGAUCUUUUCUCACAUAAUUAGUAACCUGCCCUUUUCCUAGAAACCAACAAAUGAAAAGGAACCAAGCAAUAGAAGAUUGAGACCACUAUACGAAUCCACAAGUGGAGAAUUAGAAUUAAAAUCUUUUGCAGCUGUCUAAAAAGAAAAGAUACCACAUGGUGAAGGUAUGUAUCCAUCUCAUCUGGUCCUUCGUGACUGAAUUUCAUGGGUGGAACAACGAAGGGUCGCUGAGGUGACACUGAACCAAGUUCUAAAAAUUUAGGUGUUUCUUCCUUGAAAUUGAAAAUUUUCUGAAAAAUAUUUUGUAGAUUUAAAUUUUUGACCUUGCAAAAACAUGAACAAAUUUUUUGUUAUAAAACUAAAAAUUUCCCCCUCAAAGUAAUUUUUCUAGUUCCAUCUAUGCUGAAUUUGUUAUAGUAGAAUAAGGAAUAUAGUGAAAGAAAUAUUUGCAAUUGAAGCAUAUGCCUUCUAAAAUACCAUAGCCAAAGUUAGUCUUAUCCCAACUUAGCUUGGUGAGAUGCAUUUAAGUGUAGCUUUGCCUUCCAAUCAUCCCCAGGACAGACAAUUUAAAAAAAAAAAAAGAAAAAAAGAAGGCAUUUCGUUUUUGUUAAUCAGAUUAGUUAACCAUAUAACAAAUUAAUCGAAACAAAUAAAAGGGGCUAACAUGCCUUAAUUAUAAAUUUGAGGAGGAAAAUAGACAAGGAAACCGAACCUAAGGGGACAAACUGAAAAUUAACAUACUCAGAUUUGGCUUGGAAGGACCAUUGGAAACCAAUUUGUAAGUUGAGGAACGUAAUAAACACUUUCAAAAGUUGAGGGACCAAAUAAAAUCUCGAGCAAAAAUUGAGGGAUCUUUGAAAUCGUUUACACAAUCACUUUACCUAACCAAAAAUAGGUUUUGCUCCAAUACGUUCUGGUAUUUAACUAAUAUUUUGAUAUGACUGAAUUAUUGGGAGCGGGUAUAGUAUAACAGCUCCGAAUCUGAAUUUAUUAAUUCCAAUCUGGAUCCGAGGCCUAGAGGUGGCGGUGACGGUGGCGGUGGAUUAAAUGAUUAAAACAAAAGAAGGCUCUCGGCCAGCGCAAAAUUAGGGCGUCAUCAAAUCUUAGAAUAAGCAAUCGUCUCCCUCUUCUGCUGUCCAACUCCAGCAAAGGCUUUGCAAGAGAUAUUUUCACAUCUAGCCGUCGCCCUUUUUUCUUCUGUUCUUACUCGAGCGCUUUUGCUAGAGAUUAAGCAUGUUGCGAACAACAGAGAAAGGGAGAAUUGGGAGACUUUCCUUCAGCUGUAUUUUUGGAAAGCAUGAAGAAAAACAACAGGAAACCUCGUGGUGUGCUUCACGCAAGUGGAUGGUUAUGCGGAUCCAAUGGUUUAUUCUUUCAAGUCUUUUCCAAUUCGGAAAUUGAUUCACCAUUCUUCAAGCAGGCUUAAACCGAAAGAGGAGUUUGUCUGGCGUGAGAUAAAGGAUGCAUCUGAUGCAUGCACCCCACAAUACUUUGCUAUGAGUUUGAUUCAUACUGGAGGUUUGGUCUAUGCUGUUGGUGGUGUGAAGGCCGAUGAGGAAGAGAGGCACUUGUAUGAGCCAGGCAGGUUGUCCCCAGAGUUCAGUUGCAUCUCUCUCUCAACUCCUCUAGAAAACUCUCAAACAGAGAUUAAGUGCCCAAUGCAUGGGGCAAAGUAUUUCCCCCUUAUAGAGGAAAUUGAUGGUCGCAUCCAUGUUCUAUCUGGGCCCCUGCCCAGCUAUGGAUCUCCUGAUAUAAUUGACAUUGGCUUUGAGGUUUAUUAUCCUUCAGAGGAUAGGUGGGCUGAUCUGCCGAUUCCUCCUUUUCUCAAAAAAGGUAGUUACUCCACUAUGUUUAGGGGCUUCUUUUCAUAUGUAGUGAUUGGUUCAAGGUUGCGUGUUUCGACUGGGGAAUACGCGUGUGCUUUUGACACUGUGCAGUGGGAGUGGGAGACUUGUGAGUUAUUUUCUGAUUUCCCGAUUCAACCUCCCGAACGUUAUGUGCGACACCUAGAUGGUUGUGGUCCUCCAUUUCUUUUUGAGAAAAAAGCCAUCCUAUAUAAAGACAAUAUCUUGUUGUGCAUUAUGUCCAAUGACGGAGCCAAGGGGGGCAGAGGGGGGGCCAUGGCCCCCCCUAAGUUUUGAGAAUUUUAAUUCAUAAUAUGUAAAUAUGUGUGUAAAAUAAAAUUGGCCCCCCCUAAAUUUUUUCAAUUUUAGUUUAUAUUAUGAGAGUUGAUAUAUAUAUAUAUAUAUAUAUAUAUAUAUAUAUAUAUAUGAAUUAGUCAUCUUUGAAUGGAAUUUCAAUUUUGGCCCCCAAAAAAAAAAAAUCCUGGCUCCGUCACUGAUUAUGUCUACCUUCCAUCCUCCUGUCUGUGCCUAUCAAAUUUGUGAUGAGAAAGCGGUAAAAAUACCACUUUUAUUGGAUGGCAUACCAGAUGGAGUUCCAGUUGAUCUUGUUGAUUUAGGAAAUGAUUACUUUGCUGUAAUACUUUUUGAAUACGAAACAGAGGGACAGGCCGAAGAUCUGACAAUUGUCACUUUCAAGGUGUUUUCAGAAAGAGGGGGAGAUGGAGCUCUGAGUUGUGCAUUGGUAAGUACAAGGACUUGUAAUACAACAGAGAAUGGCUCUAUUGUGCGUCCCAUCUGUUCCUUCAUAUUGUAAGUUAACGAAAGAUUCCAUGGUAAAGAGACAAGUGCAAAAAAUGCUACUACUAGCAGCUUUCAUGGUAGCUGAUCCCAUUUUGUUUUUGUUUCUGGCUAAUUCUCUUGUGUUUUCCAAUAUAUAGAAAAUGGAGCUUUUGAUGAAACUGUUAUAGCCAACGGUUUCUUGUUUUUGUGGGGUUUUGUUUCCUUCGGAUUGUGUCAUAUAUAUAGUCUUGGAGUUUGCUUCAAAAAAAAAAAAGACAUGACUGAAUUAUUCAUGUAUUUUUCACUAAUCAAACUUCACCAGCACUAACUAAUGCCUUUUCCAUUACUUCAAUACAAAAGAAGUAAAGACAAGUGAAGUAGUUUGGCAAAGGUGAACUAAAUCCAAGGCAAAUAUUACAAGGAAAAUCAAUCACAUUUGUUUAAGAACUUUGAUUCCAAUCCAACGUGACUCCAUAUAGUAAGAGUCACCAACCUGUGAAUACACUCCACACUUGAAAUAAUGUGAGUUUCCACCUCUACCAGCUGCUUCAAAUAUGAAAACCCCAUCAAUGUAAACCUUCAAUUUGCUAGCAGCCACCUCAUGGAUUACAUUAACUCUGAACCACCUAUCAUAUAUGUUGUGUACAAGUACGUUUGCUUGUUCAAAGUAUGCAAGGGAUCCAUUGUAAACCCUAAGCAUUAAAGUUGUGUUAUGAGGUAGGCUUGCUCCAAAGACUUGCAUAAUGCACACACCAGAAGUUCCAUUUGGAACAAAUCCAUAUCCUUCGAAUUGCCAGACUCCUGAGGAGUAAAUAUAGCCCUAAGCAGUAAGAAUGAAGUAAUUAGUGAGCUCAAAAUUUGUCAUCUCAAUUAGUGUACUUGUUAUUAGGAGAAAUGGUAAAGAAACAAUAAUACUUCUGUUUAAUUUGUGUUUUAGUACUUAGUAGUGGCGAGCCCUAUUACAAUGAUUGUAUUUUUUGUUUUUCUCAUCUUCGAUUGUUUAUUGAACGAAUUGCACCCAAAAGCUAGUACUUCCAGGCGGACUCACAUUUAUAUAUUGAAUAGAUCUGCAAUAAAUUCCAUGUUAUGUGGUAAACAAUAAAAGAGAUCCUGGAAGUUUACAAGUUUUCCCUUCUUGCCUUCAAACAAAAAUUAAAUAAAAGAGACCCGGCAAGGAAUUUUACAAGUACAAAAAAGGAUAUAAAAUAACUAUAAGUGAAAUCUAUAGCCUUGUUUUCAGUUGCUCUAGAUUUUGCAAAAUUCGAUUAUGGAAAGUGAUUGUAGAGAAUAAUUAGAAUUAGUAAAAACUACUCUUAGGUGGAUUAUGGAUUUUAACUUUUUUGGCUAUUAAAAAAAUUAUAAUCGAAAUACGAAAACAAACAAGAACAUCCAAAAACUGAUAAUCCAAAAUCAGAAUGUAAGCUAAAAUGAUCAACGUAGAACAAGCUAGUGAUACCUGGAUUAUGAAAGAGAGCCACUCAUGAAGAUUUUAAAUGAAAAAAAAAAAAAUUUUCUCCUUUUUGUUCUGUUUUAAGAUUUUUUGUAUUGAAAAAGAAAAAUGUACCUGAAAAAAGGGAAACAGAAGAAAAAGAUAAAAGAAGAAAAAAACAGAAUAAUUUUUCGAAACUAUCAGAGGUAGUCCUUUAUCACCUGGAGUUCUUGCUUCCCCAGGAAUAACAGUAGAAGAUUAUAAUUACCCUAUGCAGUACAAUAGAAGAAAAUAUAUAAUAUCGGCUUUAAAAAAAAAGACGAAGAGAUAAUUCUUUAAUGAAGAAGAAAGUUAAGAUGCAAAAGGAACAUGUGUGGACUUUCAAAAGAAUCAUUACCACAUUAAAAUUUAAAGCACUGAAGCAUAAAGACCUAAAGUAGUGAAUGAGAAAUUAAAUAUAAUCCAAAAAAAAACAAGAAAACGAGGGAUUUACCUGGAUCAUAAUUUCCGUACGUGGCAUCGUGGGACUAUUCCGAGACAAAGGGUUAUCUGUGGAGUAAACCCAAAGUUUAUGGACUCCAUCUACGAAGCUGUAUCUUUGGUCUACAGGGAGGUCAUAUGGUUUCUGAAUGUGAUAAAAGGAUGUAUUAAAUGGGAGUUCAACAAAGCCAUCAGUUGGAUUAGUUGAGUAUACUAUGGCAAGUUGAGAAGUAUACAAGAGAAAAAAGGCUGAGAAGAAAAGGAAAAUUACACGGCAAGUAGCCAUCCCUAUGUAUUGCUUCAUGCAAUAAAUUUUGGUAUUUGUAGAGCCCCUUAACCAUAUCAUGGCUCGGGACAAAAUAAAUGUAAGAAAAUAUAGGUGCUAUAAAGUACUGGCCAUAUUGAAUACUCUCAUUUGCAGUGAUAUCAUAAGCAUCCAAACGCUGGCAAGAUGAUUGCAAUCAAUCACGUAUAACCUCAAUUCAUUGAUGUAGUGACUUCACAUUUUGGACCUCUUUCUUUAAACGAUAGCUAAACUUUGUGUUGUUUGUUGAUAGUAACAACACCUUGUGCUAUAACAUUUUCUGUUUGUAUGGGGUUAGUUAAUUGGUAAGAGCUCUACACUUUGUGAGGAGCUACUAAACUUUGGCUUUUUAGGCCUUGCUAUUAAAUAUUGCCGCCUUCUAUCAUCAGAAUUUAACGUUUCAAUUAGUACAUAAAAUUUAAUAUUGAACAUCUUCUUGUUAUUGGUUAAUUAAAAGAGACUCCUUGAAACUACUUCAUUCUUUGGAAGGUUCAUUCAACAAUUAAGACUUUCAUAGUCCAAAUUCUUACUUGACAUAAGAUCUAACAAAAAGGAAAUCUAAAGUCUAAUUAGAUGACAAUAUCCUGAGUUUGGUGGCAUUUUCAUCCCUCCAAAUAGACAUGAUUUUAACCAUUUUUGGAGGGAAAAUCAUAUUAUGAUUUAAGGUUUAAGAUGUUUGUAUGACUCUAAAGGACCUAAAUAGUUAUAUACCCGACUACAAAUCACUUGAAAUUUUUGUUAUAGGACCAUGUCUAUUUAGUAUUUUCCAGUUUGCUUUUACCAAGAGAACCUAGCUUUCGGUCUACAAUAGUCAAUGCGCCUCCCCGAGAUGUUACAGCAACAUUUGGUCUUUUCUUGCCAAAAACAUUUCGCUUGCCAACAUUUGGUCUUUAAUUGACUUGCCGUUUAGUCACAAAAAUUAAAGACAUUUAAACAUUUCGCUUACACGUUCUUUCAUCUUCUGUCUAUCCUCGGGUUCUAUAGUAAAAUUAUACUCCCUUCAUCCCAUUUUAAUAAUUUUGUUUUUCUUUUUCAUCCGUCCCAAAUAUAGGUCACUUUCCAAUUAAAGAAUAUAGUUAACUUUUAACUUCUUUAAAAUGCCCUUAUAUAAUAUAUUUUGCUAUCAGUGAAUAAACCUACCUUAUUCAUUAAUUACUUUGAUUCAUGUUUUGAAUGGUGCAACUUUCUAUCAAUAUUACUAUUGUUAUUAAUAUAACGGUAUAAUGGUUAGUUAUACUGAUAAUAUUCAUAUAAGGGUAUUUUAGAAAAAUAAUAGGUUAGAUUUACUCUUUCAAUAAAGUUAAAUAAUUUUUCUUAAAUUGUGUGAAAAAAAUCAAGACUUUCAAAGUGGGACGGAGAGAGUAAUAGAAAUUUCUACACAUAUCGUAAUCAUAUGUUUUACUCUCCAACUCUUUAUUAUAGGUAUUACUCUCUCUAUCCCACUUUGAUAGUUUUGAUUUCUUGUCCCACACAAUUUAAGAAAAAUUAGUUAACUUUGUUGAAAGAGUAAAUCAAGCCUGUUCUUUUCUUAAAAUACCCUUACAUUGAUAUUAGGAGUACGAUUAAUCACUAUACCUUUAUAUUAAUUACAACAAUAAUACUAGAGAAAGUUGCAUUUUUUAAGGUAUGAAUCUAAGCAAUUAAUGAAUGAGGUAGGUUAUAUUCACCAUAACAAAAUACACUAAAUAAGGGUAUUUUAGAGAAGUUACAAGUUAAAUAGAUUUUUUAAUAUAAAAUUUUAAAAGUAGACUAUAAUUUGGGACGGAUGAAAAAAAAAAUAAGACUAUCAAAGUGAGACCGGAGGGGGGAGUAGUGAACACCACUAUCACAAAGCCAACAAUUUAUCUGCCAUUUGGAGGCAAAUUCUCACCAACGAUUAAUUCUAAGUUCGGAUCAUCCUAGGAAACUAAAGAAGAUUUAUCAGAUUGGGAAAAAAUUAGAUAAUGUUUGUCUGACAUGAAAAGAGAAGGAAAGUGAAGGAAAAUAACUUUCCUCUGAUAUGUUUAUUUGCAGAGAAAAGUGUGGGAAAGUGAAGGAAAGUCAAUUAUUUUUUCCUCCAUGCAUGUUUUGUUGGCAGGAAUGUUGAAAAAUUUUCUUGCAUUUUGUCUCCUACAAAAUUUACAGGAUUUUAACGGAAAAUAGUUAGUUACUUACAGAAGUUUCAAUAACUGCUACUAACUAUCAAUGACUUCCCAUAUUCUCUUGAUAUUUUUCUUAGUAACCAAACAUGUAUGAGAAACUUAUUUUCAUUUUCCUUUACCUAGCUUUCCUAUAUAACUUCCUUUCUAUUCAAACAGAGCCUAUAAAUUUUGAAUGUUUUUUUGUUAGGAAAUUUAUGAAACCCACCAUAUAAAAUCUUCCCAUAAUUGUUCAUUUUCCUAUAAAUCUUUUCCUGCUGAAAUUCAUAGGAAAGUGAGUCAAGGGAAAGUUUCAAAUAAUUAGAUUUUUUUUACAACCAUUUUCUUUCUAAACUAUUUCCUCCAUUCUAAACUUCUACAUCAAUUAGAAUAAUUUAGAAUGUACAAUUCAAGCAGGUGGCUUGUAGUUAAACAUUUUAUUCUUAUUUUAACAAUUAAUGAAUUAGUAAUUUAUUGAAUUUAUUUGACAUUAGUAGUUUUUUCUUUUAUAUUUUAUGCUCUUUUUUAAUGUUUGUAUAUUUUUUAAAUAACUUAUACACAUAUAACACACACACACAUAUAUAUAUAUAAACUUUUUUGUUAAAGAAUGUGAUUAAUUUUCAAGUAAACAACUUUUCCAAUAUGCAAAAUGUUUUUAUUAUUACAUGUUUUUAGUAUAUUCAAUACCAAAAAUGAAGAGGUUCAGUAUUGAAUAUUUUCUAUUAAUGAACGCACUAACCAAUUUUUUCAUGAUUUUCGGCUAAAUAAACACAAUAAUUUAUAUUUUCUUGUAUAAUUUUCUAGUUAACCAAACAUAUGUGGAAAAGUUAGUUUCUUUUUCUUUACCUUAUUUCACUUCCCUUUUCUCAUGACACACUUUCUUGCACAACUAUCUUGUCAAACAAACAAACAAACAAACGGAGCCUUAGCGUCGUUACCGAGCAGCCAAGAUUGAAAUUAAUAACACAUCAGUAAGUUGGGUUUUGAGAUCAGUUCAAUGGGUAUAGAAAUUUAAUUCUCCAAAAAUUUUAAAUUCUUUUUUGGUCAAUGAGCAUGUAAAUUAGCUUUUUAAUGUUAGCCUCCAUUUUUUUCAAGCUAUAAGUGUUUCAUGAUUCAGUUGAAUUAUUCUAUGUAUACUGAAUUUUAAUGGGAAAAUAACCGCAUAUUUUUCAGCGAAUCACGUGUCUUUUCGUCUUAUCGGUAAGGUAACUAGGCAUAAUCGUUAACUUCGUCACUAAACUAAGCAUAUUUCAAUCAUGUGGCCUCAAAUUGGGCCACAUCAGUUGUCACACUAGUGAACAUCAUUCUGAAAUAAAUUCUUAAAACUUUCUAAAAUAUAUCCGUUUGGGUCAGUGGUAGUUCAUCCCCUCUAGGUUGUCCUUAGGUAUCUUUAGGUCCCUUUUUCCCCUAGUAUAGAGUAGUGUAUGUUUAUCGUAUCUGACAAAAAAAAAAAAAAUCAUUUUUACAAUGAUUUACUAUAGCCAAAGAUAGGUAAUGCUCCAACUUCAUUUUGGCACAGAUGCCAUUGCUUUCAAAAAAAAAAUAUUUAUAUAUUUUUUAUCUUUGGGUACUUAUUAAGGUAUUAAUAUUUAGUAAUUAUAAAACUAAUUCGGCAAAGCAUCUAAUUUUGGGGUGAAAUAAAUAUAAAUAUUUAUUUACAUAUUAAGUUAAAUAUAAGGGCAAAAUAUACUUUAUCCCCCUGUGAUAUAGCUAUUUUUCACAUAACACUCCUAUAGUUUUAAAAACUAUAUAUAACCUUCUCAUAAUAUAGAUUAAAAUACCCUUAUUUAAAAACUAAAAUGGUUGAAGUGAUCAAAAUAUAUAAAUAUAACAAGCAUGACACUCUAAUUCCUACGAUUUGAUGCUUUACCAUAUAAUCCCCUUAUGGUUUAGUGCUUUACCAUAUAACCCCCUUAUGAUUUUCUAAAAAUAAAAAAAAAAAUAUAUAUAUAUAUACAUAAUCCCCCUCUGUGGUUAAUAAAUAAUUUUUAACUUUACAUUUUUGAUAUUUUAGUUGAUUCCGUUAUGGAUUCAAAUUCCGUUACUUUGACACUUUAAUCCAAAUCAUGAGGGGAUAAUGUAUAGCUUUUAAAACCAUGAAAGGGUUAUAUAAAAAAACACUAAAUCACAGGAGGACAAAGUGUAAUUUGCCCUAAAUAUAAUGAGUACCAGCUAAAAAAUUUUUCUUUUUGUUUUACCUACUUUGAUAUAAUUUAAUCAUUUGAGUAUUUUUUUUUUUUAGCUUUGUUUCUCGUGUCUAUUUUAUCUCUUGCACUUUUUGGCUGAUUUCUCAUGCAUUGCUCCAUAUAAGUAAAGCUUCACAAGCAUUAAGUCAUUGACUAGUACCUUAUCCAUUACCUCAACACCAAAGAAGUAACGACAAGAGAAGUAGUUUGGCUUUAACAUGCCAAACGUAAACUAAAUCCAAGACAAAUAUUACAAGGAAAAUCAAUCACAUUUGUUUAAGAACUUUGAUUCCCUUCCAACGUGACUCCAUGUAGUAAGAGUCACCAAUCUGUGAAUACACUCCACACUUGAAAUGAUGUGAAUUUCCACCUCUACCAGCUGCUUCAAAUGUGGAAACCCCAUCAAUGUAAACCUUCAAUUUGCUAGCAGCCACAUCAUGGAUUACAUUAACUCGGAACCACCUAUCAUACACGUUGGGUACAAGUACAUUUGCUCUAUAGUAUGUGAGGGAUCCGUUGUAGACUCUAAGCAUUAAAGUUGAGGCAUGAGGUGGGCUUGCUCCAAACACUUGCAUAAUGCACACACCAGAAGUUCCAUUUGGAACAAAUCCAUAUCCUUCAAAUUGCCAAACUCCCGAAGAGUAAUUAUAGCCCUAAGAAAUAAGAAUCAAGUAUUGAGUAAGCCCAAAAUUUGUUGUCUCAAUUAAGUGUGCUAGUUGAUAGGAGAAAUGGUUAAAAGACAAUACUCCACUUUUAUUUGUCUUUUAACACUUGGCAGUGGCAAGCCUUAGUAUAAUACAGUUAUUCUUUGUUUUUCCCUUCUUCAAUAGAAGUGUUUAGUGAGCUAAUUGAACCCAAGAGCCAGUCCUUCUGGGCAGACUAACACUUGUAAAUUGCAUAGAUUUGUAAUAAAUUCUGAAUUACAUGGCAAACAACAGGAGAAACCCAGCAAUGAAUUUGAUAGGGAUACAAAAGAGGGUGUAAAAUAAUUAUAAGUGCAAUCAUAAGCAUUUUCUCAGUUGCUCUAGAUUUUGCAAAAUUCGGUUGCUCUAAAUUUUGCAAAAUCUGAUUAAGUAUAAAAAGUAAUAGUAGAGAAUAAUGAGAAUCAGCCAAAGUUACUUUUGGUAAAUUGUUGAAUUUACUUUUUUCUAUUAUUAAAAAUAUAUAAUUUAAAUACCGAAGCAAAUGAGGGUAUAAGAAAUUGAUUAUUCAAAAUUAAAAUCUUUAAUCAGCUAAAUAAUUAGCCAAUAACAAGUCCAUAAUACCCAGAUUGUGAAAGCGAGCCAUCUUAUGAAGAUUUUGAAUAACAAUUAUUUUCACAUUUUCAUUCUAUUUUAAAUAUUGGUAUUGAACAAGGAAAUAAGUACUUAAAAAAAUGGAAACAGAAGAAAGAGACAAGAGAAGAAAGAACCAGUAUAAUUUUUCUUAAGUAUCAGAGAUAGUCCUUUAUCACAUAGAAUUCUUGCUUCCUCACGAACAACAGUAGAAGAUUAUAAUCACCACAUGCUAUACCAUAGAAGAAGAUACAUAAAAUUUUGGCUCAAAAAAAAUGAAGAGAAAAUUCUUUAAUCAUGAACAAAGUUAAGAUAGAAAAGGAGCAUCUGUAAACUUUCAUAAGAAUCAUUACUACAUUAAAACAGCAAAAAUAAAUAUGCAAAGCACUAAGAAUCAAAACCUGAAGUAGUGAAUGAGAAAUUUAAUAUAACCCAAAAAAAAAAGAAUAUGAGGAAUUUACGUUAAUCAUAAUUUCCGUACGUGGCAUCGUGGGACUAUUCCGAGACAAAGGGUUAUCUGUGGAGUAAACCCAAAGUUUAUGGACUCCAUCUACGAAGCUGUAUCUUUGGUCUACGGGGAGGUCAAAUGGUUUCUGAAUGUGAUAGAAGGAUGUAUUAAAUGGGAGUUCAACAAAUCCAUCAGUUGGAUCAAUUGAGCACGCUGUGGCAAGUUGAGAAGUAUAUAAUAAAAAGGGCAGGAAGAAACGAAAGAUUAAAUGGUAAGAAAUAGCCAUCUCUGUCAAUUGCUUCAUGCAAGAAAUUUUGAUAUUUAUAGAGCCUUAACCACAUCAUGAUUCCAUACAAUAUACAUGUAAGAAAACAAAGAUGUAGAAUACUCUAGUGUGUGAUGAAAUCAUAAGCUUUCAAAAGCUUGCAAAUGAUCUCAAUUCAUUGAUAGAAUGACUUUACAUUUUGGACCUCUUUCUUGAAAAUGAUAGCCACACUUUUGUGUUGUUUAUUGAAAGUAAUAACAGCUUGUGCCAUGAUCUCUUCCGUUUGUAUGGGGUUAGUUAAUUGGUAAGAGCUCCACACAUGAUGAGAGAUAUAUUUUUACGAUUUUGGCACUAUUAAACAUUGGCUAUUUAGUGCUUGCUUUUAAAUAUUGCCGCCCUCCAUCAGCAGGAUUUAGCUUUUUAAUUAGUCUAAAAAAUUUAAUUUCGAAUAUUUUUCCUAUUAUUGGUGAAUUAUAUCGAGUCUCUUUGAAACUAUUUCAUUCUUUGAAAGGUUCAAUCCACAAUUUAAGACUUUCUUAGAACAAACUUCUCACUUGCCAUGAGAUCUAACAAUAAGAAAAUCUAAACUCUGUUUAGAUGACAUUAUCUUGAGUUUAGUUGCAUUUUCAUCGCUUCAAUUAGACAUAAUUUCAACUUUUUUUGGAGGGAAAAUAAUUUUUUUAGUUUAAAAUUUUAGAUGUUUGUAUGGCUCUAAAGGAUGCAAGUAGUUAUUAUACCCAACUAUUAAUUACUUGAAAUUUUUUUGUUUACGAGACUAUGUCUAUUUCAAUAUUUUUAUUUUUUCUUUACGAGACUUUGCCAGUUUGGUCUACAAUGGUCAAUGUGCCUCCCCAAAAUGUUACAGCAGUAUUUGGUCUUUACUUGACUUGCCUUUUAGUGACAAAAAUUAAAGACAUUUAUACACUUUCUUCUCAUCUUCUAUCUUUCCUCGGGCUCCAUAGACAUAUUAGAAUAGAAAACUUUAUCUAACAAUCCACAAAAUAAAAAAUAAAAAAUUGAAGAGUAUUUUGCCUUUCUCUCAAACUGUUUAUUAUAGGUAUAUUUGUCAACAGUAGUAUCGAAAAGCCAAAAAUUUAUCUGCCAUUUGGAGGCAAUUUCUCUCCAACGAUCAAUACCAAUUUCGGAUGAUCCCAAGAAACCAAAGAAGAUUCAUCAGAUUGGGAAAAAAAUUUAGUGCCAUCAUCGAACAGCUAAUAUUCAAAUUAAUAACAUAUCAGUAAGUUGGUUUUUGAGAUUCAGUUCAGCGGGUAUAGUAAUUUAAUUCUCAAAAUUUUCAAAAAUAUUUAUUUGGUAAAUGAGCAUGCAAAUUAACAUUUUUUUUGGUAAAUGAAAUUUAUUAUAUUGCUCUCCAAUUUUUGUGACGUGCUUAUUUGUCCUUUUUUUUGGGCAAAUUCCACUUUACCCCCCUGUGGUUUAGCGUUUUUUUACAUAACCUCUUUAUGGUUUCAAAAACUAUAUAUAACCUCCUUAUGGUUUGGAUUAAAAUGUCAAAAUGACAGGAAUGAUCAUUCGUAAUGAAGUCACCUAAAUAUCAAAAAUACCCUUAUGUAAAGUUGAAAAUUAUUUAUUAACCAAGGAAGGUUAUGUGUAUAUUUUGAAAACCAUAAGGAGGUUAUAUGGUAAAGUAUUAAACCAUAAAGGGGUUAUAUGGUAAAAUAUAAAAAUCAUACGGGAUUAGUGUGUUAUGUAUUUAUAAGGGUAAUUUCGACAUUUUUAGAAAUUCCAUUACGAAUGACUAUUUCCGUCACUUUGACACUUUAAUCCAAACCAUGAGGGGGUUAUGUAUAGCUUUUGAAACUAGAGGGGGUUAUGUAAAAAAUGCUAAAUCACAGGGGGGAUAAAUUGCAAUUUGCCCUUUUUUUUUUCAAUCUAUAACUGCUUCAUCAUUCAGUUGAAUUGUUUUUUGUAUGCUGAAUUUUAAUGGGACAAUAAGGCCAUACUUUUCAUAGAAUCUCGUAUCUUUUCGUCUUAUAGGUAACUAAUCAUAUUCGUUAGCUCGCCAUUUAAAAAUUUUGGGUAUUUCACUGGGGACGAUCACUCUACAUCUAAGCUUCCAAUGUUCCUCAAUCCGUCAAAGGGCUACUUCAACAAGAUUGAGUACUCAACUGUAUUCAAGUUGGCCUGAAAUGGGAAAAGAGAAGUGUGUAUGCCACAUCCCUUGUAGUUAUUUUGUAUUUCUUUUCUUUUUUGGAUAAUUCAAAGUUUGGAUAAUUUCGCCAUCACCACCACGAGUCAAGUUAAGCCUUGAGACUAUAUAUAGGUCACUUGAAGAAUAUUUACAAAUUAUCUACUAAUACAAUUCUCACAUGAUUUGAAUAUACGAUUUUUUUUUUUUAUGAAGAAACAGUCUGUUUUCAACAUUGACAGCGUCCAUGUCAAACUUUUUAUUACUUAUAACAGAUAACUUUUAUUCCACGAAAAGAAAAUAGGUAUUAACAUUCCACACUUAAACCAAAGCCCAACAUAUAGAUCAUAAAAGAAACAAAUUACAUUUUUUUUAGGAUUUUGAUUCCUUUCCACCUAGAUUCCAUGUAGUAAGAAGCAUCAGGUUGUGAAUAUACUCCACACUUGAAAUAAUGAUAUUUUCCACCUCUUCCAGGUGCUUCAAUCACUUGAACCCCAUCAAUGUAAACCGUCACUUUGCUAGCAUCUGCAUCGUGAAUUACAUUGAGACGAAACCACCUAUCAUAGAUGUUUGAAACUAGGACAGGAGCUCUAUAGUAUGAAAGGGUUCCAUUGAAAAGUCUGAGCAUUAGAGUUGUGGCAUGAGGGCUUGCUCCAAAGACUUGCAUGAUGCAAACACCAGAAGUUCCAUUGGGAACAAAUCCAUAUCCUUCAAAUUGCCAAAUCCCCGAAGAGUAAUUAUAACCCUGAGAAGCAAAUUAGCACAAAAAUUAACAUGUCACAUGCUGUAUUUCACAUGUAGCAAAAGGAUUUUUCCCGUCCAUACAUGCAAUUCAAUUUGUGCUUAAAUAUAUAUUUUGUUGAUCUAAUUUCAUACGUAUUUGUAAAACUUGGCACACUUGUUUCUAAGUAUCAUCUGUUACCCCAUAGACUAUGCUAUGAAAAAAUGUGCUAAAAUUCAAAACAAAAAAAGGGCAAUUAUGAAAUAGUUACUCUAACACUACUAAUAUUGUUUUGCUAAUUGAUCUAUAUCUAGUAACUUAAGGUAUGGGAACUGAAGUGUAAAAACUGGAAAAGAAUUGGAAGAGAUAAAGAGAUUAAUAGUGAUUUACUUGGAUUAUAAUUUCUGUACGAGAAUUUGUAGGACUAUUCUUAGCUAAAGGCUUGUCAGUGGAGUAGACCCAGAGCUUGUGAAUUCCAUCAAUGAAGCUGUAUCGUUGGUCUACAGGGAUAUCAUAUGGCUUCUGGAUGUGAUAAAAGGAUGUAUUAAAUGGGAGUUCAACAAAUCCAUCUGUUGGAUCAGUUGGCUCUCCAAUAGCAAGCUGAGUACUUGCUAGAACGACGACUAAGAGGGAACAGAUAUUGUGGUAAAAGCUACUACCCAUCUCUCUACCUUGAGACCAAGAAAAUUUUUGUGGUACUUAUAACAACGUAUUGAAAGCAACAAUGAGAGAAAAAUUUGGUGCUGCAUUGGCAAUUGUUAAGGCGAUUACAUGACAGUGUUAUAUCUGUGAUUUAGAUCAGAUCGCGUUUAAACUGUCAAAUUCAUUCUUUUUAAAUGUGCUGUCUCGAUCUAUGCAGCAUCAGCAUGGCCGAACUACUGAAUAUGAAAUUCCAUUUUGAAAAUGUACCAAAAGCAACAAAGUAAAGUUAGUUCUUUGACCAUUGGAUUAUUACAACGUUGCCUUCUCUUUAUUCUUGUGAAAUGGUACACAUGUAAUAGCAUAAGUUAUGUACAUAAUUUGAACAGUUCAUUUCAGGAGUUUCAAUAGCAUUUCCUACUAAGGAGUUCAAUAAUUAAUACGUGCUAAGACUCACUUAUUUAUUCAAUGAGCCAAAUAUAACAUAAUUUGAAUUGUCAAGAAAUUCUCUUGUAAUUGUGAAAAUCUUGGAUUUACAAUGGAACCAGUCUAGAACAUGACCGGUUUCAACUGUAAUUUUAUAUUUUCCUCGUAUAAAAGUACUUCUAUUUUAUCCCAUGAAAACUGAAGACGAGAUAAGUACAAAAGUUGCAGGCCAGUGUUUUGGUUUUAGUUCUCCGUUUUUACUAGUUGACAGCUGAUAAUUCAUUGAAAAACCAAAAACAUGAAAAACAAAAAUAAGAAAAGAAAAACGAACGUAGUCAUCUGCCUCUGUUUAAAUCAGGUGUGUAAGAACGAGUAUAAAUUAAUUCUCCAAUUCCCAUUAUAACUUCUCUGUACAUUCACCCUGUGAAAAUGACAAUGCAGGUAUCUGGAUUUGGUAAAGUAGAAGUAAAAAAAUAAUGUGAAAUGAGGUUUGAAUAAUCUUUUCCUUGGAUCAAAAAGUGAUAAAAAAAAUUUAUUUGUCUUCUUGUAUCUUGUCAUAUCAUACCUUCUCCUUCCAAAAUUGAACUUGUUUGUUUGAUCCAGUUGCAUUAAAAUAGACAAUGAUUUGUAAUCUGCUUUACACAUAAACAGACAAAUAUAUGUAUCAUAUGUAAUUUGAACAAGUCAAACAAGAGAAAAAGUCAAAUAGAAAAGCUCUAAAAGCCUUUUAAGAUUAAUGGUAAGAAACUUUCAAAAUCAUGUGAAGAGCAGUUAGCAAGAACUUGACCUUUUUCCAUAAAGCUAGUUUAAAAACAUAAAACUAGUCUUCUUCUUGUUUGCUGCAUUAUACACUUUAUCCCUAACUAUGACAAUGUAACGACGAUGUGACAUUUUGUUCUAACUAUGAUCCCUAACUUUUUUGACCAGCUGCCCGUCAUUAUUGAUUUAUAUGGUUUUAGUUACUAAUGUUAUUAGCAAAAUUAGCAAGAUAAAAGAUAGUGCAAAUUAAUGAUAAUGUAUCGUUCUAUUUUUGUUAUGAUACCUUGGAACCUUUGGACCAGCUUUAGCACGUUAUCAUUGAUUUGUUAGGACCUCUAUGCCAUUAAUUUUUGGUAAAGUUGUCAUUGACUAUAUUUAAAUAAGAUAAACUUGAGAGUUUAGGUUGCAAAGUGUUCAAAAUUAAGAAUUUAGCUUGUAAAGUGUUCAAAAUUAAAGUUUAUGGUGCAAAGUGAAAAAAUUAUACAAAUUCAGGGAUGCAAUGUGGAGUUCGUCCUUUGAAUUAAGAACUUUCUAGGUUUAAUUUAAGUACCAAAUAAUCACCUCAAUUAAAAGCAUAGGUUAGUAUGUAUUACUUCGAAUUGGAAGCAAGCUAGUGCUAAGAAGCAGAGCCAAAGAUGAUAUUAAGCCUUUUUUUUAAGUGAUCAAGUAGGAUAUCAUAUCAGCUUCUACUUUGAAUAUGCUUUUCUUGCCUUCCUAAUAUGUUUUAUGACUUCCAUUAUUCUCAACACACUGUUCUCAACACACUUUUCUUGCCUUCCUAAUAUUAGUUAUUAAUAUUCAAGAGACUUACCUAUUUAUCCUCAACACACUGUCUUUUCUUGUCAUAUUGUGCCAUGGAAGCCAUAUACCAGGAGGGUUGCAUUAACGGCUAAGGUGAAGUAUAGAUAAGAAAUUAUUUCCCAAAGGUAAUAUUGUAGUCGGUGGAUUUUACAUAUUCAAUCAAAUGUUCAGAUUACAUUGAAUUAUUUCCUUCUUUAUUUUUGAACUUGGCUCCUGGAGGGGAUUCUUUCUCUCCAUUUUUCAUAGUACACAUCUGGAUGAAUGACACGUGUCUUCAUUUAUUAACAAGUGUUAAGAUUAAUCAAAUUUAAAAUAAUUAUAUCCCUUCUUAAUAAAUAAAAACACAUAUCAUAUAUUAGAUGUGCAUUGUCAAAAAUGGAAAAAGAAUCUAUUGGAGAGGAGCUAAAUCCCUUUAUUUUCUUUUUCCAUUACAUCUUAGCGUCAUACUAAGACUCUUUCUUAGUAACGGAGAAAGAAGGAAAGAAAAACGAGCAAGAUGACCACCAUGGUCUCUUUUCUCUGUUUAUGUUUAUGUCUUUUCGGCUUUUUUUCGAUAAGCUAUCAAGCGGAAAACCCAAAACAAAGAAAACCGAAACAAUUACCUACUCUACACCUUGAAUAUGUUUAUUCUUCAGUUUUCAUGGUCUAACGAGAAAAGUACAAAAAAGCUGUUGAAACCUGUGUGAUCAUGCACUAACCUCAUUCCAUUGUAAAUCAAAGAAUAUCCCUAUGAAGAUUACUUCAAAACAAUUUGAACAAUGUUAAAGCGAGCCAAAUGUAGCAAAUAUGCGAGUUUCAUUAUUCACAUCUAUUUUCAUUUGCACUGACUGAUAGAUAUGAGAUUAGCACGUCAAUUAUAAUCGGCACUCCAUAUAACAACGUGCCCAUGGCUUCAAUCCAAUCUUAGGGUUGGUCAAUCAUAUUGUUUCACAAAUUAAUCUGAAAGAGUCUAAAAGUGAACUGGGCAGUAAAUAUACUUUAUCCUUACAGCUAAGAUAAUAGAUACGCUUUUUUCUUCUAAUAAUCAAGUAACAUAGAGCUUGUUGGUGUGAAGACUAAGCCAUCUGUUAAUUACAAACACUUAGUAGUCUAAUAGUCAAUCGGGCUGUAAUUAACUUUACAUAUUUUACCCUAACAGCUAAGGAGAUAGAUGCAUUUUUUUCUUUUAAGAACCAAGUAAUUAACAUUGUCCUUAAGCCAUCUGUCAAUUGUAAACAAUUUUUGUGGAUUUAUGAAAAGAACCACAGCUAUGCAUACUAUACAUUUGCUUAUUUCUUGUUUUCUUUCGCUUAAGCAGCCUGCUCAGGAGACAAACUAUAGGGAGAAAUCCCGAAGUUAAUGUAACUUAGGGCACAUUCUGUGCUCUAUAAAUAUAAAUAAGAUUCAAACUCCCAACUUGUCAUUGAAGAAAGUAUUAAAUUCAAAUGUUUAAAUAGGUUGGAAUAUCAUUAUUUAGAAAAUGUACAAAGAAUCAGUAUUGUCCAUAUGUCCUUUACACGACUUAACUUUUCUCUUCUAUGGAUAUAAAUUUCUAUGUCAUGUACAAAGAUUAGAUCUACGUACCAAGAUUGCAUUAUGAAAUUAAACUAUGCUGUUUUACCGAAAUUGCGUGACGUUGGCUCAUGUUCAAACUAAUCAAAAAGUUGAGAAAGUCAUUUCCUUCGCCUUAGCAAUUAAAAAUUCGCGAUAGUAUGAUAGUAUAUGAGGAAUCUAGGAAGGUUUAAUUUUCUAUAAAUCCCUUCUCAGGUAUUCAUUGAAGUCCACUACUUUGUUCAUGGUAAGAGAUGACAUCUUUUUCCUCAACCUUCUUGCAAUUUGCCAUUCUCCAAUUCCUCUUGUACAAGGUCCUCUGCUGUGAAGGACCUGUGGAUCCAUCCAAGGGCUUCAUUUCUUUGCCUUUUAAUACAUCAUUUUACCACAUUCAGAAACCAUAUGAUGUGCCUGUAGAUCAAAGAUACAAGUUCGUAGAUGGAGUUCACUAUUUGUGGGUAUUUUCAACCGAUAAACCACACACUCCCACUAGUCAUACAAAACCUCGAACUGAGAUUGGGAUACAGGUAUGAAAAAUUCUAUUGCCUAUCCAUUUUUGACAAAAAUAUGCUCAUGUAGUACCGUCAAUGUAGAAAAAUGUUCAUACCAGUAGGUUUGGAUACAUAUCACGUAACAUUCAUAUAAUUUUCAGAUACUCUGAAAUUCUUUCGAACAUCCGACACCAAUAUGAAUUUUAUUUUCGCCAAUUCUUGUAGGGGUAUAACUAUUCUUCAGGUGUUUGGCAAUUUGAUUUUUACGUGCCAUCGGGGACAUCAGGUGUCUGCAUCAUGCAAGUUUUCGGGGCAACUGCUCCUCAUGCCACAACUCUGAUGCUUAGGGUUUACAAUGGCUCACUCUUUUACUAUACUGAUUCUGUUCUGGUUCCAAGCGUCUAUGACAAGUGGUUUCAUCUCAAUGUGGUUCAAGAUGUUUUAGCUGCAAAGGUGAAGGUUUUCAUUGAUGGUUGUCUAAAGAUUGUCGCAGAUGGCCGUGGAGGCACCUCACAUACUUUCAAAUGUGGUGUUUAUGCUCAAAAUGAUGAUUCUUAUCGCAUGGAAUCACGAUGGAAGAACAUCGAAAUUCUAAAAAUAAGAGAUUGAUGUUGUAUUUAAGAUGGUUUUUCUUUUGUAAUGCGGAAUAAUAUAGUGGUUCAUUAGUGAUUAAACAUUAUUGGUGUUUGUUUGUUGUGUUGUUGUUUGAGGAAAUUAUACCAAAUGGGAAAUUAAAUUCUACAAGGUCAUUACUUAGAUUACCAUAUCUACUUUGAUGUCAAUAUUGACGGGUUUUCACUUUAAGUGCAAGUUUAAUUCCGAUUUUACACCCGUUGGACUGCAAGUAUACAGGUCGCAAUUUUAGUACAAGAUGCGUAUCGGGUCGAUCCCACGAGGAGCAAUUUAAACAAUUACUAAGCCCCUGUUCUCUCUAUUAUUUAGACUUACAAUUAAUUUUGAGCAGAGAAAAUCUAAUGCUGUAAUCUACAAAUCUGAUAUACAAAUCUAGUUUAACAAAUGCUGAAUGCAAAUAGAGAAAUUUCACUUAAUGAAGAUUCUAGGGAUGUAGAUUCCACUUAUGGCAUAAACUACACAAAUGAAUGGAUUUACUUCUUGCUAUUAUUCUUGCUUAACCAGAGAUUUAUUUCCAAGAUUACCAAGUCUCAUUUUCAUGAUGAAAUGGCUUAGAGCAAUAUAGAUUUCCCUAUUUUCAUGGUGAAAUACUACUACUACUCCGUUUUAUUUCAUGAAAUGCUCAAUAAUCCACCUAAGUGUAUCUCUAUUUUCAUGAACAUACAACUCAAGCACUACUCAUGUGUUUCAAUUGUUAUUACCAAUUCUCAUUGAAUAAUAACACUAUAAACAUGCUAUUGGUGAUCAAUCAAUAACAAGAAAUCACAGCUACACAAGUAGACAAGUUAACUCAAGAUAUAACAAGUGUAAAUCACAUUCAAUUAGUAUUAUUUAGCCAUAAGUUUCAUCUACUCCCUAGAUGAAGGAGUUUAGCUACUCAUGAAUGAUUUAACAAUCAAAUUCACAAGUUUAUUACUGCAAAACAUCAUAAAGUACAAGUAUAAGAAAGAUAAAAGAAAGCUUAGCCAAUUGAAGGUGAAGCUCUCCAAUUCCUGCUAUGUUCUUGCACAAUAUGAUUACAAGUGAAAACUCUAAAUGCUUCUCUAAGAACUCUUAACUAGAGAGAAAACUUGUUGCAAGAAGGAAAACUAGCUACGUCUGGUCAUCCAGGCUUCUCCCCUGUAUUUCUGCAUAAAAGGUGGUAGAAAUUCCAUUCCUCUCACUUCAUAAUUUCCUCCACUCAGAUUUUGUAAAAAGAAGUCAAAGAUAUGAUGUUUCCUUUUGUCCACACUCAUUUGGUCUUCUCUUUUAUUGCAGAAGCAUGUGCACCGAAUUCCCUUGCAUCUUAUAGCUGGAAAGUGGUAUGCACACAAGAGAAUUGACUGAGUCAAAUUGCAGAAUUUCGGCUAUAAAACGCGCCUACACAAAACGCGGUAUAAACUCGCGUUUUGUCUACUCGCGUUUUCACUCUAGCCUUAUUUCAACUGCGAUUUUCUCCAUGAUAAAGGCCAAACUAGCUUUUUUGCAAAACACAAAAGUUGUAGCCCUUUGAGUUAGCUUUCCAAUGCUUCAAGAAUCAUCCAAAUCGGAGCAUUGUAGCCUGAGAUAUGAUCGAAAUACUGUCACCUGUUCAAACCUCUGUUUUAACUUCCGACCACAGAAUGCAGCUUCUGUAUUCCAACGUUUUUCCCAUGAAGAUGGCAGAAAUGGAUUUCGAUGUCUUCAUACGAAUUGUAGGUAUCUUUCUUAGCUUUAAAAUGGUAUAAAGAUCACCUCAAUCCGAUAAGUGUAGCUCCAGAUAUGGUCAAAAUACUGAAGAGUGUCAAAACUGACUUGUAUUGCAUUUCCUCACUUGAACGUUUUUCACUUCAUUCUUCUUGUUGCCACUUGAAUUCAUCACCAAAUCUCUAUUUUUUACCUCAUUUGACAUCCUUUGGUGAUUGAAUCAUCAUUCCUGCAUAAAAAUAAAGUUUUUACCAUUAAAAUCAAUAGAAAUGCAAUAUUAUCCACUUUUACCAAAAAUAUAUAAUUUUACCAAAAACCUCUUUAUUUUAUUUAUAAAACUAAAUAAUCAACUCAAAAUUAACUAAUAAAAUGCACUUAAAAAUACGUAAAAUAAACUCUUAUCAAGGGAAACCCUUUUGGUUUACGCUAAAGUCAAAGGAGUCCCUUCUCAUUUCAAAAUAUCCGCAAAGAUUUUCAACCCUGGGGAGGGUCACAGAGAAGAGGAUGCUAUAUUAUAAGGAGUCUUGGGAAGGGGAUUUUGGGGAAGGGAGAUCCCUCCUGCUGUUAUUUAUUUCUAUGGUAUGCCUAUUACUGUUGUUGCUACUCCUUGGCGGAUUUUGACAUGUUUGGAAGGUGAGUUUUUUGGGGGUUUGUCUAAAACUUUACUAUAACUUACUGUAGAAGUUUUUUUAAAAUUUUUUAAGUGUGUUUAUUUUUGAAUAUUUUGAAGUGUAUAAUUUAAAAUUUUUGAAAAUUUUUUUAAGAUUACUGUAGUUAAAGUUUUUAAAAAACUUGUAGCAGACAAACUUGACAAAAAAUUUGGCUCCCAAACAAGGCAAUCUAUGUUGGCAGGAUUCAAACCUUGACUGAUACUCCAAGGAGGAACUGAAGUUCCCCUGGUGGCCACCGGACCAAGGUUCCGUGUUCACGAGUAUGUUAACUAAUCUAGAAAAAUGGAGGGAAACUAUCUAAAUUAACUGAAAUUGAGUUACUCAUACUUGAUUGACGAUCAAAGCAUAACUUGGGUGCUAGGGAAAAACAAAAAAUGGAUAAUAGCUACAGGAUAUACACGAUAUUAAUAAUUAGUGACAGCAGUAGGACUAGUAGAAGCGGGAGUGAGCGUGAUUUUGUUGUCUUCACUCCACAUUUGGCACAUUGUGAUCAUUUUUAUUUAGUUUUUUUUUAUUAUAUAGCUUCAUUUUUCUCAAAAAAAAAGAGAGAGAAAUAAUGAUAAAGUAAGUAAAGAAGAAUUUGGGGAAAAUUAGAGAGGGUAGGGUUUAUAAGUUUUGGACAAAACCAUAUGGGCAGUCCACACUAAUUCAAGCAUAUGAUCUGUGUAUGAUUUUUCAACAAAAAUAUGACUAGAAAAAUCUUCAAGGACAAAAUAGUUGUGUUUCUUAUUUGUAAGAAAAUAAAAUGCUUCAUACAUUUACUAUGAUUGAAGACAAUUUUCAUAUGACUUUGAAGACGAAAAUAUUUGCAAGUAAUUAGUUUUAUCUGGUGUCAUUGUUUUAAAUAUGAGCCGGAGAGGUUCCGAACUCGAAUAUCUCAUUUUCACUUCCUCCUCCCUCCCGUACCUUCUCCCGUAUCACUCAAGUUUCGACCCGUCUCUCGUGACAAGUAAUUGGUUGACUCAUCGGUUGAACCAGGAACCACCCAGCCACCUCCUUCCCGACUUUCUCAAUUGACCCGACACAACUCGAAGUCGAAUUGCCAAUAAAACCACAUUCCGUCUCAGAAUUCCAUCCAAGUCCCAGCCCAUCCUGCUACCAAACAAACGCAUGAUAUACACCACAAUCCCCACCGAUUUCCACCUCUCAAAAACCCUAACAACGACAAUAGUUUACCUCUCACACACACUCCCAUAGUAGGGUUCUGCUAAACCAACCGGCGGCACCGCCACCAGCAUUCCCACGUCGGGGAACACUAGCAAUGGACUUCGACGAGUACGAUUAUUUGGAGAAAACCGUGGAAGAAACCAACGGUCCUCCGUCCAAAACGAAGGAGACUAAGGACUCCGCCGAGAAAGAGAGAGACAAGGAGAAAGGAUAUCGGAGAAAAGAGCGUG